UUCUUUCAUCAGUUUGUUCCCUGUUUCUUCUCUAGCCUGAGCCUGACACACUAUUCUAGCUAGACAUGGGUGUGGCUCGUGACACCUGGUGACCAAACGGAUCUACGGCACCGUCGAAUCUCAAACUUUAACUACGAAAACUAUUGUUUUUCAUCCUGUAGUCCUUUUUAGAAUUACUAAACGUCCUUUUUUGGGCCGAGAUUUCGAGGAACGCUUUGUCGGGGUUUGUGUGCGCGUAUUUCAAACCAUACGGACCUAAAAAUUAGAAGUCAUUCCAUCUUUAUUCCCCUAGAGCCUUCCAGUAGUUCCUAAACAGCUCUAGUCGGAGCACGUUAUCAUUCUUGUUAGUUCUGAGCGAAUUCCCUCGGUAUGAUCAUUCUUUCAUCAGUUUGUUCUGCGUUUCUUCUCUAGUCUGAGCCUAGCACACUAUUCUAGCUAUUAAUGGGUGUGGAUCGUAACACCUAAUGACCAAACGGAUCUACGACACCGUCGAAUGUCGGUAUGAUCAUUCUUUCAUCAGUUUGUUCCCUGUUUCUUCUCUAGCCUGAGCCUGACACACCAUUCUAGCUAGACAUGGGUGUGGCUCGUGACACCUGAUGACCAAACGGAUCUACGGCACCGUCGAAUCUCACGCUUUCUCGGGGUCUGUGUGCAUGUAUUUCAAAUCAUACGGACCUAAAAAUUAGAAUCCAUUCCAUCUUUAUUCCCCUAGAGCCUUCCAGCAGUUCCUAAACCGCUCCAGUCGGAGCACACUAUCAUUAUUGUUAGUUCUGAGUGAAUUCCCUCGGUAUGAUCAUUCUUUCAUCAGUUUGUUCCCCGUUUCUUCUCUAGUCUGAGCAUAACACACUAUUCUAGCUAGACACGGGUGUGGCUGUAACACCCGAUGACCAAACGGAUCUACGGCACCGUCGAAUCUCAAACUUUAACUACGAAAACUAUUGUUUUUCAUCCUGUAGUCCUUUUUAGAAUUACUAAACGUCCUUUUUUGGGACGAGAUUUCCAGGAACGCUUUCUCGGGGUUUGUGUGCGCGUAUUUCAAACCAUAUGAACCUUAAAAUUAGAAUUCAUUCCAUCUUUAUUCCCCUAGAGCCUUCCAGCAGUUCCUAAACCGCUCCAGUCGGAGCACGUUAUCAUUCUUGUUUGUUCUGAGCAAAUUCCCUCAGUAUGAUCAUUCUUUCAUCAUUUUGUUCCCGGUUUCUUCUCUAGUCUGAGUCUAGCACACUAUUCUAGCUAGACAUGGGUGUGGCUCAUAACACCUAAUGACCAAACGGAUCUACGGCACCAUCGAAUCUCAAACUUUAACUGCUAAAACUAUUGUAUUUCAUCCUUUAGUCCCUUAUCAUUCUUGUUAGUUCUGAGUGAAUUCCCUUGGUAUGAUCAUUCUUUCAUCAGUUUGUUCCCCGUUUCUUCUCUAGUCUGAGCCUAGCACACUAUUCUAGCUAGACAUGGGUGUGGCUCAUAACACCUUAUGACCAAACGGAUCUACGGCACCAUCGAAUCUCAAACUUUAACUGCCAAAACUAUUGUUUUUCAUCCUGUAGUCCCUUUUAGAAUUACUAAACGUCCUUUUUUGGGCAGAUAUUUCCAGGAACGCUUUAUCGGGGUUUGUGUGCACAUAUUUCAGACCAUACGGACCUAAAAAUUAGAAGUCAUUCCAUCUUUAUUCCCCUAUAGCCUUCCAGCAGUUCCUAAACCACUCCAGUCGGAGCACGUUAUCAUUCUUGUUAGUUCUGAGCGAAUUCCCUCGAUAUGAUCAUUCUUUCAUCAAUUUGUUCCCCGUUUCUUCUCUAGUCUAAGCCUAGCAAACUAGUCUAGCUAGACAUGGGUGUGGCUCGUAACACCUGAUGACCAAACGCAUCUAUGACAUCGUCAAAUCUCAAACUAUAACUGCCAAAACUAUUGUUUUUCAUCCUGUAGUCCCUUUUAGAAUACUAAACGUCCUUUUUUGGGCCGAGAUUUCCACGAUCGCUUUCUCGGGGUUUGUGUGCAUGUAUUUCAAACCAAACGUUCCUAAAAAUUUGAAGGCAUUCUAUCUUUAUUCCCCUAGAGCCUUCCAGCAGUUCCUAAACCGCUCCAGUCGGAGCACGUUAUCAUUCUUGUUUGUUCUGAGCGAAUUCCCUCAGUAUGAUCAUUCUUUCAUCAUUUUGUUCCCGGUUUCUUCUCUAGUCUGAGUCUAGCACACUAUUCUAGCUAGACAUGGGUGUGGCUCGUAACACCUAAUGACCAAACGGAUCUACGGCACCGUCGAAUCUCAAACUUUAACUGCUAAAACUAUUGUUUUUCAUCCUUUAGUCCCUUGUAGAAUUACUAAACGUCCUUUUUUGGGCCGAGAUUUCGAGGAACGCUUUGUCGGGGUUUGUGUGCACGUAUUUCAAACCAUACGGACCUAAAAAUUAGAAGUCAUUCCAUCUUUGUUCCCUUAGAGCCUUCCAGCAGUUCCUAAACCGCUCCAGUCGGAGCACGUUAUCAUUCUUGUUAGUUCUGAGCAAAUUCCCUCGGUAUGAUCAUUCUUUCAUCAGUUUGUUCCCUGUUUCUUCUCUAGUCUGAGCCUAGCACACUAUUCUAGCUAUUAAUGGGUGUGGAUCGUAACACCUGAUAACCAAACGGAUCUACGACACCGUCGAAUCUCAAACUUUAACUGCCAAAACUACUGUUUUUCAUUCCGUAGUCCCUUUUAAAUUACUAAACGUCAUUUUUUGGGCAGAGAUAUCCAGGAACGCUUUCUCGGGGUUUGUGUGCACGUAUUUCAAAUCAUACGGACCUAAAAAUUAGAAUCCAUACCAUCUUUAUUCCCCUGGAGCUUUCCAGCAGUUCCUAAACCGCUCCAGUCGGAGCACGUUAUCAUUAUUUUUAGUUCUGAGUGAAUUCCCAUGGUAUGAUCAUUUUCUCAUCAGUUUGUUCCCCGUUUCUUCUCUAGUCUGAGCCUAUCACACUAUUCUAGCUAGACAUGGGUGUGGCUCGUAACACCUGAUGACCAAACGGAUCUACGGCACCGUCGAAUCUCAAACUUCAACUGCCAAAACUAUUAUUUUUCAUCCUGUAGUCCCUUUUAGAAUUACUAAAUGUCCUUUUUUGGGCCGAGAUUUCCAGGAACGCUUUCUCGGGGUUUGUGUGCAUGUAUUUCAAACCAUACGGACCUAAAAAUUAGGUCAUUCCAUCUUUAUUCCCCUAGAGCCUUCCAGCAGUUCCUAAACCGCUCCAGUCGGAGCACGUUAUCAUUCUUGUUUGUUCUGAGCGAAUUCCCUCGAUAUGAUCAUUCUUUCAUCAGUUUGUCCCCCGUUUCUUCUCUAGCCUGAGCCUGACACACUAUUCUAGCUAGACAUGGGUGUGGCUCGUAACACCUAAUGACCAAACGGAUCUACGGCACCGUUGAAUCUCAAACUUUAACUGCCAAAACUAUUGUUUUUCAUUAUGUAGUCCCUUUUAAAUUACUAAACGUCAUUUUUUGGGCUGAGAUAUCCAGGAAAGCUUUCUCGGGGUUUGUGUGCACGUAUUUCAAAUCAUACGGACCUAAAAAUUAGAAGUCAUUCCAUAUUUAUUCCCCUAGAGCCUUCCAGAAAUUCCUAAACCGCUCCAGUUGGACCACGUUAUCAUUCUUGUUAGUUCUGAGUGAAUUACCUCAGUAUGAUCAUUCUUUCAUCAGUUUGUUCCCCGUUUCUUCUAUAGUCUGAGCCUAGCACACUACUCUAGCUAGACAUGGGUGUGGCUCGUAACACCUGAUGACCAAACAGAUCUACGACACCGUCAAAUCUCAAACUUUAACUGCCAAAACUAUUGUUUUUCAUCCUGUAGUCCCUUUUAGAAUUACUAAACGUCCUUUUUUGGGCUGAGAUUUCCAGGAACGCUUUCGCGGGGUUUGUGUGCACGUAUUUUAAACCAUACGGACCUAAAAAUUAGAAGUCAUUCCAUCUUUAUUCCCCUAGAGCCUAACACACUAUUAUAGCUAGACAUGGGUGUGGCUCGUAACACCUGAUGACCAAACGGAUCUACGGCACCAUCGAAUCUCAAACUUUAACUGCCAAAACUAUUGUAUUUCAUCAUGUAGUCCCUUUUAGAAUUAUUAAACGUCCUUUUUUUGGGCCGUGAUUUCCAUGAACGCUUUCUCGGGGUUUCUGUGCACGUAUUUCAAAUCAUACAGACCUAAAAAUUAGAAGGCAUUUCAUCUUUAUUCCCCUAGAGCCUUCCAGCAGUUCCUAAACCGCUCCAGUCGGACCAUGUUAUCAUUCUUGUUAGUUCUGAGUGAAUUCCCUCGAUAUGAUCAUUCUUUCAUCAGUUUGUUCCCCGUUUCUUCUCUAGUCUGAGCCUAGCUCACUAUUCUAGCUAGAUAUGGGUGUGGCUCAUAAUACCCGAUGACCAAACGGAUCUACGGCACCAUCGAAUCUCAAACUUUAGCUGCCAAAACUAUUGUUUUUCAUCCUGUAGUCCCUUUUAGAAUUACUAAACGUCCUUUUUUGGGCCGGGAUUUCCAGGAGCGCUUUCUCGGGGUUUGUGUGCACGUAUUUCAAACCAAGCGUUCCUAAAAAUUAGAAGUCAUUUGAUCUUUAUUCCCCUAGAGCCUUCCAGCAGUUCCUAAACCGCUCCAGUCGGCGCACGUUAUCAUUCUUGUUAGUUCUGAGCGAAUUCCCUCGGUAUGAUCAUUCUUUCAUCAGUUUGUUCCUCGUUUCUUCUCUAGUCUGAGCCUAGCACACUAUUCUAGCUAGACAUGGGUGUGGGUCAUAACACCUGAUGACCAAACCGAUCUACGGCACCAUCGAAUCUCAAACUUUAACUACCAAAACUAUUGUUUUUCAUCCUGUAGUCCCUUUUAGAAUUACCAAACGUCCUUUUUUGGGCCGAGAAUUCCAAGAAUGCUUUCUCGGGGUUUGUGUGCACAUAUUUCAAACCAAACAUUCCUAAAAAUUAGAAAUCAUUCCAUCUUUAUUCCCCAAGAGCCUUCCAGCAGUUCCUAAACAGCUCCACUCAGAGCACGUUGUCAUUCUUGUUAGUUCUGAGCGAAUUCCCUCGGUAUGAUCAUUCUUUCAUCAGUUUGUUCCCUGUUUCUUCUCUAGUCUGAGCCUCGCACACUAUUCUAGCUAUUAAUGGGUGUGGAUCGUAACUCCUGAUGACCAAACGGAUCUACGGCACCGUCGAAUCUCAAACUUUAACUGCCAAAACUACUGUUUUUCAUUCUGUAGUCCCUCUUAAAUUACUAAACGUCAUUUUUUGGGCUGAGAUAUCCAGGAACGCUUUCUCGGGGUUUGUGUGCACGUAUUUCAAAUCAUACGGACCUAAAAAUUAGAAGUCAUUCCAUCUUUAUUCCCCUAGAGCCUUCCAGCAGUUCCUAAACCACUCCAGUCGGAGCACGUUAUCAUUAUUGUUAGUUCCGAGUGAAUUCCCUUGGCAUGAUCUUUCUUUCAUCAGUUUGUUCCCCGUUUCUUCUCUAGUGUUAGCCUAUCACACUAUUCUAGCUAGACAUGGGUGUGGCUCGUAACACCUGAUGACCAAACGGAUCUACGGCACCGUCGAAUUUCAAACUUUAACUGCCAAAACUAUUGUUUUUCCUCCUGUAGUCCCUUUUAGAAUUACUAAAUGUCCUUUUUUGGGCCGAGAUUUCCAGGAAUGCUUUCUCGGGGUUUGUGUGCAUGUAUUUCAAACCAUACGGACCUAAAAAUUAGGUCAUUCCAUAUUUAUUCCCCUAGAGCCUUCCAGCAGUUCCUAAACAUCUCCAGUCGGAGCACGUUAUCAUUCUUGUUUGUUCUGAGCGAAUUCCCUCAGUAUGAUCAUUCUUUCAUCAUUUUGUGCCCUGUUUCUUCUCUAGUCUGAGCAUAGCACACUAUUCUAGCUAGACAUGGGUGUGGCUCGUAACACCUGAUGACCAAACGGAUGUACGACACCGUCGAAUCUCAAACUUUAACUGCCAAAACUAUUGUUUUUCAUCCUGUAGUCCCUUUUAAAUUUACUAAAUGUCCUUUUUGGGCUGAGAUUUCCAGGAACGCUUUCGUGCGGUUUGUGUGCAAGUAUUUCUAAUCAUACGGACCUAUAAAUUAGAAGUCAUUCCAUCUUUAUUCCCCUAGAGCCUUCGAGCAGUUCCUAAACCGCGCCAGCCGGAGCAUGUUAUCAUUCUUGUUAGUUCUGAGUGAAUUCCCUCGGUAUGAUCAUUCUUUCAUCAGUUUGUUCCCCGUUUCUUCUCUAGUCUGAGCCUAGCACACUACUCUAGCUAGACAUGGGUUUGGCUCGUAACACCUGAUAACCAAACAGGUCUACGACUCCAUCGAAUCUCAAACUUUUUUGGGCCGAGAUUUCCAGGAACGCUUUCUCGGGGUUUGUGUGCACGUAUUUCAAAUCAUGCGGACCUAAAAAUUAGAAGUCAUUCCAUAUUUAUUACCCUAGAGCCUUCCAGCAGUUCCUAAACCGCUCCAGUCGGAGCAUGUUAUCAUUCUCUUUAGUUCUCAGGGAAUUCCCUCGGUAUGAUCAUUCUUUCAUCAGUUUAUUCCCUGUUUUUUCUCUAGCAUGAGCCUAACACACUAUUCUAGCUACACAUGGGUGUGGCUCGUAACACCUGAUGACCAAACGGAUCUACGGCACCGUCGAAUCUCAAACUUUAACUGCCAAAACUAUUGUUUUCGUCCUGUAGUCCCUUUUAGAAUUACUAAACGUCCUUUUUUGGGCCGAGAUUUCCAGGAACGCUUUCUCGGGGUUUGUGUGCACGUAUUUCAAAUCAUACGGACCUAAAAAUUAGAAGUCAUUCCAUCUUUAUUCCCCUAGAGCCUUCCAGCAGUUCCUAAACAGCUCUAGUCGGAGCAAGUUAUCAUUCUUGUUAGUUCUGAGCGAAUUCCCUCGGUAUGAUCAUUCUUUCAUUAGUUUGUUCUGCGUUUCUUCUCUAGUCUGAGCCUAGCACACUAUUCUAGCUAUUAAUGGGUGUGGAUCGUAACACCUAAUGACCAACGGAUCUACGGCACCAUCGAAUCUCAAACUUUAACUGCCAAAACUAUUAUUUUUCAUCCUGUAGUCCCUUUAAAAAUUAUUAAAUGUCAUUUUUUGGGCCGAGAUUUCCAGGAACGCUUUCUCGGGGUUUGUGUGCAUGUAUUUCAAGUCAUACGGACCUAAAAAUUAGAAUCCAUUCCAUCUUUAUUCCCCUAGAGCCUUGCAGCAGUUCCUAAACCGCUCCAGUCGGAGCACGUUAUCAUUAUUGUUAGUUCUGAGUGAAUUCCCUCGGUAUGAUUAUUCUUUCAUCAGUUUGUUCCCCAUUUCUUCUCUAGUCUGAGCCUAACACACUAUUCUAGCUAGACAUGGGUGUGGCUCGUAAUACCUGAUGACCAAACGGAUCUACAGCACCGUCGAAUCUCAAACUUUAACUACGAAAACUAUUGUUUUUCAUUCUAUAGUCCCUUUCAGAAUUACUAAACGUCCUUUUUUGGGCCGAGAUUUCCAGGAACGCUUUCUCGGGGUUUGAGUGCGCGUAUCUAACAAUACAGACCUAAAGAUUAGAAUUCAUUCCAUCUUUAUUCCCCUAGAGCCUUCCAGCAGUUCCUAAACUGCUCCAGUCGGAGCACGUUAUCAUUCUUGUUAGUUCUCAGGGAAUUCCCUCGGUAUGAUCAUUCUUUCAUCAGUUUGUUCCCCGUUUCUUCUCUAGCAUGAGCCAAACACACUAUUCUAGCUACACAUGGGUGUGCCUCGUAACACCUGAUGACCAAACGGAUCUACGGCACCGUCGAAUCUCAAACUUUAACUGCCAAAAUUAUUGUUUUUCAUCUUGUAGUCCCUUGUAGAAUUACUAAACGUCCUUUUUUGGGCCGAGAUUUCGAGAAACACUUUGUCAGGGUUUGUUUGCACGUAUUUCAAACCAUACGGACCUAAAAAUUAGAAGUCAUUCCAUCUUUGUUCCCCUAGAGCCUUCCAGCAGUUCCUAAACCGCUCCAGUCGGAGCAUGUUAUCAUUCUUGUUAGUUCUGAGCAAAUUCCCUCGGUAAGAUCAUUCUUUCAUCAGUUUGUUCCCUGUUUCUUCUCUAGCCUGAGCCUGACACACUAUUCUAGCUAGACAUGGGCGUGGCUCGUGACACCUGAUGACCAAACGGAUCUACGGCACCGUCGAAUCUCAAACUUUAACUACCAAAACUAUUGUUUUUCAUUCUGUAGUCCCUUUUAAAUUACUAAACGUCAUUUUUUCGGCCGAGAUUUCCAGGAACGCUUUCUUGUGGUUUGUGUGCAUGUAUUUCAAAUCAUACGGACCUAAAAAUUGGAAUCCAUUCCAUCUUUAUUCCCCUAGAGCCUUCCAGCAGUUCCUAAUCCGCUCCAGUCGGAGCACGUUAUCAUUGUUGUUAGUUCUGAGUGAAUUCCCUCGGUAUGAUCAUUCUUUCAUCAGUUUGUUCCCUGUUUCUUCUCUAGUCUGAGCCUAACACACUAUUCUAGCUAGACAUGGGUGUGGCUCGUAACACCCGAUGACCAAACGGAUCUACGGCACCGUCGAAUCUCAAACUUUAACUGCGAAAACUAUUGUUUUUCAUCCUGUAGUCCUUUUUAGAAUUACUAAACGUCCUUUUUUGGGACGAGAUUUCCAGGAACGCUUUCUCGGGGUUUGUGUGCGCGUAUUUCAAACCAUACGAACCUUAAAAUUAGAAUUCAUUCCAUCUUUAUUCCCCUAGAGCCUUCCAGCAGUUCCUAAACCGCUCCAGUCGGAGCACGUUAUCAUUCUUGUUAGUUCUGAGCAAAUUCCCUCGGUAUGAUCAUUCUUUCAUCAGUUUGUUCCCCGUUUCUUCUCUAGUCUGAGCCUAGCACACUAUUCUAGCUAUUAGUGGGUGUGGAUCGUAACACCUAAUGACCAAACGGAUCUAUGGCACCAUCGAAUCUCAAACUUUAACUGCCAAAACUAUUGUUUUUCAUCCUGUAGUCCCUUUUACAAUUAUUAAACGUCCUUUUUUGGGCCGAGAUUUCCAGGAACGCUUUCUCGGGGUUUGUGUGCAUGUAUUUCAAACCAAACGUUCCUAAAAAUUUGAAGGCAUUCCAUCUUUAUUCCCCUAGAGCCUUCCAGCAGUUCCUAAACCGCUCCAGUCGGAGCACGUUACCAUUCUUGUUAGUUCUGAGCGAAUUCCCUCGGUAUGAUCAUUUUUUCAUCAGUUUUUUCCCUGUUUCUUCUCUAGUCUGAGCCUCGCACACUAUUCUAGCUAUUAAUGGGUGUGGAUCGUAACACCUGAUGACCAAACGGAUCUACGGCACCGUCGAAUCUCAAACUUUAACUGCCAAAACUACUGUUUUUCAUUCUGUAGUCCAUUUUAAAUUACUAAACGUCAUUUUUGGGGCCGAUAUUUCCAGGAACGCUUUCUCGGGGUUUGUGUGCACGUAUUUCAAAUCAUACGGACCUAAAAAUUAGAAGUCAUUCCAUCUUUAUUCCCCUAGAGCCUUCCAGCAGUUCCUAAACCACUCCAGUCGGAGCAUGUUAUCAUUAUUGUUAGUUCUGAGUGAAUUCCCUCGGUAUGAUCAUUCUUUCAUCAGUUUGUUCCCCGUUUCUUCUCUAGUCUGAGCCUAUCAUACUAUUCUAGCUAGACAUGGGUGUGGCUCGUAACAUCUGAUGACCAAACGGAUCUAUGGCACCGUCGAAUCUCAAACUUUAACUGCCAAAACUAUUGUUUUUCAUCCAGUAGUCCCUUUUAGAAUUACUAAAUGUCCUUUUUUGGGCCGAGAUUUCCAGGAACGCUUUCUCGGGGUUUGUGUGCAUGUAUUUAAAACCAUACGGACCUAAAAAUUAGGUCAUUCCAUCUUUAUUCCCCUAGAGCCUUCCAGCAGUUCCUAAACCGCUCCAGUCGGAGCACGUUAUCAUUCUUGUUUGUUCUGAGCGAAUUCCCUCAGUAUGAUCAUUUUUCAUCAUUUUGUUCCCCGUUUCUUCUCUAGUCUGAGCCUAGCACACUAUUCUAGCUAGACAUGGGUGUGGCUCGUAACACUUGAUGACCAAAGGAUCUACGGCACCGUCGAAUCUCAAACUUUAACUGCCAAAACUAUUGUUUUUCAUCGUGUAGUCCCUUUGAAAUUUACUAAACGUCCUUUUUUGGGCUGAGAUUUCCAGGAAAGCUUUCGUGCGGUUUGUGUGCAAGUAUUUCAAAUCAUACGGACCUAUAAAUUAGAAGUCAUUCCAUCUUUAUUCCCCUAGAGCCUUCGAGCGGUUCCUAAACCGCUCCAGUCGGAGCAUGUUAUCAUUCUUGUUAGUUCUGAGUGAAUUCCCUCGGUAUGAUCAUUCUUUCAUCAGUUUGUUCCCCGUUUCUUCUCUAGUCUGAGCCUAGCACACGACUCUAGCUAGACAUGGGUUUGGCUCGUAACACCUGAUAACCAAAUGGCUCUAUGACACCAUCGAAUCUCAAACUUCUUUGGGCUGAGAUUUCCAUGAACGCUUUCUCGGGGUUUGUGUGCACGUAUUUCNNNNNNNNNNNNNNNNNNNNNNNNNNNNNNNNNNNNNNNNNNNNNNNNNNNNNNNNNNNNNNNNNNNNNNNNNNNNNNNNNNNNNNNNNNNNNNNNNNNNNNNNNNNNNNNNNNNNNNNNNNNNNNNNNNNNNNNNNNNNNNNNNNNNNNNNNNNNNNNNNNNNNNNNNNNNNNNNNNNNNNNNNNNNNNNNNNNNNNNNNNNNNNNNNNNNNNNNNNNNNNNNNNNNNNNNNNNNNNNNNNNNNNNNNNNNNNNNNNNNNNNNNNNNNNNNNNNNNNNNNNNNNNNNNNNNNGUAUUUCAAAUCAUGCGGACCUAAAAAUUAGAAGUCAUUCCAUAUUUAUUCCCCUAGAGCCUUCCAGCAGUUCCUAAACUGCUCCAGUCGGAGCAUGUUAUCAUUCUUGUUUGUUCUCAGGGAAUUCCAUCGGUAUGAUCAUUCUUUCAUCAGUUUGUUCCCCGUUUUUUCUCUAGCCUGAGCCUAACACACUAUUCUAGCUACACAUGGGUGUGGCUCGUAACACCUGAUGACCAAACGGAUCUACGACACCGUCGAAUCUGAAACUUUAACUGCCAAAACUAUUGUUUUUCAUCCUGUAGUCCCUUUUAGAAUUAGUAAACGUCCUUUUUUGGGCCAAGAUUUCCAGGAACGCUUUCUCGGGGUUUGUGUGCACGUAUUUCAAAACAUACGGACCUAAAAAUUAGAAGUCAUUCCAUCUUUAUUCCCCUAGAGCCUUCCAGCAGUUCCUAAACUGCUCUAGUCGGAGCAUGUUAUCAUUCUUGUUAGUUCUGAGUGAAUUCCCUCGGUAUGAUCAUUCUUUCAUAAGUUUGUUCCCCAUUUCUUCUCUAGUCUGAGCCUAGCACACUAUUCUAGAUAGACAUGGGUGUGGGCCAUAACACCUGAUGACCAAACGGAUCUACGGCACCCUCGAAUCUCAAACUUUAACUGCCAAAACUAUUGUUUUUCAUCUUGUAGUCCCUUUUAGAAUUACUAAACGUCCUUUUUUGGGCCGAGAUUUCCAGGAACGCUUUCUCGGGGUUUGUGUGCAUGUAUUUCAAACCAAACGUUCCUAGAAAUUAGAAGUCAUUCCAUGUUUAUUCCCCUAGAGCCUUCCAGCAGUUCCUAAACAGCUCUAGUCGAAGCACGUUAUCAUUCUUGUUAGUUCUGAGCGAAUUCCCUCGGUAUGAUCAUUCUUUCAUCAGUUUGUUUUGCGUUUCUUCUCUAUUCUGAGCCUAGCAAACUAUACUAGCUAUUAAUGGGUGUGGAUCGUAACACCUAGUGACCAAACGGAUCUACGGCACCAUCGAAUCUCAAACUUUAACUGCCAAAACUAUUAAACGUCCUUUUUUGGGCCGAGAUUUCCAGGAACGCUUUCUCGGGGUUUGUGUGCAUGUAUUUCAAAUCAUACGGACCUAAAAAUUAGAAGGCAUUCCAUCUUUAUUCCCCUAGAGCCUUCCAGUAGUUCCUAAACCACCCCAGUCGGAGCACGUUAUCAUUCUUGUUAGUUCUGAGCGAAUUCCCUUGGUAUGAUCAUUCUUUCAUCAGUUUGUUCCCUGUUUCUUCUCUAGCCUGAGCCUGACACACUAUUCUAGCUAGACAUGGGUGUGGCUCGUGACACCUAAUGAGCAAACGGAUCUACGGCACCGUCGAAUCUCAAACUUUAACUACCAAAACUAUUGUUUUUCAUUCUGUAGUCCCUUUUAAAUUACUAAACAUCAUUUUUUGGGCCGAGAUUUCCAGGAACGCUUUCUCGGGGUUUGUGUGCAUGUAUUUCAAUUCAUACGGACCUAAAAAUUAGAGUCCAUUCCAUCUUUAUUCCCCUAGAGCCUUCCAACAGUUCCUAAACCGCUCCAGUCGGAGCACGUUAUCAUUAUUGUUAGUUCUGAGUGAAUUCCCUCGGUAUGAUCAUUCUUUCAUCAGUUUGUUCCCGUUUCUUCUCUAGUCUGAGCCUAACACACUAUUCUAGCUAGACAUGGGUGUGGCUCGUAACACCUGAUGACCAAACGGAUCUACGGCACCGUCGAAUCUCAAACAUUAACUACGAAAACUAUUGUUUUUCAUUCUAUAGUCCCUUUUAGAAUUACUAAGCGUCCUUUUUUGGGCUGAGAUUUCCAGGAACGCUUUCUCGGGGUUUGUGUGCACGUAUUUCAAACAAUACGGACCGAAAAAUUAGAAUUCAUUCCAUCUUUAUUCCCCUAGAGCCUUCUAGCAGUUCCUAAAUCGCUCCAGUCGGAGCACGUUAUCAUUCUUGUUAGUUCUCAGGGAAUUCCCUCGGUAUGAUCAUUCUUUCAUCAGUUUGUUCCCCGUUUCUUCUCUAGCCUGAGCCUAACACACUAUUCUAGCUACACAUGGGCAUGGCUCGUAACACCUGAUGACCAAAUGGAUCUACGACACCGUCGAAUCUCAAACUUUAACUGCCAAAACUAUUGUUUUUCAUCCUGUAGUCCCUUGUAGAAUUACUAAACGUCCUUUUUUGGGCCGAGAUUUCGAGGAACGCUUUGUCGGGGUUUGUGUGCACAUAUUUCAAACCAUACGGACCUAAAAAUUAGAAGUCAUUCCAUCUUUGUUCCCCUAGAGCCUUCCAGCAGUUCCUAAACCGCUCCAGUCGGAGCACGUUAUCAUUCUUGUUAGUUAUGAGCAAAUUCCCUCGGUAUGUACAUUCUUUCAUCAGUUUGUUCCGUGUUUCUUCUCUAGCCUGAGCUUGACACACUAUUCUAGCUAGACAUGGGUGUGGCUCGUGACACCUAAUGACCAAACGGAUCUACGGCACCGUCGAAUCUCAAACUUUAACUACCAAAACUAUUGUUUUUCAUUCUGUAGUCCCUUUUAAAUUACUAAACGUCCUUUUUUGGGCCGAGAUUUCCAGGAACGCUUUCGCCCGGUUUGUGUGCAAGUAGUUCAAAUCAUACGGACCUAAAAAUUAGAUGUCAUUCCAUCUUUAUUCCCUCUAGAGCCUUCCAGCACUUCCUAAACCGCUCUAGUCGGAGCACGUUAUCAUUCUUGUUAGUUCUGAGUGAAUUCCCUUGGUAUGAUCAUUCUUUCAUCAGUUUGUUCUCCAUUUCUUCUCUAGUCUGAGCCUAACACACUACUCUAGCUAGACAUGGGUGUGGCUCAUAACACCUCAUGACCAAACAGGUCUACGGCACCAUCAAAUCUCAAACUUUAACUGCCAAAACUAUUGUUUUUCAUUCUGUAGUCCAUUUUAGAAUUACUAAACGUCCUUUUUUGGGACGAGAUUUCCAGGAACGCUUUCUCGGGGUUUGUGUGCACGUAUUUCAAAUCAUACAGACCUAAAAAUUAGAAGUCAUUCCAUCUUUAUUCCCCUAGAGCCUUCCAGCAGUUCCUAAACCGCUCCAGUCAGAGCAUGUUAUCAUUCUUGGUAGUUCUGAGUGAAUUCCCUCGGUAUGAUCAUUCUUUCAUCAGUUUGUUCCCCGUUUCUUCUCUAGCCUGAGCCUAACACACUAUUCUAGCUAGACAUGUGUGUGGCUCGUAACACCUGUUGACCAAACGGAUCUACGGCACCGUCGAAUCUCAAAUUUUAACUGCCAAAACUAUUGUUUUUCAUCUUGUAGUCCCUUUUAGAAUUACUAAACGUCCUUUUUUGGGCCGAGAUUUCCAGGAACGCCUUCUCGGGGUUUGUUUGCACGUAUUUCGAACCAUAUGGACCUAAAAAUUAGAAGUCAUUCCAUAUUUAUUCCCCUAUAGCCUUCCCGCAGUUUCUAAACCGCUCCAGUCGAAGCAUGUGAUCAUUCUUGUUAGUUCUGAGUGAAUUCCCUCGGUAUGAUCAUUCUUUCAUCAGUUUGUUCCCUGUUUCUUCUCUAGCCUGAGCCUGACACACUAUUCUAGCUAGACAUGGGUGUGGCUCAUGACACUUGAUGACCAAACGGAUCUACGGCACCGUUGAAUCUCAAACUUUAACUACCAAAACUAUUGUUUUUCAUUCUGUAGUCCCUUUUAAAUUACUAAACGUCAUUUUUUGGGCCGAGAUUUCCAGGAACGCUUUCUCGGGGUCUGUGUGCAUGUAUUUCAAAUCAUACGGACCUAAAAAUUAGAAUCCAUUCCAUCUUUAUUCCCCUAGAGCCUUCGAGCAGUUCCUAAACCGCUCCAGUUGGAGCACGUUAUCAUUAUUGUUAGUUGUGAGUGAAUUCCCUCGGUAUGAUCAUUCUUUCAUCAGUUUGUUCCCUGUUUCUUCUCUAGUCUGAGCCUAACACACUAUUCUAGCUAGACAUGGGUGUGGCUCGUAACACCCGAUGACCAAACGGAUCUACGGCACCGUCGAAUCUCAAACUUUAACUGCGAAAACUAUUGUUUUUCAUCCUGUAGUCCUUUUUAGAAUUACUAAACGUCCUUUUUUGGGACGAGAUUUCCAGGAACGCUUUCUCGGGGUUUGUGUGCGCGUAUUUCAAACCAUACGAACCUUAAAAUUAGAAUUCAUUCCAUCUUUAUUCCCCUAGAGCCUUCCAGAAGUUCCUAAACCGCUCCAGUCGGAGCACGUUAUCAUUCUUGUUAGUUCUGAGCGAAUUCCCUCGGUAUGAUCAUUCUUUCAUCAGUUUGGCCCCCCUUUCUUCUCUAUUCUGAGCCUAGCACACUAUUCUAGCUAUUAAUGGGUGUGGAUCGUAACACCUAAUGACCAAACGGAUCUACGACACCAUCGAAUCGCAAUCUUUAACUGCCAAAACUAUUGUUUUUCAUCCUGUAGUCCCUUUUACAAUUAUUAAACGUCCUAUUUUGGGCCGAGAUUUCCAGGAACGCUUUCUCGGGGUUUGUGUGCAUGUAUUUCAAAUCAUACGGACCUAAAAGUUUGAAGGCAUUCCAUCUUUAUUCCCCUAGAGCCUUCCAGCAGUUCCUAAACCGCUCCAGUCGGAUCACGUUAUCAUUAUUGUUAGUUCUGAGCAAAUUCCCUCGGUAUGAUCAUUCUUUCAUCAGUUUGUUCCCUGUUUCUUCUCUAACCUGAGCAUGACACACUAUUCUAGCUAGACAUGGGUGUGGCUCGUGACACCUGAUGACCAAACGGAUCUACGGCACCGUCGAAUCUCAAACUUUAACUGCAAAAACUAUUGUUUUUCAUUCUAUAGUCCCUUUUAAAUUACUAAACGUCCUUUUUUGGGCCGAGAUUUCCAGGAACGCUUUCGCCCGGUUUGUGUGCAAGUAUUUCAAAUCAUACGGACCUAAAAAUUAGAUGUCAUUCCAUCUUUAUUCCCUCUAGAGCCUUCCAGCACUUCCUAAACCGCUCUAGUCGGAGCACGUUAUCAUUCUUGUUAGUUCUGAGUGAAUUCCCUUGGUAUGAUCAUUCUUUCAUCAGUUUGUUCUCCAUUUCUUCUCUAGUCUGAGCCUAGCACACUACUCUAGCUAGACAUGGGUGUGGCUCAUAACACCUGAUGACCAAACGGAUCUACGGCACCGUCGAAUCUCUAACUUUAACUGCAAAAACUAUUGUUUUUCAUCCUGUAGUCCCUUUUAGAAUUACUAAACGUCCUCUUUUGGGCCGAGAUUUCCAAGAACGCUUUCUCAGGGUUUGUGUGCGUGUAUUUCAAAGCAUAUGGACCUAAAAAUUAGAAUUCAUUCCAUCUUUAUUCCCCUAGAGCCUUCCAGCAGUUCCUAAACCGCUCCACUCGGAUUACGUUAUCAUUCUUGUUAGUUCUGAGCGAAUUCCCUCGGUAUGAUCAUUCUUUCAUCAGUUUGUUCCCCGUUUCUUCUCUAGUCCGAGCCUAGCACACAAUUCUAGCUAGACAUGGGUGUGGCUCGUAUCACCUGAUGACCAAACGGAUCUACGGCACCGUCGAAUCUCAAAUUUAACUGCCAAAACUAUUAUUUUUCAUCCUGUAGUCCCUUUUAGAAUUACUAAACGUCCUUUUUUGGGCCGAGAUUUCCAGGAACGCUUUCGCGCGGUUUGUGUGCAAGUAUUUCAAAUCAUACGGACCUAAAAAUUAGAUGUCAUUCCAUCUUUAUUCCCCUAGAGCCUUCCAGCACUUCCUAAACCGCUCCAGUCGGAGCACGUUAUCAUUCUUGUUAGUUCCGAGUGAAUUCCCUUGGUAUGAUCAUUCUUUCAUCAGUUUGUUCUCCAUUUCUUCUCUAGUCUGAGCCUAGCACACUACUCUAGCUAGACAUGGGUGUGGCUCAUAAGACCUCAUGACCAAACGGGUCUACGGCACCAUCAAAUCUCAAACUUUAACUGCUAAAACUAUUGUUUUUCAUUCUGUAGUCCCUUUUAGAAUUACUAAACAUCCUUUUUUGGGCCGAGAUUUCCAGGAACGCUUUCUCGGGGUUUGUGUGCAUGUAUUUCAAAUCAUACAGACCUAGAAAUUAGAAGUCAUUCCAUCUUUAUUCCCCUAGAGCCUUCCAGCAGUUCCUAAACCGCUCCAGUCAGAGCAUGUUAUCAUUCUUGGUAGUUCUGAGUGAAUUCCCUCGGUAUGAUCAUUCUUUCAUCAGUUUGUUCCCCGUUUCUUCUCUAGCCCGAGCCUAACACACUAUUCUAGCUAGACAUGUGUGUGGCUCGUAACACCUGAUGACCAAACGGAUCUACGGCACCGUCGAAUCUCAAACUUUAUCUGCCAAAACUAUUGUUUUUCAUCUUGUAGUCCCUUUUAGAAUUACUAAACGUCCUUUUUUGGGCCGAGAUUUCCAGGAAUGCUUUCUCGGGGUUUGUUUGCAUGUAUUCCAAACCAUACAGACCUAAAAAAUUAGAAGUCAUUCCAUAUUUAUUCCCCUAUAGCCUUCCAGCAGUUUGUAAACCGCUCCAGUCGGAGCAUGUUAUCAUUCUUGUUAGUUCUGAGUGAAUUCCCUCGGUAUGAUCAUUCUUUCAUCAGUUUGUUCCCUGUUUCUUCUCUAGCCUGAGCCUGACACACUAUUCUAGCUAGACAUGGGUGUGGCUCAUGACACCUGAUGACCAAACGGAUCUACGGCACCGUCGAAUCUCAAACUUUAACUACCAAAACUAUUGUUUUUCAUUCUGUUGCCCCUUUUAAAUUACAAAACGUCAUUUUUUGGGCCGAGAUUUCCAGGAACGCUUUCUCGGGGUUUGUGUGCAUGUAUUUCAAGUCAUACGAACCUAAAAAUUAGAAUACAUUCCAUCUUUAUUCCCCUAGAGCCUUCCAGCAGUUCCUAAACCGCUCCAGUCAGAGCACGUUAUCAUUCUUGUUAGUUCUCAGGGAAUUCCCUCGGUAAGACCAUUCUUUCAUCAGUUUGUUCCCCGUUUCUUCUCUAGCCUGUGCCUAGCACACUAUUCUAGCUACACAUGGGUGUGGCUCGUAACACGUGAUGACCAAACGGAUCUACGACACCGUCGAAUCUCAAACUUUAACUGCCAAAACUAUUGUUUUUCAUCCUGUAGUCCCUUGUAGAAUUACUAAACGUCCUUUUUUGGGCCGAGAUUUCGAGGAACGCUAUGUUGGGGUUUGUGUGCACGUAUUUCAAACCAUACAGACCUAAAAAUUAGAAGUCAUUCCAUCUUUGUUCCCCUAGAGCCUUCCAGCAGUUCCUAAACCGCUCUAGUUGGAGCACGUUAUCAUUCUUGUUAGUUCUGAGCAAAUUCCCUCGGUAUGAUCAUUCUUUCAUCAGUUUAUUCCCUGUUUCUUCUCUAGUUUGAGCCUAGCACACUAUUCUAGCUACUAAUGGGUGUGGAUCGUAACACCUGAUGACCAAACGGAUCUACGGCACCGUCGAAUCUCAAACUUUAACUGCCAAAACUACUGUUUUUCAUUCCGUAGUCCCUUUUAAAUUACUAAACGUCAUUUUUUGGGCAGAGAUAUCCAGGAACGCUUUCUCGGGGUUUGUGUGCACGUAUUUCAAAUCAUACGGACCUAAAAAAUAGAUUCCAUUCCAUCUUUAUUCCCCUCGAGCUUUCCAGCAGUUCCUAAACCGCUCCAGUCGGAGCACGUUAUCAUUAUUGUUAGUUCUGAGUGAGUUCCCUCGGUAGGAUCAUUCUUUCAUCAGUUUGUUCCCCGUUUCUUCUCUAGUCUGAGCCUAACACACUAUUCUAGCUAGACAUGGGCAUGGAUCAUAACACCUGAUGACCAAACGGAUCUACGGCACCGUCGAAUCUCAAACUUUAACUGCGAAAACUAUUGUUUUUCAUCCUGUAGUCCCUUUUAGAAUUACUAAACGUCCUUUUUGGGCCGAGAUUUCCAGGAACGCUUUCUCAGGGUUUGUGUGCGUGUAUUUCAAACCAUACGGACCUAAAAAUUAGAAUUCAUUCCAUCUUUAUUUCCCUAGAGCCUUCCAGCAGUUCCUAAACCGCUCCAGUCGGAGCACGUUAUCAUUCUUGUUAGUUCUGAGCGAAUUCCCUCGGUAUGAUCAUUCUUUCAUCAGUUUGUUCCCCGUUUCUUCUCUAGUCUGAGCCUAACACACGAUUCUAGCUAGACAUGGGUGUGGCUCGUAUCACCUGAUGACCAAACAGAUCUACGGCACCGUCGAAUCUCAAAUUUAACUGCCAAAACUAUUAUUUUUCAUCCUGUAGUCCCUUUUAGAAUUACUAAACGUCCUUUUUUUGGCCGAGAUUUCCAGGAACGCUUUCGCCCAGUUUGUGUGCAAGUAUUUCAAAUCAUACGGACCUAAAAAUUAGAUGUCAUUCCAUCUUUAUUCCCCUAGAGCCUUCCAGCACUUCCUAAACCGCUCUAGUUGGAGCACGUUAUCAUUCUUGUUAGUUCUGAGUGAAUUCCCUUGGUAUAAUCAUUCUUUCAUCAGUUUGUUCUCCAUUUCUUCUGUAGUCUGAACCAAGCACACUACUCUAGCUAGACAAGGGUGUGGCUCAUAACACCUCAUGACCAAACGGGUCUACGGCACCAUCAAAUUUCAAACUUUAACUGCCAAUACUAUUGUUUUUCAUUCUGUAUUCCCUUUUAGAAUUACUAAACGUCCUUUUUUGGGCCGAGAUUUCUAGGAACGCUUUCUCGGGGUUUGUGUGCACGUAUUUCAAAUCAUACGGACCUAAAAAUUAGAAGUCAUUCCAUCUUUAUUCCCCUAGAGCCUUCCAGCCGUUCCUAAACCGCUCCAGUCGAAGCACGUUAUCAUUAUUGUUAGUUGUCAGUGAAUUCCCUCAGUAUGAUCAUUCUUUCAUCAGUUUGUUCCCUGUUUCUUCUCUAGUCUGAGCUUAACACACUAUUCUAGCUAGACAUGGGUGUGGCUCGUAACACCCGAUGACCAAACGGAUCUACGGCACCGUCGAAUCUCAAACUUUAACUGCGAAAACUAUUGUUUUUCAUCCUGUAGUCCUUUUUAGAAUUACUAAACGUCCUUUUUUGGGACGAGAUUUCCAGGAACGCUUUCUCGGGGUUUGUGUGCAUGUAUUUCAAAUCAUACGGACCUAAAAAUUAGAUGUCAUUCCAUCUUUAUUCCCCUAGAGCCUUCCAGCACUUCCUAAACCGCUCUAGUCGGAGCACGUUAUCAUUCUUGUUAGUUCUGAGUGAAUUCACUUGGUAUGAUCAUUCUUUCAUCAGUUUGUUCUCCAUUUCUUCUCUAGUCUGAGCCUAGCACACUACUCUAGCUAGACAUGGGUGUGGCUCAUAACACCUCGUGACCAAACGGGUCUACGGCACCAUCAAAUCUCAAACUUUAACUACCAAAACUAUUGUUUUUCAUUCUGUAUUCCCUUUUAGAAUUACUAAACGUCCUUUUUUGGGCCGAGAUUUCCAGGAAUGCUUUCUCGGGGUUUGUGUGCACGUAUUUCAAAUCAUACGGACCUAAAAAUUAGAAGUCAUUCCAUCUUUAUUCCCCUAGAGCCUUCCAGCAGUUCCUAAACCGCUCCAGUCAGAGCAUGUUAUCAUUCUUGGUAGUUCUGAGUGAAUUCCCUCGGUACGAUCAUUCUUUCAUCAGUUUGUUCCCCGUUUCUUCUCUAGCCUGAGCCUAACACACUAUUCUAGCUAGACAUGUGUUUGGCUCGUAACACCUGAUGACCAAACAGAUCUACGGCACCGUCGAAUCUCAAACUUUAACUGCCAAAACUAUUGUUUUUCAUCUUGUAGUCCCUUUUAGAAUUACUAAACGUCCUUUUUUGGGCCGAGAUUUCCAGGAACGCUUUCUCGGGGUUUGUGUGCAUGUAUUUCAAACCAUACGGACCGAAAAAUUAGAAGUCAUUCCAUAUUUAUUCCCCUAUAGCCUUCCAACAGUUUCUAUCCGCUCCAGUCGGAGCAUGUUAUCAUUCUUGUUAGUUCAGAGUGAAUUCCGUCGGUAUGAUCAUUCUUUCAUCAGUUUGUUCCCUGUUUCUUCUCUAGCCUGAGCCUGACACACUAUUCUAGCUAGACAUGGGUGUGGCUCGUGACACCUGAUGACCAAACGGAUCUACGGCACCGUCGAAUCUCAAACUUUAACUACCAAAACUAUUGUUUUUCAUUCUGUAGUCCCUUUUAAAUUACUAAACGUCAUUUUUUGGGCCGAGAUUUCCAGGAACGCUUUCUCGGGGUUUGUGUGCAUGUAUUUCAAAUCAUACGGACCUAAAAAUUAGAAUCCAUUCCAUCUUUAUUCCCCUAGAGCCUUCGAGCCGUUCCUAAACCGCUCCAGUCGGAGCACGUUAUCAUUAUUGUUAGUUGUCAGUGAAUUCCCUCAGUAUGAUCAUUCUUUCAUCAGUUUGUUCCCUGUUUCUUCUCUAGUCUGAGCUUAACACACUAUUCUAGCUAGACAUGGGUGUGGCUCGUAACACCCGAUGACCAAACGGAUCUACGGCACCGUCGAAUCUCAAACUUUAACUGCGAAAACUAUUGUUUUUCAUCCUGUAGUCCUUUGUAGAAUUACUAAACGUCCUUUUUUGGGACGAGAUUUCCAGGAACGCUUUCUCGGGGUUUGUGUGCGCGUAUUUCAAACCAUACGAACCUUAAAAUUAGAAUUCACUCCAUCUUUAUUCCCCUAGAGCCUUCUAGCAGUUCCUAAACCGCUCCAGUCGGAGCACGUUAUCAUUCUUUUUAGUUCUGAGCGAAUUCCCUCGGUAUGAUCAUUCUUUCAUCAUUUUGUUCCCCCUUUCUUCUCUAUUCUGAGCCUAGCACACUAUUCUAGCUAUUAAUGGGUGUGGAUCGUAACACCUAAUGACCAAACGGAUCUACGGCACCAUCGAAUCUCAAACUUUAACUGCCAAAACUAUUGUUUUUCAUCCUGUAGUCCCUUUUACAAUUAUUAAACGUCCUUUUUUGGGCCGAGAUUUCCAGGAACGCUUUCUCGGGGUUUGUGUGCAUGUAUUUCAAAUCAUACGGACCUAAAAGUUUGAAGGCAUUCCAUCUUUAUUCCCCUAGAGGCUUCCAGCAGUUCCUAAACCGCUCCAGUCGGAGCACGUUAUCAUUAUUGUUAGUUCUGAGCGAAUUCCCUCGGUAUGAUCAUUCUUUCAUCAGUUUGUUUCCUGUUUCUUCUCUCUCCUGAGCAUGACACACUAUUCUCGCUAGACAUGGGUGUGGCUCGUGACACCUGAUGACCAAACGGAUCUACGACACCGUCGAAUCUCAAACUUUAACUACCAAAACUAUUGUUUUUCAUUCCGUAGUCCCUUUUAAAUUACUAAACGUCAUUUUUUGGGCCGAGAUUUCCAGGAACGCUUUCUCGGAGUUUGUGUGCAUGUAUUUCAAAUCAUACGGACCUAAAAAUUAGAAUCCAUUCCAUCUUUAUUCCCCUAAAGCUUUCCAGCAGUUCCUAAACCGCUCCAGUCGGAGCACGUUAUCAUUAUUGUUAGUUCUGAGUGAGUUCCCUCGGUAUGAUCAUUCUUUCUUAAGUUUGUUCCCCGUUUCUUCUCUAGUCUGAGCCUAACACACUAUUCUAGCUAGACAUGGGCGUGGCUCGUAACACCUGAUGACCAAACGGAUCUACGGCUGUUGGGGAACGUUGCAGAAAACAAAAAAUUUCCUACUCGUUUCACCAAGAUCAUCUAGGAGUUCAUCUAGCAACGAGUCAUUGGAUGCAUCUACAUACCUUUGUAGAUCGCGAGCGGAAGCGUUCAAAAGAACGGUGAUGAUGUAGUCGUACUCGACGUGAUCCAAAUCACCGAUGACCAGCGCCGAACGGACGGCACCUCCGCGUUCAACACACGUACGGGACGGGAGACGUCUCCUCCUUCUUGAUCCAGCAAGGGGGAAGGAGAGGUUGAUGAAGAUCCAGCAGCACGACGGCGUGGUGGUGGAUGCAGGGCGUCACAGCAGCAGGGCUUCGCCGAGACUACGAGGGAGAGACGUAACGGGGGGAGGUGGAGGCGCCAGGGGCUGGUGUAAAAUCCCCUAGUAGAUGGCAUCUACUAGGGGGGGCGGCGGCCCUAGUAGAUGGCAUCUACUAGGGGGGGCGGCGGCCAAGGGGAGGUUUCCCUCCCCCCCAAGGCACCUAGGGGUGCCUUCCACCACAUGGACUCUUCCAUGGUGGAAACCCUAGGCGCAUGGGCCUAUAGGGGCUGGUGCCCUUGGCCCAUCUAGGCCAAGGCGCACCCCCUACAGCCCAUGUGGCCCCCCGGGACAGGUGGCCCCACCCGAUGGACCCCCGGGACCCUUCCGGUGGUCCCGGUACAAUACCGAUAACCCCGAAACUUGUCCCGAUGCCCGAAAUAGCACUUCCUAUAUAUAAUUCUUUACCUCCGGACCAUUCGGAACUCCUCGUGACGUCCGGGAUCUCAUCCGGGACUCCGAACAACAUUCGGGUUUCUGCAUAUACAUAUCUUCAUAACCCUAGCGUCACCGAACCUUAAGUGUGUAGACCCUACGGGUUCGGGAGACAAGCAGACAUGACCGAGAAGACUCUCCGGUCAAUAACCAACAGCGGGAUCUGGAUACCCAUGUUGGCUCCCACAUGCUCCACGAUGAUCUCAUCGGAUGAACCACGAUGUCGAGGAUUCAAUCAAUCCCGUACGCUAUUCCCUUUGUCUAUCGAUAUGUUACUUGCCCGAGAUUCGAUCGUCGGUAUCCCAAUACCUCGUUCAAUCUCGUUACCGGCAAGUCACUUUACUCGUACCGUAAUGCAUGAUCCCGUGACCAGACACUUGGUCACUCUGAGCUCAUUAUGAUGAUGCAUUACCGAGUGGGCCCAGUGAUACCUCUCCGUCAUACGGAGUGACAAAUCCCAGUCUUGAUCCAUGUCACCCAACAGACACUUUCGGAGAUACCCGUAGUCUACCUUUAUAGUCACCCAGUUACGUUGUGACGUUUGGCAUACCCAAAGCACUCCUACGGUAUCCGGGAGUUACACGAUCUCAUGGUCUAAGGAAAAGAUACUUUGACAUUGCAAAACUCUAGCAAACGAACUAUACGAUCUUGUGCUAUGUUUAGGAUUGGGUCUCAUCCAUCACAUCAUUCUCCCAAUGAUGUGAUCUCGUUAUCAAUGACAUCCAGUGUCCAUAGUCAGGAAACCAUGACUAUCUGUUGAUCAACGAGCUAGUCAACUAGAGGCUCACUAGGGACAUGUUGGUGUCUGUUAUUCACACAUGCAUUACGAUUUCCGGAUAACACAAUUAUAGCAUGAAUAAAGACAAUUAUCAUGAACAAGGAAAUAUAAUAAUGCUUUUAUUAUUGCCUCUAGGGCAUAUUUCCAACAGUCUCCCACUUGCACUAGAGUCAAUAAUCUAGUUACAUUGUGAUGAAUCGAACACCCAUGGAAUUCUGGUGUUGAUCAUGUUUUGCUCUAGGGAGAGGUUUAGUCAACGGAUCUGCUACAUUCAGGUCCGUAUGUACUUUACAAAUCUCUAUGUCUCCAUCUUGAACAUUUUCACGAAUGGAGUUGAAGCGACGCUUGAUGUGCCUUGUCUUCUUGUGAAACCUGGGCUCCUUGGCAAGUGCAAUAGCUCCAGUGUUGUCACAGAAGAGCUUGAUCGGCCCCGACGCAUUGGGUAUGACUCCUAGGUCGGUGAUGAACUCCUUCACCCAUAUUGCUUCAUGUGCUGCCUCUGAGGCUGCCAUGUACUCCGCUUCACAUGUAGAUCCCGCCACGACGCUUUGCUUGCAACUGCACCAGCUCACUGCCCCACCAUUCAAAAUAUACACGUAUCCGGUUUGUGACUUAGAGUCAUCCAGAUCUGUGUCGAAGCUAGCGUCGACGUAACCCUUUACGACGAGCUCUUCGUCACCUCCAUAAACGAGAAACAUUUCCUUAGUCCUUUUCAGGUACUUCAGGAUAUUCUUGACCGCUGUCCAGUGUUCCUUGCCGGGAUUACUUUGGUACCUUCCUACCAAACUGACGGCAAGGUUAACAUCAGGUCUGGUACACAGCAUGACAUACAUAAUAGAACCUAUGGCUGAGGCAUAGGGGAUGACGCUCAUCUCUUCUAUAUCUUCUGCCGUGGUCGGACAUUGAGCUGAGCUCAAUUUCACACCUUGUAACACAGGCAAGAACCCCUUCUUGGAUUGAUCCAUAUUGAACUUCUUCAAUAUCUUAUCAAGGUAUGUGCUUUGUGAAAGACCUAUGAGGCGUCUUGAUCUAUCUCUAUAGAUUUUGAUGCCUAAUAUAUAAGCAGCUUCUCCAAGGUCCUUCAUUGAAAAACUUUUAUUCAAGUAGGCCUUGAUGCUGUCCAAGAGUUCUAUAUCAUUUCCCAUCAAAAGUAUGUCAUCUACAUAUAAUAUGAGAAAUGCUACAGAGCUCCCACUCACUUUCUUGUAAACGCAGGCUUCUCCAUAAGUCUGUGUAAACCCAAACGCUUUGAUCAUCUCAUCAAAGCGAAUGUUCCAACUCCGAGAUGCUUGCACCAACCCAUAAAUCGAGCGUUGGAGCUUGCACACUUUGUCAGCAUUCUUAGGAUCGACAAAACCUUCCGGCUGUAUCAUAUACAAUUCUUCCUUAAGGAAACCAUUAAGGAAUGCCGUUUUGACGUCCAUUUGCCAUAUUUCGUAAUCAUAGAAUGCGGCAAUUGCUAACAUGAUCCGGACGGACUUCAGCUUCGCUACCGGCGAGAAAGUCUCAUCAUAGUCAACCCCUUGAACUUGUCGAUAACCCUUAGCGACAAGCCGAGCUUUAUAGAUGGUCACAUUACCAUCCGCGUCUGUCUUCUUCUUAAAGAUCCAUUUAUUUUCUAUGGCUCGCCGCUCAACGGGCAAGUCAGUCAAAGUCCAUACUUUGUUUUCAUACAUGGAUCCUAUCUCGGAUUUCAUGGCUUCCAGCCAUUUGUCGGAAUCCGGGCCCGCCAUCGCUUCUUCAUAGUUCGAAGGUUCACCGUUGUCUAACAGCAUGAUUUCCAAGACUGGGUUGCCGUACCACUCUGGUGCGGAACCUGUCCUUAUGGACCUUCGAAUUUCAGUAGGGGCUUGAUCAGAAGUAUCUUGAUCAUUGUCAUUAACUUCCUCUCUAGUCGGUGCAGGCACCUCAGGAACAUUUUCUUGAGUUGCGCCAUUUUCCGGUUCAAGAGGUAAUACUUCAUCAAGCUCUACUUUCCUCCCACUUCUUCUUUCGAGAGAAACUCUUUCUCCAGAAAGGACCCAUUCUUGGCAACAAAGAUCUUGCCUUCGGAUCUGAGGUAGAAGGUGUACCCAAUAGUUUCUUUUGGGUAUCCUAUGAAGACGCAUUUUUCCGAUUUGGGUUCGAGCUUUUCAGGUUGAAGUUUCUUGACAUAAGCAUCGCAUCCCCAAACUUUUAGAAACGACAGCUUAGGUUUCUUCCCAAACCAUAAUUCAUACGGUGUCGUCUCAACGGAUUUCGACGGAGCCCUAUUUAAAGUGAAUGCGGCAGUCUCUAAAGCAUAGCCCCAAAAAGAUAGCGGUAAAUCGGUAAGAGACAUCAUAGAUCGCACCAUAUCUAAUAGAGUGUGAUUACGACGUUCGGACACACCAUUACGCUGAGGUGUUCCAGGCGGCGUGAGUUGUGAAACUAUUCCACAUUUUCUUAAGUGUGUGCCAAACUCGUAACUCAAGUAUUCUCCUCCACGAUCUGAUCGUAGAAACUUGAUUUUCCUGUCACGUUGAUUUUCAACCUCACUCUAAAAUUCCUUGAAUUUUUCAAAGGUUUCAGACUUGUGUUUCAUUAAGUAGAUAUACCCAUACCUACUUAAAUCAUCAGUGAGGGUGAGAACAUAACGAUAGCCACCGCGAGCCUCAACACUCAUUGGACCGCACACAUCAGUAUGUAUGAUUUCCAAUAAGUCGGUUGCUCGCUCCAUUGUUCCUGAGAAUGGAGUCUUGGUCAUUUUACCCAUAAGGCAUGGUUCGCAUGUGUCAAAUGAUUCAUAAUCAAGAGACUCUAAAAGUCCAUCAGCAUGGAGCUUCUUCAUGCGUUUGACACCUAUGUGACCAAGGCGGCAGUGCCACAGGUAUGUGGGACUAUCAUUACCAACCUUACUUCUUUUGGUACUCACAUUAUGAACAUGUGUAGCAUCACGUUCGAGAUUCAUAAAGAACAAACCAUUCACCAUAGGAGCAUGACCAUAAAACAUAUCUCUCAUAAAAAUGGAACAACCAUUAUUCUCAGAUUUAAAAGAGUAGCCAUCUCGAAUUAAACGAGAUCCUGAUACAAUGUUCAUGCUCAAAGCUGGCACUAAAUAACAAUUAUUAAGGUUUAAAACUAAUCCCGAAGGGAGAUGCAGAGGUAGCGUGCCGACGGCGAUCACAUUGACCUUGGAACCAUUCCCGACGCGCAUCGUCACCUCGUCCUUUGCCAGUUUCCGCUUAUUCCGCAGCCCCUGCUUUGAGUUACAAAUGUGAGCAACUGCACCGGUAUCAAAUACCCAGGAGCUACUACGGGCACUAGUAAGGUACACAUCAAUUACAUGUAUAUCACAUAUACCUUUUGUUUUGCCGGCCUUCUUAUCCGCUAAGUACUUAGGGCAGUUCCGCUUCCAGUGACCGCUUCCCUUACAAUAAAAGCACUCAGUCUCGGGCUUGGGUCCAUUCUUUGGCUUCUUCCCGGCAGCUUGCUUGCCGGGCGUGGCAACCUCCUUGCCGUCCUUCUUGAAGUUCUUUUUACCCUUGCCUUUCUUGAACUUAGUGGUUUUAUUGACCAUCAACACUUGAUGUUCCUUCCUGACUUCUACCUCUGCUGAUUUCAGCAUAGCAAAUACUUCAGGAAUGGUCUUUUCCAUCCCCUGCAUAUUGAAGUUCAUCACAAAGCUCUUGUAGCUUGGUGGAAGCGACUGGAGGAUUCUGUCAAUGACCGCAUCAUCCGGGAGAUUAACUCCCAGCUGGGUCAAGCGGUUAUGCAACCCAGACAUAGUGAGUAUGUGCUCACUGACAGAACUGUUUUCCUCCAUCUUACAGCUGAAGAAUUUGUCGGAGACUUCAUAUCUCUCGACCCGGGCAUGAGCUUGGAAAACCAUUUUCAGCUCUUCGAACAUCUCAUAUGCUCCAUGUCUCUCAAAACGCUUUUGGAGCCCCGGCUCUAGGCUGUAAAGCAUGCCGCACUGAACGAGGGAGUAGUCAUCGAAACGUGCCUGCCAAGCGUUCAUAACAUCUUGUUCUGCAGGGAGAACGGGUGCGUCACCAAGCGGUGCUUGUAGGACAUAAUCUUUCUUGGCAGCUAUGAGGAUGAUCCUCAGGUUCCGGACCCAGUCCGUAUAGUUGCUGCCAUCGUCUUUCAGCUUGGUUUUCUCUAGGAACGCGUUGAAGUUGAGGACUACGUUGGCCAUUUAAUCUACAAGACAUAUUGUAAAAUAUUUAGACUAAGUUCAUGAUAAUUAAGUUCAACUAAUCAAAUUAUUAAUGAACUCCCACUUAGAUUAGACAUCCCUCUAGUCAUCUAAGUAUAACAUGAUCCGAGUUAAACUAGACCGUGUCCGAUCAUCACGUGAGACGGACUAGUCAACAUCGGUGAACAUCUUCAUGUUGAUCGUAUCUUCUAUACGACUCAUGCUCGACCUUCCGGUCUUCCGUGUUCCGAGGCCAUGUCUGUACAUGCUAGGCUCGUCAAGUCAACCUAAGUGUUUGCAUGUGUAAAUAUGUCUUACACCCGUUGUAUGUGAAUGUCUGAAUAAAACAUCCGAUCAUCACGUGGUGUUUUGAAACAGCGAACUGUCGCAACGGUGCACAGUUAGGGGGAACACUUCUUGAAAUUAGUAUGAGGGAUCACCUUAUUUACUACCGUCGUUCUAAGUAAACAAGAUGCAAAACAUGAUAAACAUCACAUGCAAUCAAAUAAUAAACGUGACAUGAUAUGGCCAAUAUCACAUAGCUCCUUUGAUCUCCAUCUUGGGGCUCCAUGAUCAUCUUGUCACCGGCUUGACACCAUGAUCUCUAUCAUCAUGAUCUCCAUCAUCGUGUCUCCAUGAAGUUGCUCGCCAACUAUUACUUCUACUACUAUGGCUAACGCGUUUAGCAAUAAAGUAAAGUAAUUUACAUGGCGUUUCUCGAUGACACGCAGGUCAUAUAAAAGAAUAAAGACAACUCCUAUGGCUCCUGCCGGUUGUCAUACUCAUCGACAUGCAAGUCGUGAAUCCUAUUACAAUAACAUGAACAUCUCAUACAUCACAUAUAGAUCAUUCAUCAUUCAUCACAACUUUGGCCAUAUCAUAUCACAAACCACUUGCUGCAAAAACAAGUUAGACGUUCUCUAAUUGUUGUUGCAAGUUUUACGUGGCUGAAUUAGGGUUCUAGCAGGAACGUCUUCUUACCUACGUUAAAGCCACAACGUGAUUUGUCAACUUCUAUUUACCCUUCAUAAGGACCCUGUUCAUCGAUUCCGCUCCAACUAAAGUAGGAGAGACAGACACCCGCCAGCCACCUUAUGCAACUAGUGCAUGUUAGUCGGUGGAACCGGUCUCACGUAAGCGUACGUGUAAGGUUGGUCCGGGCCGCUUCAUCCCACAAUACCGCUGAAUCAAGAAAGGACUAGUAACGGCAAGAAAGUUGACAAAUCUACGCCCACAACAAAUUGUGUUCUACUCGCGCAAGAAGAACUACGCAUAGACCUAGCUCAUGAUGCCACUGUUGGGGAACGUUGCAGAAAACAAAAAUUUUCCUACUCGUUUCACCAAGAUCAUCUAGGAGUUCAUCUAGCAACGAGUCAUUGGAUGCAUCUACAUAACUUUGUAGAUCGCGAGCAGAAGCGUUCAAAAGAACGGUGAUGAUGUAAUCAUACUCGACGUGAUCCAAAUCACCGAUGACCAGCGCCGAACGGACGGCACCUCCGCGUUCAACACACGUACGGGACGGGAGACGUCUCCUCCUUCUUGAUCCAGCAAGGGGGAAGGAGAGGUUGAUGAAGAUCCAGCAGCACUACGGCGUGGUGGUGGAUGCAGGGCGUCACAGCAGCAGGGCUUCGCCGAGACUACGAGGGAGAGACGUAACGGGGGGAGGUGGAGGCGCCAGGGGCUGGUGUAAAAUCCCUCCUCUCCCCCACUAUAUAUAGGGGUGCCAGGGGGGCGCCGGCCCUAGUAGAUGGCAUCUACUAGGGGGGGCGGCGGCCAAGGGGAGGUUUCCCUCCCCCCCAAGGCACCUAGGGGUGCCUUCCACCACAUGGACUCUUCCAUGGUGGAAACCCUAGGCGCAUGGGCCUAUAGGGGCUGGUGCCCUUGGCCCAUCUAGGCCAAGGCGCACCCCCUACAGCCCAUGUGGCCCCCCGGGACAGGUGGCCCCACCUGGUGGACCCCCGGGACCCUUCCGGUGGUCCCGGUACAAUACCGAUAACCCCGAAACUUGUCCCGAUGCCCGAAAUAGCACUUCCUAUAUAUAAUUCUUUACCUCCGGACCAUUCCGGAACUCCUCGUGACGUCCGGGAUCUCAUCCGGGACUCCGAACAACAUUCGGGUUUCGGCAUAUACAUAUCUUCAUAACCCUAGCGUCACCGAACCUUAAGUGUGUAGACCCUACGGGUUCGGGAGACAAGCAGACAUGACCGAGACGACUCUUCGGUCAAUAACCAACAGCGGGAUCUGGAUACCCAUGUUGGCUCCCACAUGCUCCACGAUGAUCUCAUUUGAUGAACCACGAUUCCGAGGAUUCAAUCAAUCCCGUACGCUAUUCCCUUUGUCUAUCGAUAUGUUACUUGCCCGAGAUUCGAUCGUCGGUAUCCCAAUACCUCGUUCAAUCUCGUUACCGGCAAGUCACUUUACUCGUACCGUAAUGCAUGAUCCCGUGACCAGACACUUGGUCACUCUGAGCUCAUUAUGAUGAUGCAUUACCGAGUGGGCCCAGUGAUACCUCUCUGUCAUACGGAGUGACAAAUCCCAGUCUUGAUCCAUGUCACCCAACAGACACUUCCGGAGAUACCCGUAGUCUACCUUUAUAGUCACCCAGUUACGUUGUGACGUUUGGCAUACCCAAAGCACUCCUACGGUAUCCGGGAGUUACACGAUCUCAUGGUCUAAGGAAAAGAUACUUGACAUUGGAAAACUCUAGCAAACGAACUAUACGAUCUUGUGCUAUGUUUAGGAUUGGGUCUUGUCCAUCACAUCAUUCUCCCAAUGAUGUGAUCUCGUUAUCAAUGACAUCCAGUGUCCAUAGUCAGGAAACCAUGACUAUCUGUUGAUCAACGAGCUAGUCAACUAGAGGCUCACUAGGGACAUGUCGGUGUCUGUUAUUCACACAUGUAUUACGAUUUCCGGAUAACACAAUUAUAGCAUGAAUAAAGACAAUUAUCAUGAACAAGGAAAUAUAAUAAUAAUGCUUUUAUUAUUGCCUCUAGGGCAUAUUUCCAACAACGGCACCGUCGAAUCUCAAACUUUAACUGCGAAAACUAUUGUUUUUCAUCCUGUAGUCCCUUUUAGAAUUACUAAACGUCCUUUUUUGGGCCGAGAUUUCCAGGAACGCUUUCUCAGGGUUUGUGUGCGUGUAUUUCAAAGCAUACGGACCUAAAAAUUAGAAUUCAUUCCAUCUUUAUGCCCCUAGAGCCUUCCAGCAGUUCCUAAACCGCUCCAGUCGGAUUACGUUAUCAUUCUUGUUAGUUCUGAGCGAAUCCCCUCGGUAGGAUCAUUCUUUCAUUAGUUUGUUCCCCGUUUCUUCUCUAGUCUGAGCCUAGCACACAAUUCUAGCUAGACAUGGGUGUGGCUCGUAUCACCUGAUGACCAAACGGAUCUACGACACCGUCGAAUCUCAAAUUUAACUGCCAAAACUAUUAUUUUUCAUCCUGUAGUCCCUUUUACAAUUAUUAAACAUCCUUUUUUGGGCCGAGAUUUCCAGGAACGCUUUCUCGGGGUUUGUGUGCAUGUAUUUCAAAUCAUACGGACCUAAAAAUUAGAUGUCAUUCCAUCUUUAUUCCCCUAGAGCCUUCCAGCACUUCCUAAACCGCUCUAGUCGGAGCACGUUAUCAUUCUUGUCAGUUCUGAGUGAAUUCACUUGGUAUGAUCAUUCUUUCAUCAGUUUGUUCUCCAUUUCUUCUCUAGUCUGAGCCUAGCACACUACUCUAGCUAGACAUGGGUGUGGCUCAUAACACCUCGUGACCAAACGGGUCUACGGCACCAUCAAAUCUCAAACUUUAACUGCCAAAACUAUUGUUUUUCAUUCUGUAUUCCCUUUUAGAAUUACUAAACGUCCUUUUUUGGGCCGAGAUUUCCAGGAAUGCUUUCUCGGGGUUUGUGUGCACGUAUUUCAAAUCAUAGGACCUAAAAAUUAGAAGUCAUUCCAUCUUUAUUCCCCUAGAGCCUUCCAGCAGUUCCUAAACCGCUCCAGUCAGAGCAUGUUAUCAUUCUUGGUAGUUCUGAGUGAAUUCCCUCGGUAUGAUCAUUCUUUCAUCAGUUUGUUCCCCAUUUCUUCUCUAGCCUGAGCCAAACACACUAUUCUAGCUAGACAUGUGUGUGGCUCGUAACACCUGAUGACCAAACGGAUCUACGGCACCGUCGAAUCUCAAACUUUAACUGCCAAAACUACUGUUUUUCAUCUUGUAGUCCCUUUUAGAAUUACUAAACGUCCUUUUUUGGGCCGAGAUUUCCAGGAACACUUUCUCGGGGUUUGUUUGCACGUAUUUCAAACCAUACAGACCUAAAAAUUAGAAGUCAUUCCAUAUUUAUUCCCCUAUAGCCUUCUAGCAGUUUCUAAACCGCUCCAGUCGGAGCAUGUUAUCAUUGUUGUUAGUUCUGAGUGAAUUCCCUCGGUAUGAUCAUUCUUUCAUCAGUUUGUUCCUUGUUUCUUCUCUAGCCUGAGCCUGACACACUAUUCUAGCUAGACAUGGGUGUGGCUCGUGACACCUGAUGACCAAAUGGAUCUACGGCACCGUCGAAUCUCAAACUUUAACUACCAAAACUAUUAUUUUUCAUUCUGUAGUCCCUUUUAAAUUACUAAACAUCAUUUUUUGGGCCGAGAUUUUCAGGAACGCUUUCUCGGGGUUUGUGUGCAUGUAUUUCAAAUCAUACGGACCUAAAAAUUAGAAUCCAUUCCAUCUUUAUUCCCCUAGAGCCUUCCAGCAGUUCCUAAACCGCUCCAGUCGGAGCACGUUAUCAUAAUUGUUAGUUCUGAGUGAAUUCCCUCAGUAUGAUCAUUCUUUCAUCAGUUUGUUCCCCGUUUGGUCAUCAGGUGUUACGAGCCACACCCAUGUCUAGCUAGAAUAGUGUGUUAGGCUCAGGCUAGAGAAGAAACGGGGAACAAACUGAUGAAAGAAUGAUCAUACCGAGGGAAUUCACUCAAAACUAACAAUAAUAAUAACGCGCUCCGAUUGGAGCGGUUUAGGAACUGCUGGAAGGCCCUAGGGGAAUAAAGAUGCAAUGACUUCUAAUUUUUAGGUCCUAUGAUUUUAAAUACUUGCACACAAACGACGCGAAAGUGUUCCUGGAAAUCUCAGCCCAAAAAAGGACGUUUAGUAAUUCUAAAAGGGACUAUUAGAUGAAAAACAAUAGUUUUGGCAGUUAAAGUUUGAGAUUCGACGGUGCCGUAGAUCCAUUUGGUCAUCAGGUGUUACGAGCCACACCCAUGUCUAGCUAGAAUAGUAUGUUAGGCUCAGGUUAGAGAAGAAAUGGGGAACAAACUGAUGAAAGAAUGAUCAUACCAAGGGAAUUCACUCAGAACUAACAAGAACGAUAACGUGCUCCGACUGGAGCGGUUUAGGAACUGCUGGAAGGCUCUAGGGGAAUAAAGAUGGAAUGACUUCUAAUUUUUAGGUCCGUAUGAUUUGAAAUGCUUGCACAUAAACCACGCAAAAGCGUUCCUGGAAAUCUCAGCCUAAAAAGGACGUUUAGUAAUUCUAAAAGGGACUACAGGAUGAAAAACAAAAGUUUUGGCAGUUAAAGUUUGAGAUUCGACGGUGCCGUAGAUCCGUUUGGUCAUCAGGUGUUACGAGCCACACCCAUGUCUAGCUAGAAUAGUGUAACACCCUCGAUGCAACUAUAUCUCCCACGUGUCGAGGCAGGACUUACACGCAUAAUCGCAUUGACGGCAUAUGUCGCAAAUUAGGCAAUCUUCACAACAUCCCAUGUAAUAUAGAUAAUAAAAGGGGAGAUAACAUAGUUGGCUUACACUCGCCACGUCAAUCAAGGUACAUAAAUAACAUGACAUCAUCCAAACACUCAUGGCCCGACUACGGCGCCAAAAUAAAAGAUAACCCAACAUGCGACACGGUUCCGAUCACCCCCAACUGGGCACCACUACUGAUCAUCAAGAAAGGAAACAUAGUAUCAUUGAGAGUACUCGUCGAACACCCACAUGAGCUCAAGCGCGUCACCUGGAGCUGAAUCAUCAGGCCCUGCAUCUGGUUUAAUAGUAAUCUGUGAGCCACAGGGACUCAGCAAUCUCACACCCUCGCAAUCAAGACUAUUUAAGCUUAUAGGUAAGGCAAGGUAAAUAUGUGAGCUGCAGCAAGCGACUAGCAUAUAUGGUGGCUAUCAUGUUCGAAAAAGAGGGCGAGAAGAGGAGGCUAAGCGCGAACGAAUAACUAGAGAGCAACCUGCGCAAACAUUACUCCAACACCGUGUCCACUUCCCGGACUCCACCGAGAAGAGGCCAUCACGGUAACUCACACUGUUGAUUCAUUUUAAUUAAGUUAAGGUUCAAGUUGUCUACAACCGGACAUUAACAAAUUCCCAUCUGCCCAUAACCGCGGGCACGACUUUCGAAAGUUCAAAUCCCUGCAGGGGAGUCCCAACUUAGCCCAUGACUAGCUCUCAUGGUCAACGAAGGAAUAGACCUCCUCCCGAGAUGUUCCGACCAGACUCGGUAUCUCGGUUCUUCAAGACACUUCGACAGGUUAAAACAAAUCCAGCAACACCACCCGAAUGUGCCGACAAAUCCCGAUAGGAGCUGCACAUAUCUCUUUCUCAGGGCACACUCAGAUUGUCUUAGGUACGGGUAGGCCAGCCCAGAGUUGCCCCUGGUGGCCACCGGCAGCUGACAGGUGGACCAACACUCAGAGGGGCACUAGNNNNNNNNNNNNNNNNNNNNNNNNNNNNNNNNNNNNNNNNNNNNNNNNNNNNNNNNNNNNNNNNNNNNNNNNNNNNNNNNNNNNNNNNNNNNNNNNNNNNNNNNNNNNNNNNNNNNNNNNNNNNNNNNNNNNNNNNNNNNNNNNNNNNNNNNNNNNNNNNNNNNNNNNNNNNNNNNNNNNNNNNNNNNNNNNNNNNNNNNNNNNNNNNNNNNNNNGGGGGGGGUUAAAAUAAGAUGACCCUCAGGCUCCGGAAACCCAAGGGAAAAAGAGGCUAGGUGGCAAAUGGUAAAACCAAGGUUGGGCAUUGCUGGAAAAGCUUUAAUCAAGGUGAACUAUCAAGGGGUUCCCAUUAUAACCCAACCGCGCAAGGAACGCAAAAUCCGGGAACAUAACACCGAUAUGACGGAAACUAGGGCGGCAAGAGUGGAACAAAACACUAGGAGAGAGGCCGAGCCUUCCACCCUUUACCAAGUAUAUAGAUGCAUUAAGAUAACAUGGCAAUAUAAUGAUAUCCCAACAAGUAAAUAAAUGUUCCAGCAAGGAACGGUCUCCAAUCUUCACCUGCAACUAGCAACGCUAUAAGAGGGGCUGAGCAAAGCGGUAACAUAGCCAAUCAACGGUUUGCUAGGACAUGGUGGGUUAGAGGUUUGACAUGGCAAUUUGGGAGGCUUGAAAGCAGGUGGUAGGCAUCGUAGCAUUGGCAUAGAAAAAGAGCAAGCAUCUAGCAAAGCAAAGAUAGUAGUGAUUUCGAGGGUAUGAUCAUCUUGCCUCCAAAGUUGUCAGAGUUGACUGGAUCCUCGAAAGCAAACUCAUCGGGCUCCUCGUUAGAGAACUCGUCUCCCGGCUCUACCCAAACAAGACAAACAAGCAAACGGAACACAAUCAACCACGUGCAAAGCUCAAACAAUAUGAUGCAAAGAUGAUAUGCUAUGCGGGAUGCGAUGCGGGAUGCAUAUGCAAGAUUUGACAAGGAAUGCAUGAACCUGACCUCAACUUGUGAAUCCAAGUGUGCCACUGGAAAGAUGAGAUGAAAUCUCUUGAAAACAAUAUAAAGAUCACUGGAAUCGGAGUUACGGUUUGGAAAUGGCAAGCAAAUCAAAUAUGAUCACGUUUUGCGAUUUACAGCAAGUACCCAUCUAAAUGCAAUGAGAUGAACAAGCUACAGCACCCAAACAUGGCAUAAAAAUACAUGGAAGGGAUGCAUUCCUGAUGCUUAACAAAAGUCUAGCACUGAGCUACGGCCAAUUCAUCCACUAACAGGUUCAAACAAGCAUGGCAAAAAUGCAUAUGGUAAACAUAUUUCAGACUUAGUGAAAUUAACACUUGUCUGGAAUUUCAGAUCAGGUAGCACUCUUCGGAGCAUGAAAACUAUAUGCUACAGGACCUAAACAUGGCAAAGUAAAACAUGGCAUGGAGCUACUCAAAGAUCUUAACAAAAGUCCCUUAGUGACCUUGAGCCAAAAGGGAUCAGAAAAUAUAUUUGCAAGCAUGUGAACAUGGCAAAAACAUAAUCGGAUCACAGACUUAGUGAAAACUGGAGCAUGCUGAAAACAGAUAUCAAGUAGGCAUGUUUACGAACUCGAUGCACUCACUAUAGAGCAAGUCAUGACAAUCUAAGCAUACACCCAUCAAGAAUACACAAAAUUCAAGCUAUACAUGGCAAGAACAAUAACAUAGCAUGCACGGAUCAACUACAACAUCCUCGGCAAAAUUGCUAACAAGUAGACAAUCUGCCCAGAUUCACGAAAUAGCAAAAGUAGAGCUCGAUUGACUCAAGCUAGGGUGCUCCAUAAUUGCAAACAAAGACAUGGAUGCAUAGAGCACUACAAUAUUAACAAAACAUCCUUACUUAUCAUCCUCAAAAGAGGCACGGAUCACUAGGAAACAACAUGAACAUAUAGCCAUAUGAGAUAACCAGAUCAAGGGCUUAGUGGAAUUGCUAAGUCCCUGGAAUCAGCAUUACCAAGUGCCUCACUUUGCAAGCUUGUGCUAGUCAGCACACACAUCACAAAAAUACAUGGGUUGCACCUCUGGAAAGAUGGAAAAACCCUUAACAAAACAUAUGUAGAGCUCAUGGGCAUAUCAUGCACACAAUAAUUAUGGCAAAAAUGACAAAUAUCUAAAUGGAGUAGCAGAUCUGACAAUUAUCUCAAGUAGCACUCUUCCAACAGCAUUUCGGGCAUCAAGAUGAACUCAAAUGAAAAUGAUGCAAUAAGAUGAAAUGAUGUGCUCUCUGAGACGAACAUUUUGAUAUGCUAUAUGCCCAAAACGGAGCUACGGAUGAGGAGUUACGGCAUGAUGAACAAGGGCAUAUGAAAUAGGGUUAGGGAGAAAGUCAACCGUCGUUUUGGAUCUAGAUCCAGAUCCGGAUCGCGCGCGUUUCGAGGUUUGCCGGAGAUCUGUUCGCCGGAGUAGCCGCGGGGCAUCACCGGAGGUCGGAGACAAGGAGGGAGAGGCCGGGGCGAUGUGGGCCUCUGGGGAGAGGUCGCCGGCGGGGGUUUCGGGCGGCGCGGCGCCGGUCGNNNNNNNNNNNNNNNNNNNNNNNNNNNNNNNNNNNNNNNNNNNNNNNNNNNNNNNNNNNNNNNNNNNNNNNNNNNNNNNNNNNNNNNNNNNNNNNNNNNNNNNNNNNNNNNNNNNNNNNNNNNNNNNNNNNNNNNNNNNNNNNNNNNNNNNNNNNNNNNNNNNNNNNNNNNNNNNNNNNNNNNNNNNNNNNNNNNNNNNNNNNNNNNNNNNNNNNNNNNNNNNNNNNNNNNNNNNNNNNNNNNNNNNNNNNNNNNNNNNNNNNNNNNNNNNNNNNNNNNNNNNNNNNNNNNNNNNNNNNNNNNNNNNNNNNNNNNNNNNNNNNNNNNNNNNNNNNNNNNNNGGCGGCUUGCGGACGUGAGGCGGCGGGGCGAUGUGGGCCUCGGGGGCCCCGAGCGGGCCUCGCGGGCCGGCGGCGUUGCGGCGGCAAAGUGGGCGCGCGGGCGCCACGUGGCUAGAUCUGAUAGGUCGGCGGCGGUGGGCGGACAAUGCCCGGCCAUCCGGAUUUUGUCCGGCGGCUGGAGGAGGAGGAGGGUUAGGGUUUCUCCCGAGAUUUCGAAUGGGGAAGAUAUAUAUAGGCAUAGAGGGAGCUAGGAGAUUCCAAAUGAGGUGCGGUUUUCGGCCACGCAAUCGUGAUUGAACACUCUAGAUGAUGGAGAAGGUUUAGGUGGGUUUUGGGCCAACUUGGAAGGGUGUUGGGCUGCAACACACACGAGGCCUUUAUGGUCCCUCGGUUAACCGUUGGAGUAUCAAACGAAGUCCAAAUGAUACGAAACUUAACAGGCGGUCUACCGGUAGUAAACCAAGGCCGCUUGGCAAGUCUCGGUCCAAUCCGGAAAUGUUUAAUCCCCACACACGAAAGAAAGGUAGAAAUGACCACCGGAGGAGAACGAAGCGCCUGAAUGCAAAACGGACAAUGGGGAAAAUGUUCGAAUGCAUGAGAUGAACACGUAUGCAAAUGCAAUGCACAUGAUGACAUGAUAUGAGAUGCAUGACAAUGACAACAACACACGGAGACAAAAACCCAAACCCGAGAAAAUAAAAUAACUUAAGGCCGGAAACGGCAAGAGUUGGAAUACAUAUUGGGAAAGUCAUAUCCGGGGUGUUACAACACUCCACCACUACGAAAGGAUCUCGUCCCGAGAUCUAGGACUGAAAGAACACCGGGUACUCAGAACGGAGGUGAUCCUCGCGUUCCCAGGUAGCUUCACGGUCGGAAUGGUGUGACCACUUGACUUUGAGGAAUUUGAUUGACUUGUUGCGAGUCUUGCGUUCAGUCUCUUCAAGAAUAGCAACUGGGUGCUCACAAUAAGAGAGAUCUUCUUGGAGCUCAAUGUCCUCGAAGUUGACAGUGCGGUCAGGAGUCUUGAAGCACUUUCGAAGCUGAGAGACAUGGAACACAUCAUGAACAUUUGCAAAGUUUGAAGGAAGCUCAAGUUGAUAGGCGAGAUCGCCUCUCUUGCUGACAAUCUUGAAAGGUCCCACAUAUCUAGGGGCAAGCUUCCCUUUGAUACUGAAGCGACGAGUACCUUUCAUAGGAGAGACGCGGAGGUAAACAUGAUCUCCGAUCUCGAAAGCCAAAUCACGGUGCUUACUGUCAUAGUAGCUCUUCUAGCGGGAUUGGUCUGCUUUGAGGUUAUCUCGAAUGACUUUGCACAUUUCCUCUGCCUCUAUGAUUAAGUCAUUUCCGAGAAGCUGACGUUCACCUGUUUUGGACCAGUUGAGAGGGGUACGGCACUUCCUGCCAUACAGAAUUUCAAAUGGGGCCUUGCCCGAACUUGCUUGAAAACUGUUGUUGUAGGAGAAUUCAGCAUAAGGAAGACAAUCCUCCCACUUCAUGCCGAAGGAGAUCACACAAGCCCUGAGCAUAUCUUCAAGAAUCUGGUUGACACGCUCGACUUGACCGCUAGUUUGAGGAUGGAAAGCUGUGCUGAAGCGGAUGUUGGUGCCCAUGGCCUUCUGAAAAGAAUCCCAAAACUUGGAGGUAAAGAUGCUGCCACGGUCUGAAGAGAUCACUUGUGGAAUACCGUGCAGAGAGAAAAUUCGAGAGGUAUAGACUUCCGCCAAUUGAGCUGCAGUGAUUGACUCUUUGAUAGGCAGAAAGUGAGCCACUUUAGUGAGUUUGUCGAUGACAACGAAUAUAGCAUCAUUGCCACACUUGGACUUUGGAAACCUAGUCACGAAGUCCAUUUCAAUGUGGUCAAACUUCCAUUCUGGAAUGGCAAGAGGUUGGAGGAGACCCGCUGGUCUUUGGUGUUCUGCCUUCACUCUUCUGCGGACAUCACACUCAUUCACGAACUGAGCGAUCUCGCGCUUCAUUCGAGUCCACCAGUAAGCCUGCCUGAGGUCCUGAUACAUCUUCGUACUCCCAGGGUGGAUGGAGAGGAGAGAAUUGUGAGCCUUGUUCAUGAUCACUUUACGGAGGUCACCUUUGGGCACAACAAUACGAUCCUCGAAGAAGAGAGUCUCCUUGUCAUCAAGGCGGUAGCACUUGUACUUGGGUUGACUCUUGGCAAUCACAAUCUUCACCUUUUUCACCAUAGCAUCAAGAAGCUGGGCUUGGCGAAUCUGGUCUUCCAAGGUAGGAGAUACUUGAAGGUUGGCGAGGAAACCUUGAGGAACAACUUGCAGGUUAAGUUUGCGGAAAGCUUCACAAAGCUCGGGUUGAUAAGGCUUGAGAAUUAGACUGUUGCAAUAAGCCUUUCUGCUCAAUGCGUCAGCAAUCACAUUGGCCUUGCCUGGAGUAUACUCGAUACUCGGAUUAUACUCUUGAAUCAUUUCGACCCAUCGAGUUUGCCUAAGGUUGAGAUUAGGCUGAGUGAAGAUGUACUUGAGACUCUUGUGAUCAGUGAAAAUGUCCACUUUUCUUCCCAAUAAGAGAUGUCUCCAAGUCAAAAGAGCAUGCACAACUGCCGCCAACUCGAGAUCAUGAGUGGGGUAGUUCUUCUCAUUGGGCUUCAAUUGGCGAGAGGUAUAAGCAACAACUUUCUUCUCUUGCAUCAACACUGCGCCAAGACCUUGGAGAGAGGCAUCACAAAAGACCUCGUACGGCUUGGAUUCAUCAGGCGGAGUCAGAACUGGAGCAGUGAUCAAUUUCUCUUUCAAAGUGUUGAAAGCAAUGUCACACUCCGGAGACCAAACGUACUUGACGUGCUUCUGGAGAAGAUUUGAGAGAGGCUUCGCGAUCUUAGAAAAGUUUUCAACGAAUCUUCGAUAGUAGCUUGCGAGACCGAGGAAGCUACGAAGUUGCUUCACGUUCUGAGGAGGUUCCCAAUUCACAAUUGCAGACACCUUCUCAGGAUUCAUGGCAAUGCCCUUGGCAGAGAUGAUAUGACCAAGAUAAAGAACCUCAUCGAGCCAAAAUUCGCACUUGGAGAACUUGGCGUAGAACUUGUGUUCCCUCAACUUAUCGAGUACCAAACGCAAGUGCUUGGCAUGAUCUUCCUUGUUCUUCGAGCAAACCAGAAUGUCGUCGAGAUAGACCAAAUGAAGUCAUUGGUGUAGGCAUUGAAGAUGAAGUUCAUCAUGCGAGAGAAAGUCGGAGGAGCGUUGACGAGGCCAAAAGACAUGACAGUGUAUUCAUAUGACCCAUAGCUUGUCCUGAAAGCCGUCUUGGGAAUAUCUUGCUCACAGAUUUGAAUAUGAUGAUAACCCAUACGGAGAUCAAGCUUGGAGAAUACUUGCGCACCUUUGAGUUGUUCGAACAGCUUGUUGAUGUUGGGAAGUGGGUAUUUGUUCUUGAUAGUCUUCUUGUUCAAUGGACGGUAAUCAACACAAAGCCGAUCCGUUCCAUCCUUCUUCUUCACAAAAAGAACACCACAACCCCACGGAGAAGAACUAGGCUGGAUGAGACCCAUUCUCUCUUGAAUAUCGAGUUGCUUCUUCAGCUCCUUCAACUCUUCAGGUCCGAGCUUGUAAGGACGCUUGCACACUGGUUCCGUGCCAGGAUCAAGAUCGAUGACGAAUUUAACUGGCCGAUGCGGAGGCAUUCCUAGAAGCUCUUUUGGAAAGACGUCUUGAUAUUCGCAAACGACUGGAAUUUGCGAGAUAGCAUCCAGUUCACCCUUCUCAUUGAGAGAAAACAGACGGAUGGUAUCAUCACAAGCGGCAAAGACAAUUACAUCCUCAGACGAAUGAGUCAAUUGAAUCUGCCUGGCUGCACAAUCAAGCUGAGCCUUGUGCUUAGAAAGCCAAUCCAUUCCGAGAAUAAGAUCAAUAUCCGAGUCCCCAAGAACUGUAGGAGAAGAUAGAAAUUUGUAGUCUCCCAAAGUGAUAGUAACAUCUGGAGCAAUGGAGUUAGCAUGCAUGCGCCUACCGGGAGAGACAACUACUAAUGGACUAGGCAAAAUUUGCAAAGCCAACCCAUGCUUAGAUGAAAACGGUCUCGAUAUGAAAUAAUGCGAUGCACCCGUGUCAAAAAGAACUUUUGCAGGAAUAUCGUUAAUAGGAAGGUUACCCAUGAUGACAUCUGACGAGUCUGCAUUCAUCAAGUUGACCUUGGCGUGCUUGGGGUUAUGCUUGACCACAGGUGUACUUGCCCUCACAGGAGGAGGAGGAGGAGGAAGACGCCUCUGGUUGAAACACUUGUUGGCAUAGUGACCCUUCUAUUGGCACUUGUUGCACGUGACCUCUGAAAGUGGACGGUGAUACGGAGCACUCGAUCUUGGAGCUUGAGACGAAGUCUUGUUCUGAAAGCCAGGGUUGGGUGGGUGGGAAGAUCCACUGCCACCUUUGCUCUUCUGCUGAUACGGCUGACGGAACGGAGGAGGAGGAAGCCAAUACUUCUGCUGCUUGGCCACUUGAGUAGAGGAAGAAGGAGUAACAUCUCUAACUCGCUUCUUGGAAGCAUCACACCUCAGUUGAGCGGCAUCUUGCUUCAAUGCCAUGUUGUAGAACUCAUCGUACCUCAAGGGCUCAAAGAGAACAAGAGCUAGCUGAAUUUCCUCUCUGAGACCACCCCUGAACUGGUAUAUCAUGCUCUUCUCAUCAGGGACGUCCUGCUUGGCAAAGCGGGCGAGCUUCUGAAACAGCUUGUUGUAGUCAUAGACUGACAAAGAGCCUUGCUUCAGGUUGUGGAAUUCCUCACGCUUGCUUUCAACCACGCUCUGAGAAAUAUGAUGAGCUCUGAAAUCUUGACGGAAUUCAUCCCAGGUAAUAACACAUCCACCUCUGGAAUCCUUGUACUGCUGGAACCAUUCUGCAGCUUGAUCUUUGAGUUGGAAGGAAGCAAACUUGACGAAGUCCUCAGGCCCGACGUUACUGCACUUGAAAUGCUUGCACAGAUCCACGAGCCAAUCGUCAGCAUCGGUUGCCUCAACACAAUUGUUGAAAGUCUUUGGCCCAUUAGCAAGGAACUGGUUGAGAGUGGCAAAGUGAUUCUGAUUGUUGCCUUGGUUCCCUUGGUUGCCUUGAUUGCACUCUUGAAGAAUUUGCAUGAUCAACUGUGUGUUUGCAUUGGUUGCGGCCAUCACAGCUUGCCAUGCCUCCGGAGGAGGGGGAGGUGGUGGCGGAUCUUGAUUCUGAUUCUGAUUGGUGCUCUUAGCGGGAGCCAUCCUGAAGAGGUUGACCACCGUUAGCACAUAGAUAGAUAAAAUGAAGCUGAAUCCAAUGGAAUGAAAAUUGCAACAUAAAGUCUUCACAUCCGAACAGAAUGAACGAAUGCAUUCCUCUUGAAAUGGUCACAUAUCCAUAAAUUGACAAGCCACUUAGAAUUUAUGUAGAGAAAUAAAUCAACAAGGUAUGGAUCAAGAACGAAUACUCGGUAAGAAAUCCCAAUCUCAAACCAAAUAUCCGUGGAAGAAGAGCUAGAGCUACUUGAAUUCCCACCUAUGAAACUCCCGAACCUUUCCGGUUAUGCAAUCAGGUGUUGGGGAUACAGGGGAAGCAUAAUAUCUCACCCAAAUCUAGCAAAUCAUACAUCCAGCUGUAUCCAUCCUUCAACACAUAACCGAGAAAACUUCGGAAACCAUCUACCUCAACCUUCGAAAAGCAUCCGUUAUACAAGUUAUGGCGAUACUCCCGAACUCCCGCCCCAUUACGGGGUGGCGUCGAGGUUAUCUCACCAACGAACUACAUAAAAGAGAUUUUCGAUGUCGGCGUACUAAACUCAGGUAUUCCAGAACUGCAACGAUAAAAUUAUGACGACAACACCUCAGAGCUCAACUCCCCGGGACACUUCCACAAAACCCCUGACAGGAGGCACCAAGACAAUGUUCUCGUCAUAAAACCAUCGGAACGAUUCCAAGAUACCCGUGUGAUCCUAAAAAAAAUUAGUGAAAUUUGAGAAAAGAAGAGUCAAAACUCUACGUCAGGAUGCUUUACCAGAGCGAUGAGGAGACUGGGAAGUAAAAAAGAAUUCCUAAACUCUCCGAUAUAUAAUUCCUAAAUGACUCAAAACAUUUUUCUAGACACAACUCAGCCGCUAAUAAUGAUCAAGCAAUGGGGCUCCUAAGGUCGGGGAAGGCUCUAAUUACCAACUUGUAACACCCUCGAUGCGACUAUAUCUCCCACGUGUCGAGGCACGACUUAGAGGCAUAAUCGCAUUAAAGGCAUAUGUCGCAAAUUAGGCAAUCUUCACAACAUCCCAUGUAGUAUAGAUAAUAAAAGGGGAGAUAACAUAGUUGGCUUACACUCGCCACGUCAAUCAAGGUACAUAAAUAACAUUACAUCAUCCAAACACUCAUGGCCCGACUACGGCACCAAAAUAAAAGAUAACCCAACAUGCGACACGGUCCCGAUCGCCCCCAACUGGGCACCACUACUGAUCAUCAGGAAAGGAAACAUAGUAUUGUUGAGAGUGUUGGAGAACGUAGUAAUUUCAAAAAAAUUCCUAUGCACAUGCAAGAUCAUGGUGAUGCAUAGCAACGAGAGGGGAGAGUGUGAUCUACGUAUUUGUAGACCGACAGCGGAAGCGUUAGCACAACGCGGUUGAUGUAGUCGUACGUCUUCACGGCCCGACCGAUCAAGCACCGAAACUAUGGCACCUCCGAGUUUUAGCAUACGUUUAGCUCGAUGACGAUCCCCGGACUCCGAUCCAGCAAAGUGUCGGGGAAGAGUUCCGUCAGCACGACGGCGUGGUGACGAUCUUGAUGUACUAUCGUCGCAGGGCUUCGCCUAAGCACCGCUACAAUAUUGUCGAGGAUUAUGGUGGAAGGGGGCACCGCACACGGCUAAGAAUAUGAUCACGUGGAUCAACUUGUGUGUCUAGGGGUGCCCCCUGCCCCCGUAUAUAAAGGAUCAAGGGGAGGAGGCCGGCCGGCCCCUAUGGCGCGCCAAGGAGGAGUCCUCCUCCUAGUAGGAGUAGGACUCCUACUAGGAGGGGGAAAGAAGUGGGGAGGGAGAAGGAAAGGGGGGCGCCGCCCCCCCCUCUCCUAGUCCAAUUUGGACCAGGGGGGAGGAGGCGCGCGGCCCACCUUUGGCUGCCCCUUUCCCUCUCCACUAAGGCCCAUAUGGCCCAUUACUUCUCCCGGGGGGGUUCCGGUAACCCUCCGGCUCUCCGGUUUUCUCCGAAAUCACCCGGAACACUUCCGGUGUCCGAAUGUAGCCGUCCAAUAUAUCAAUCUUUAUGUCUCGACCAUUUAGAGACUCCUCGUCAUGUUCGUGAUCACAUCCGGGACUCCGAACUAACUUCGGUACAUCAAAACUCAUAAACUCAUAAUAUAACUGUCAUUGAAACCUUAAGCGUGCGGACCCUACGGGUUCGAGAACAAUGUAGACAUGACCGAGACACGUAUCCGGUCAAUAACCAAUAGCGGAACCUAGAUGCUCAUAUUGGCUCCUACAUAUUCUACGAAGAUCUUUAUCGGUCAGACUGCAUAACAACAUACGUUGUUCCCUUUGUCAUCGGUAUGUUACUUGCCCGAGAUUCGAUCGUCGGUAUCUCAAUACCUAGUUCAAUCUUGUUACCGGCAAGUCUCUUUACUCGUUUCGUAAUACAUCAUCUCGCAACUAACUCAUUAGUUGCAAUGCUUGCAAGGCUUAAGUGAUGUGCAUUACCGAGAGGGCCCAGAGAUACCUCUCCGACAAUCGGAGUGACAAAUCCUAAUCUCGAAAUAUGCCAACCCAACAUGUACCUUUGGAGACACCUGUAGAGUACCUUUAUAAUCACCCAUUUAUGUUGUGACGUUUGGUAGCACACAAAGUGUUGCUCCGGCAAACGGGAGUUGCAUAAUCUCAUAGUCAUAGGAACAUGUAUAAGUCAUGAAGAAAGCAAUAACAACAUACUAAACGAUCGGGUGCUUAGCUAAUGGAAUGGGUAAUGUCAAUCAGAUCAUUCACCUAAUGAUGUGAUCCCGUUAAUCAAAUAACAACUCUUUGUUCAUGGUUAGGAAACAUAACCAUCUUUGAUUAACGAGCUAGUCAAGUAGAGGCAUACUAGUGACACUCCGUUUGUCUAUGUAUUCACACAUGUAUUAUGUUUCCGGUUAAUACAAUUCUAGCAUGAAUAAUAAACAUUUAUCAUGAUAUAAGGAAAUAAAUAAUAACUUUAUUAUUGCCUCUAGGGCAUAUUUCCUUCAGAGAGUCCUCGUCGAACUCCCACUUGAGCUCAAGCGCGUCACCUGGAGUGGAAUCAUCAGGCCCUGCAUCUGGUUUAAUAGUAAUCUGUGAGCCAGAGGGACUCAGCAAUCUCGCACCCUCGCGAUCAAGACUAUUUAAGCUUAUAGGUAAGGCAAGGUAAAUAUGUGGAGCUGCAGCAAGCGACUAGCAUAUAUGGUGGCUAUCCUGUUCGCAAAAGAGGGCGAGAAGAGAAGGCUAAGCGCGAAUGAAUAACUAGAGAGCAACCUGCGCAAACAUUACUCCAACACCGUGUCCACUUCCCGGACUCCGCCGAGAAGAGGCCAUCACGGUAACUCACACUGUUGAUUCAUUUUAAUUAAGUUAAGGUUCAAGUUGUCUACAACCGGACAUUAACAAAUUCCCAUCUGCCCAUAACCACGGGCACGGCUUUCGAAAGUUCAAAUCCCUGCAGGGGAGUCCCAACUUAGCCCAUGAUAAGCUCUCACGGUCAACGAAGGAAUAGACCUCCUCCCGAGACGUUCCGAUCAGACUCGGUAUCUCGGUUCUUCAAGACACUUCGACAGGUUAAAACAAAUCCAGCAACACCGUCCGAAUGUGCCGACAAAUCCCGAUAGGAGCUGCACAUAUCUCUUUCUCAGGGCACACUCAGAUUGUCUUAGGUACGGGUAGGCCAGCCCAGAGUUGCCCCUGGUGGCCACCGGCAGCUGACAGGUGGACCAACACUCAGAGGAGCACUGGCCCGGGGGGGUUUAAAAUAAGAUGACCCUCGGGCUUCGGAAACCCAAGGGAAAAAGAGGCUAGGUGGAAAAUGGUAAAACCAAGGUUGGGCAUUGCUGGAAAAUCUUUAAUCAAGGCGAACUAUCAAGGGGUUCCCAUUAUAACCCAACCGCGUAAGGAACGCAAAAUCCGGGAACAUAACACCGAUAUGAUGGAAACUAGGGCGGCAAGAGUGGAACAAAACACUAGGCGAGAGGCCGAGCCUUCCACCCUUUACCAAGUAUAUAGAUGCAUUAAGAUAACAUGCCAAUAUAAUGAUAUCCCAACAAGUAAAUAAAUGUUCCAACAAGGAACGGUCUCCAAUCUUCACCUGCAACUAGCAACGCUAUAAGAGGGGUUGAGCAAAGCGGUAACAUAGCCAAUCAACAGUUUGCUAGGACAUGGUGGGUUAGAGGUUUGACAUGGCAAUUUGGGAGGCUUGAAAGCAAGUGGUAGGCAUCGUUGCAUUGGCAUAGCAAAAGAGCGAGCAUCUAGCAAAGCAAAGAUAGUAGUGAUUUUGAGGGUAUGAUCAUCUUGCCUGCAAAGUUGUCAAAGUUGACUGGAUCCUCGAAAGCAAACUCAACGGGCUCCUCGUUAGCGACCUCGUCUCCCGGCUCUACCCAAACAAGACAAACAAGCAAACAGAACACAAUCAACCACGUGCAAAGCUCAAACAAUAUGAUGCAAAGAUGAUAUGCUAUGCGGGAUGCAUAUGCAAGAUUUGAUAAGGAAUUCACGAACCUGGCCUCAACUUGGGAAUCCAAGUGUGCCACUGGAAAGAUGAGAUGAAAUCGCUUGAAAACGAUAUAAAGAUCACCGGAAUCGGGGUUACGGUUUGGAAAUGGCAAGCAAAUCAAAUAUGAUCACGUUCUGCGAUUUACAGCAAGUAGCCAUCUAAAUGCAAUGAGAUGAACAAGCUACAGCACCCAAACAUGGCAUAAAAAUACAUGGCAGGGAUGCAUUCCUGAUUCUUAACAAAAGUCUAGCACUGAGCUACGGCCAAUUCAUCUAUUAACAGGUUCAAACAAGCAUGGCAAAAAUGCAUAUGGUAAACAGAUUUCAGACUUAGUGAAAUUAACACUUGUCUGGAAUUUCAGAUCAGGUAGCACUCUUCGGAGCAUGAAAACUAUAUGCUACAGGACCUGAACAUGGCAAAGUAAAACAUGGCAUGGAGCUACUCAAAGCGCUUAACAAAAGUCCCUUAGUGAACUGGAGCCAAAAGGGAUCAGAAAAUACAUUUGCAAGCAUGUGAACAUGGCAAAAACAUAAUCAGAUCAUAGACUUAGUGAAAACUGGAGCAUGCUGAAAACAGAUAUCAAGUAGGCAUGUUUAUGAGCUCGAUGCACUCACUACAUAGCAAGUCAUGACAAUCUAUGAAUACACCCAUCAAGAAUACACAAAAUGCAAGCUAGACAUGGCAAGAACAAUAACAUAGCAUGCACGGAUCAACUAAAACAUCCUCGGCAAAAUUGCUAACAAGUAGACAAUCUGCCCAGAUUCACGAAAUAGCAAAAGUAGAGCUCGGUUGACUCAAGCUAGGGUGCUCCAUAAUUGCAAACAAAGACAUGGAUGGAUAGAGAACUACAAGAUUAACAAAACAUCCUUACUUAUCAUCCUCAAAAGAGGCACGGAUCACUAGGAAACAACAUGAACAUAUGGCCAUAUGAGAUAACCAGAUCAAGGACUUAGUGGAAUUGCAAAGUCCUUGAAAUCAGCAUUACCAAGUGCCUCACUUUGCAAGCUUGUGCUAGUCAGCACACACAUCACAAAAAUACAUGGGUUGCACCUCUGGAAAGAUGGCAAAACCCUUAACAAAACAUAUGUAGAGCUCAUGGGCAUAUCAUGCACACAAUAAUCAUGGCAAAAAUGACAAAUAUCUAAAUGGAGUAGCAGAUCUGACAAUUAUCUCAAGUAGCACUCUUCCAACAGCAUUUAGGGCAUUAAGAUGAACUCAAAUUAAAAUGAUGCAAUGCGACGAAAUGAUGUGCUCUCUGAGGCGAACAUUUUGAUAUGCUAUAUGCCCAAAACGGAGCUACGGAUGAGGAGUUACGGCACGAUAAACAAGGGCAUAUGAACUAGGGUUAGGGAGAAAGUCAACCGUCGUUUUGGAUCUAGAUCCAGAUCCGGAUCGCGCGUGUUUCGAGGUUCGCCGAAGACCUGUUCGCCGGAGUAGCCGCGGGGCGUCGCUGGAGGUCGGAGACGAGGAGGGAGAGGCCGGGGCGAUGUGGGCCUCGGGGGAGAGGUCGCCGGCGGGUGUACCGCGCGGCGCCGCGCCUGUCGGGAGGCGGCGGGGUCGGUCCGGCGGGCUCGCAGCCNNNNNNNNNNNNNNNNNNNNNNNNNNNNNNNNNNNNNNNNNNNNNNNNNNNNNNNNNNNNNNNNNNNNNNNNNNNNNNNNNNNNNNNNNNNNNNNNNNNNNNNNNNNNNNNNNNNNNNNNNNNNNNNNNNNNNNNNNNNNNNNNNNNNNNNNNNNNNNNNNNNNNNNNNNNNNNNNNNNNNNNNNNNNNNNNNNNNNNNNNNNNNNNNNNNNNNNNNNNNNNNNNNNNNNNNNNNNNNNNNNNNNNNNNNNNNNNNNNNNNNNNNNNNNNNNNNNNNNNNNNNNNNNNNNNNNNNNNNNNNNNNNNNNNNNNNNNNNNNNNNNNNNNNNNNNNNNNNNNNNNNNNNNNNNNNNNNNNNNNNNNNNNNNNNNNNNNNNNNNNNNNNNNNNNNNNNNNNNNNNNNNNNNNNNNNNNNNNNNNNNNGGGCGCGGCGCCGAUGGCCUCGGGCGGCCGGACGCGAGGAGGGUGGUGGCGGCUUGCGAACAUGAGGCGGCGGGGCGAUGUGGGCCUCGGGGGCCCCGAGCGCUGCGGCGGCGAAGUGGGCGCGUGGGCGCCACGUGGCAAGAUCUGGUAGGUCGGCGGCGGUGGGCGGACAAUGUCCGGCCGUCCGGAUUUUGUCCGGCGGCUGGAGGAGGAGGAGGGUUAGGGUUUCUCCUGAGAUUUCAAUGGGGAAGAUAUAUAUAGGCAUAGAGGGAGCUAGGAGAGUCCAAAUGAGGUGCGGUUUUCGGCCACGCGAUCGUGAUCGAACUCUCUAGAUGAUGGAGAAGGUUUAGGUGGGUUUUGGGCCAACUUGGAAGGGUGUUGGGCUGCAACACACACGAGGCCUUUACGGUCCCUCGGUUAACCGUUGGAGUAUCAAACAAAGUCCAAAUGAUACGAAACUUGACAGGCGGUCUACCGGUAGUAAACCAAGGCCGCUUGGCAAGUCUCGGUCUAAUCCGGAAAUGUUUAAUCCCCACACACGAAAGAAAGGUAGAAAUGACCACCGGAGGAGAACGAAGCGCCGGAAUGCAAAACGGACAACGGGGAAAAUGCUCGAAUGCAUGAGAUGAACAUGUAUGCAAAUGCAAUGCACAUGAUGACAUGAUAUGAGAUGCAUGACAACGACAAAAACACACGGAGACAAAAACCCAAACCCGAGGAAAUAAAAUAACAUAAGGCCAGAAAUAGCAAGAGUUGGAAUACAUAGUGGGAAAGUCAUAUCCGGGGUGUUACAAAUAAUGUGUUAGGCUCAGGCUAGAGAAGAAAUAGGGAACAAACUUAUGAAAGAAUGAUCAUACCGAGGGAAUUCACUCAGAACUAACAAGAAUGAUCACGUGCUCCGACUGGAGCGCUUAGGAACUGCUGGAAGGAUCUAGGGGAAUAAAGAUGGAAUGACUUCAAAUUUUUAGGCCCAUAUGAUUUGAAAUACUUGCACACAAACCGCGAGAAAGCGUUCCUGGAAAUCUCAGCCCAAAAAAGGAUGUUUAGUAAUUCUAAAAGGGACUACAGGAUGAAAAACAAUAGUUUUGGCAGUUAAAGUUUGAGAUUUGACGGUGUCGUAGAUCCGUUUGGUCAUCAGGUGUUACGAGCCACACCCAUGUCUAGCUAGAAUAGUGUGUUAGGCUCAGGCUAGAGAAGAAACGGGGAACAAACUGAUGAAAGAAUGAUCAAACCGAGGGGAUUCACUCAGAACUAACAAGAAUGAUAACGUGCUCCGACUAGAGCGGUUUAGGAACUUCUGGAAGGCUCUAGGGGAAUAAAGAUGGAAUGACUUCUAAUUUUUAGGUCCGUAUGAUUUGAAAUACUUUCACACAAACCGCGCGAAAGCGUUCCUGGAAAUCUCAGCCCCAAAAAGGACGUUUAGUAAUUCUAGAAGGGACUAUAGGAUGAAAAACAAUAGUUUUGGUAGUUAAAGUUUGAGAUUCGAUGGUGCCGUGGAUCCGUUUGGUCAUCAGGUGUUACGAGCCACACCCAUGUCUAGCUAGAAUAGUAUGUUAGGCUCAGGUUAGAGAAGAAACGGGGAACAAACUGAUGAAAAAAUGAUCAUACCAAGGGAAUUCACUCAGAACUAACAAGAAUGAUAACGUGCUCCGACUGGAGCGGUUUAGGAACUGCUGGAAGGCUCUAGGGGAAUAAAGAUGGAAUGACUUCUAAUUUUUACGUCCGUAUGAUUUGAAAUACUUGCACACAAACCACGCAAAAGCGUUCCUGGAAAUCUCAGCCUAAAAAAGGACGUUUAGUAAUUCUAAAAGGGACUACAGGAUGAAAAAUAAUAGUUUGGGCAGUUAAAAUUUGAGAUUCAACGGUGCCGUAGAUCCGUUUGGUCAUGAGGUGUUACGAGCCACACCCAUGUCUAGCUAGAAUAGUGUGUUAGGCUCAGGCUAGAGAAGAAACGGGGAACAAAUUGAUGAAAGAAUGAUCAUACCGAGGGAAUUCACUCAGAACUAACAAGAAUGAUAACGUGCUCCGACUGGAGCAGUUUGGAAACUGUUGGUAGGCUCUAGGGGAAUAAAGAUGGAAUCACUUCAAAUUUUUAGGUCCGUAUGAUUUGAAAUACUGGCACACAAACCGCGCGAAAGUGUUCCUGGAAAUCUCAGCCCAAAAAAGGACGUUUAGUAAUUCUAAAAGGGACUACAGGAUGAAAAACAAUACUUUUGGCAGUUAAAGUUUGAGAUUCGACGGUGCCGUAGAUCUGUUUGGUCAUCAGGUGUAACGAGCCACACCCAUGUCUAGCUAGAGUAGUGUGCUAGGCUCAGACUAGAGAAGAAACGGGGAACAAAGUGAUGAAAGAAUGAUCAUACCGAGGGAAUUCACUCAGAACUAACAAGAAUGAUAACGUGCUCCGACUGGAGCGGUUUAGGAACUGCUGGAAGGCUCUAGGGAAAUAAAGAUGGAAUGACUUCUAAUUUUUAGGUCCAUAUCAUUUGAAAUACGUGCACACAAACCCCGAGAAAGCGUUCCUGGAAAUCUCGGCCGAAAAAAGGAUGUUUAAUAAUUCUAAAAGGGACUACAGGAUGAAAAACAAUAGUUUUGGCAGUUAAAGUUUGAGAUUUGACGGUGCCGUAGAUCUGUUUGGUCAUCAGGGGUUACGAGCCACACCCAUGUCUAGCUAGAAUAGUGUGUUAGGCUCAGGCUAGAGAAGAAACGGGGAACAAAUUGAUGAAAGAAUGAUCAUACCGAGGGAAUUCACUCAGAACUAACAAGAAUGAUAACGUGCUCCGACUGGAGCAGUUUGGAAACUGUUGGUAGGCUCUAGGGGAAUAAAGAUGGAAUCACUUCUAAUUUUUAGGUCCGUAUGAUUUGAAAUACAUGCACACAAACCCCAAGAAAGCGUUCCUGGAAAUCUCGCCCCGAAAAACGACGUUUAGUAAUUCUAAAAGGGACUACAGGAUGAAAAACAAUACUUUUGGCAGUUAAAGUUUGAGAUUCGACGGUGCCGUAGAUCUGUUUGGUCAUCAGGUGUAACGAGCCACACCCAUGUCUAGCUAGAGUAGUGUGCUAGGCUCAGACUAGAGAAGAAACGGGGAACAAAGUGAUGAAAGAAUGAUCAUACCGAGGGAAUUCACUCAGAACUAACAAGAAUGAUAACAUGCUCCGACUGGAGCGGUUUAGGAAGUGCUGGAAGGCUCUAGGGAAAUAAAGAUGGAAUGACUUCUAAUUUUUAGGUCCAUAUCAUUUGAAAUACGUGCACACAAACCCCGAGAAAGCGUUCCUGGAAAUCUCGGCCGAAAAAAGGAUGUUUAAUAAUUCUAAAAGGGACUACAGGAUGAAAAACAAUAGUUUUGGCAGUUAAAGUUUGUGAUUCGAUGGUGCCGUAGAUCUGUUUGGUCAUCAGGUGUUACGAGCCACACCCAUGUCUAGCUAGAACAGUGUGUUAGGCUCAGGCUAGAGCAGAAACGGGGAACAAACUUAUGAAAGAAUGAUCAUACCGAGGGAAUUCACUCAGAACUAACAAGAAUGAUAACGUGCUCCAACUGGAGCGGUUUAGGAACUGCUGGAAGGCUCUAGGGGAAUAAAGAUGGAAUGACUUCAAAUUUUUAGGUCCGUAUGAUUUGAAAUACUUGCACACAAACCGCUAGAAAGCGUUCCUGGAAAUCUCAGCCCAAAAAAGGACGUUUAGUAAUUCUAAAAGGGACUACAGGAUGAAAAACAAUAGUUCUGGCAGUUAAAGUUUGAGCUUCGAUAAUGUCGUAGAUCCGUUUGGUCAUCAGGUGUAACGAGCCACACCCAUUUCUAGCUAGAGUAGUGUGCUAGGCUCAGACUAGAGAAGAAAUGGGCAACAAACUAAUGAAAGAAUGAUCAUACCGAGGGAAUUCACUCAGAACUAACAAGAAUGAUAACGUGCUCCGACUGGAGCGGUUUAGGAACUGCUGGAAGGCUCUAGGGGAAUAAAGAAGGAAUGACUUCUAAUUUUUAGGUCCGUAUGAUUUGAAAUGUGUGCACACAAACCCCGAGAAAGCAUUCCUGGAAAUCUCGGCCCAAAAAAGGACGUUUAGUAAUUCUAAAAGGGACUACAGGAUGAAAAACAAUAGUUUUGGCAGUUAAAGUUUGAGAUUCGAUAAUGCCGUAGAUCCGUUUGGUCAUCAGGUGUAACGAGCCACACCCAUGUCUGGUUAGAGUAGUGUGCUAGGCUCAGACUAGAUAAGAAACGGGGAACAAACUGAUGAAAGAAUGAUCAUACCGAGCGAAUUCACUCAGAACUAACAAGAAUGAUAACAUGCUCCGACUGGAGCGGUUUAGGAACUGCUGGAAGGCUCUAGGGGAAUAAAGAUGGAAUGACUUCUAAUUUUUAGGUCCGUAUGAUUUGAAAUACUUGCACACAAACCACGCGAAAGCGUUCCUGGAAAUCUCAGCCCAAAAAAGGACGUUUAGUAAUUCUAAAAGGGACUACAGGAUGAAAAACAAUAGUUUUGGCAGUUAAAGUUUGAGAUUCGACAGUGCCGUAGAUCCGUUUGGUCAUCAGGUAUUACGAGCCACACCCAUGUCUAGCUAGAAUAGUGUGCUAGGCUCAGGCUAGAGAAGAAACGGGGAACAAACUGAUGAAAGAAUGAUCAAACCGAGGGAAUUCACUCAGAACUAACAAUAAUGAUAACGUGCUCCGACUGGUGCGGUUUAGGAACUGCUGGAAGGCUCUAGGGGAAUAAAGAUGGAAUGACUUCUAAUUUUUAGGUCCGUAUGAUUUGAAAUACUUGCACACAAACCGCGCGAAAGCGUUCCUGGAAAUCUCAGCCCAAAAAAGGACGUUUAGUAAUUUUAAAAGGGACUAUAGGAUGAAAAACAAUAGUUUUGGCAAUUAAAGUUUGAGAUUCGACGGUGUCGUAGAUCCGUUUGGUCAUCAGGUGUUACGAGCCACACCCAUGUCUAGCUAGAAUAGUAUGUCAGGCUCAGGUUAGAGUAGAAACGGGGAACAAACUGAUGAAAGAAUGAUCAUACCAAGGGAAUUCACUCAGAACUAUCAAGAAUGAUAACGUGCUCCGACUGGAGUGAUUUAGGAACUGCUGGAAGGCUCUAGGGGAAUAAAGAUGGAAUGACUUCUAAUUUUUACGUCCGUAUGAUUUGAAAUACUUGCACACAAAUCACGCAAAAGCGUUCCUGGAAAUCUCAGCCUAAAAAAGGACGUUUAGUAAUUCUAAAAGGGACUACAGGAUGAAAAACAAUAGUUUGGGCAGUUAAAAUUUGAGAUUCGACGGUGCCGUAGAUCCGUUUGGUCAUCAGGUGUUACGAGCGACACCCUUGUCUAGCUAGAAUAGUGUGUUAGGCUCAGACUAGAGAAGAAACGGGGAACAAAGUGAUGAAAGAAUGAUCAUACCGAGGGAAUUCACUCAGAACUAACAAGAAUGAUAACGUGCUCCGACUGGAGCGGUUUAGUAACUGCUGGAAGGCUCUAGGGGAAUGAAGAUGGAAUGACUUCUAAUUUUUAGGUCCGUAUGAUUUGAAAUACAUGCACACAAACCCUGAGAAAGCGUUCCUGGAAAUCUCGGUCGAAAAAAGGAUGUUUAAUAAUUCUAAAAGGGACUACCGGAUGAAAAACAAUAGUUUUGGCAGUUAAAGUUUGUGAUUCGAUGGUGCCGUAGAUCUGUUUGGUCAUCAGGUGUUACGAGCCACACCCAUGUCUAUCUAGAAUAGUGUGUUAGGCUCAGGCUAGAGCAGAAACGGGGAACAGACUUAUGAAAGAAUGAUCAUACCGAGGGAAUUCACUCAGAACUAACAAGAAUGAUAACGUGCUCCGACUGGCGCGGUUUAGGAACUGCUGGAAGGCUCUAGGGGAAUAAAGAUGGAAAGACUUCUAAUUUUUAGGUCCGUAUGAUUUGAAAUACUUGCACACAAACCGCACGAAAGCGUUCCUGGAAAUCUCAGCCUAAAAAGGAUGUUUAGUAAUUCUAAAAGGGACUACAAGAUGAAAAAUAAUAGUUUGGGCAGUUAAAAUUUGAGAUUCGACGAUGCCGUAGAUCCGUUUGGUCAUCAGGUGUUAUGAGCCACACCCAUGUCUAGCUAGAAUAGUGUGUUAGGCUCAGGCUAGAGAAGAAACGGGGAACAAACUGAUGAAAGAAUGAUCAUACCGAGGGAAUUCACUCAGAACUAACAAGAAUGAUAACGUGCUCCGACUGGAGCAGUUUAGAAACUGCUGGAAGGCUCUAAUGGAAUAAAGAUGGAAUGCCUUCAAAUUUCUAGGUCCGUAUGAUUUGAAAUACUUGCACACAAACCGCUCGAAAGCGUUCCUGGAAAUCUCAGCCCAAAAAAGGACGUUUAGUAAUUCUAAAAGGGACUACAGGAUGAAAAACAAUAGUUUUGGCAGUUAAAGUUUGAGAUUCGAUGGUGCCGUAGAUCCGUUUGGUCAUCAGGUGUAACGAGCCACACACAUGUCUAGCUAGAGUAGUGUGCUAGGCUCAGACUAGAGAAGAAACGGGGAACAAAGUGAUGAAAGAAUGAUCAUACCGAGGGAAUUCACUCAGAACUUACAAGAAUGAUAACGUGCUCCGACUGGAGCGCUUUAGUAACUGCUGGAAGGCUCUAGGCGAAUAAAGAUGGAAUGACUUCUAAUUUUUAGGUCCGUAUGAUUUGAAAUACUUGCACACAAACCACGCAAAACCGUUCCUAGAAAUCUCGGUCGAAAAAAGGACGUUUAGUAAUUCUAAAAGGGACUACAGGAUGAAAAACAAUAGUUUUGGCAGUUAAAGUUUGAGAUUCGAUGGUGCCGUAGAUCCGUUUGGUCAUCAGGUGUUACGAGCCACACCCAUGUCUAGCUAGAGUAGUGUGCUAGGUUCAGACUAGAGAAGAAACGGGGAACAAAGUGAUUAAAGAAUGAUCAUACCGAGGGAAUUCACUCAGAACUAACAAGAAUGAUAACGUGCUCCGACUGGAGCGGUUUAGGAACUGCUGGAAGGCUCUAGGGGAAUAAAGAUGGAAUGACUUCUAAUUUUUACGUCCGUAUGAUUUGAAAUACAUGCACACAAACCACGCAAAAGCGUUCCUGGAAAUCUCAGCCUAAAAAAGGACGUUUAGUAAUUCUAAAAGGGACUACAGGAUGAAAAAUAAUAGUUUGGGCAGUUAAAAUUUGAGAUUCGACGCUGCCGUAGAUCCGUUUGGUCAUCAGGUCUUACGAGCCACACCCAUGUCUAGCUAGAAUAGUGUGUUAGGCUCAGGCUAGAGAAGAAACGGGGAACAAACUGAUGAAAGAAUGAUCAUACCGAGGGAAUUCACUCAGAACUAACAAGAAUGAUAACGUGCUCCGACUGGAGCAGUUUAGAAACUCCUGGAAGGCUCUAGGGGAAUAAAGAUGGAAUGACUUCAAAGUUUUAGGUCCGUAUGAUUUGAAAUACUUGCACACAAACCGCGUGAAAGCGUUCCUGGAAAUCUCAACCCAAAAAAGGGCGUUUAGUAAUUCUAAAAGGGACUACAGGAUGUAAAACAAUAGUUUUGGCAGUUAAAGUUUGAGAUUCGAUGGUGCCGUAGAUCCGUUUGGUCAUCAGGUGUAACGAGCCACACCCAUGUCUAGCUAGAGUAGUGUGCUAGGCUCAGACUAGAGAAGAAACGGGGAACAAAGUGAUGAAAGAAUGAUCAUACCGAGGGAAUUCACUCAUAACUAACAAGAAUGAUAACGUGCUCUGACUUGAGCGGUUUAGGAACUGCUGGAAGGCUAUAGGGGAAUAAAGAUGGAAUGACUUCAAAUUUUUAGGUCCGUAUGAUCUGAAAUACUUGCACACAAACCGCGAGAAAGCGUUCCUGGAAAUCUCAACCCAAAAAAGGACGUUUAGUAAUUCUAAAAGGGACUACAGGAUGAAAAACAAUAGUUCUGGCAGUUAUUGUUUGAGAUUCGAUAAUCUCGUAGAUCCGUUUGGUCAUCAGGUGUAACGAGCCACACCCAUGUCUAGCUAGAGUAGUGUGCUAGGCUCAGACUAGAGAAGAAACGGGGAACAAACUGAUGAAAGAAUGAUCAUACCGAGGGAAUUCACUUAGAACUAACAAGAAUGAUAACGUGCUCCGACUGGAGCGGUUUAGGAACUGCUGGAAGGCUCUAGGGGAAUAAAGAAGGAACGACUUCUAAUUUUUAGGUCCGUAUGAUUUGAAAUAUGUGCACACAAACCACGAGAAAGCGUUCCUAGAAAUCUCGGCCCAAAAGAGGACGUUUAGUAUUCUAAAAGGGACUACAGAAUGAAAAACAAUAGUUUUGGCAGUUAAAGUUUGAGAUUUGACGGUGCCGUAGAUCUGUUUGGUCAUCAGGGGUUACGAGCCACACCCAUGUCUAGCUAGAAUAGUGUGUUAGGCUCAGGCUAGAAAAGAAACGGGGAACAAAGUGAUGAAAGAAUGAUCAUACCGAGGGAAUUCACUCAGAACUAACAAGAAUGAUAACAUGCUCCGACUGGAGCGGUUUAGGAACUGCUGGAAGGCUCUAGGGGAAUAAAGAUGGAAUGACUUCUAAUUUUUAGGUCCGUAUGAUUUGAAAUACUUGCACACAAACCGCGCGAAAGCGUUCCUGGAAAUCUCAGCCCAAAAAAGGACGUUUAGUAAUUCUAAAAGGGACUACAGGAUGAAAAACAAUAGUUUUGGCAGUUAAAGUAUGAGAUUCAACGGUGCCGUAGAUCCGUUUGGUCAUUAGGUGUUACGAGCCACACCCAUGUCUAGCUAGAAUAGUGUGCUAGGCUCAGGCUAGAGAAGAAACGGGGAACAAACUGAUGAAAGAAUGAUCAAACCGAGGGAAUUCACUCAGAACUAACAAUAAUGAUAACGUGCUCCGACUGGAGCGGUUUAGGAACUGCUGGAAGUCUCUAGGGGAAUAAAGAUGGAAUGACUUCUAAUUUUUACGUUCGUAUGAUUUGAAAAACUUGCCCAUAAACCGCGCGAAAGUGUUCCUGGAAAUCUCAGCCCAAAAAAGGACGUUUAGUAAUUUUAAAAGGGACUACACGAUGAAAAACAAUAGUUUUGGCAGGUAAAGUUUGAGAUUCGACAGUGCCGUAGAUCCGUUUGGUCAUCAGGUGUUACGAGCCACACCCAUGUCUAGCUAGAAUAGUAUGUUACGCUCAGGUUAGAGAAGAAACGGGGAACAAACUGAUGAAAGAUGAUCAUACCAAGGGAAUUCACUCAGAACUAACAAGAAUGAUAACGUGCUCCGACUGGAGCGGUUUAGGAACUGCUGGAAGGCUCUAGGGGAAUAAAGAUGGAAUGACUUCUAAUUUUUACGUCUGUAUGAUUUGAAAUACUUGCACACAAACAACGCAAAAGCAUUCCUGGAAAUCUCAUCCUAAAAAAGGACGUUUAGUAAUUCUAAAAGGGACUACAGGAUGAAAAAUAAUAGUUUGGGAAGUUAAAAUUUGAGAUUCGAUAGUGCCGUAGAUCCGUUUGGUCAUCAGGUGUUAGGAGCCACACCCAUGUCUAGCUAGAAUAGUGUGUUAGGCUCAGGCUAGAGAAGAAACAGGGAACAAACUGAUGAAAGAAUGAUCAUACCGAGGGAAUUCACUCAGAACUAGCAAGAAUGAUAACGUGCUCCGACUGGAGCAGUUUUGAAACUGCUGGAAGGCUCUAGGGGAAUAAUGAUGGAAUGACUUCUAAGUUUUUGGUCCGUAUGAUUUGAAAUACGUGCACACAAACCCAGAGAAAGUGUUCUUGGAAAUCUCGGCCGAAAAAAGGAUGUUUAAUAAUUCUAAAAGGGACUACAGGAUGAAAAACAAUAGUUUUGGCAGUUAAAGUUUGUGAUUCGAUGGUGCUGUAGAUCUGUUUGGUCAUCAGGUGUUAUGAGCCACACCCAUGUCUAGCUAGAACAGUGUGUUAGGCUCAGGCUAGAGCAGAAACGGGGAACAAACUUAUGAAAGAAUGAUCAUACCGAGGGAAUUCACUCAGAACUAACAAGAAUGAUAACGUGCUCCGACUGGAGAGGUUUAGGAACUGCUGGAAGGCUCUAGGGGAAUAAAGAUGGAAUGACUUCAAAUUUUUAGGUCUGUAUGAUCUGAAAUACUUGCACACAAACCGCGAGAAAGCGUUCCUGGAAAUCUCAGCCCAAAAAAGGACGUUUAGUGAUUCUAAAAGGGACUACGGGAUAAAAAACAAUAGUUUUGGCAGUUAAAGUUUGAGAUUCGAUAAUGCCGUAGAUCCGUUUGGUCAUCAGGUGUAACGAGCCACACCCAUGUCUAGCUAGAGUAGUGUGCUAGGCUCAUACUAGAGAAGAAAUGGGGAACAAACUGAUGAAAGAAUGAUCAUACCGAGGGAGUUCACUCAAAACUAACAUGAAUGAUAACGUGCUCCGACUGGAGCGGUUUAGGAACUGCUGGAAGGCUCUAGGGGAAUAAAGAUGGAAUGACUUCUAAUUUUUAGGUCCGUAUGAUUUGAAAUACAUGCACACAAACCCCAAGAAAGCGUUCCUGGAAAUCUCGCCCCGAAAAACGACGUUUAGUAAUUCUAAAAGGGACUAUAGGAUGAAAAACAAUAGUUUUGGCAGUUAAAGUUUGAGAUUUGACGGUGCCGUAGAUCUGUUUGGUCAUCAGGUGUUACGAGCCACACCCAUUUCUAGCUAGAAUAGUGUGUUAGGCUCAGGCUAGAAAAGAAACGGGGAACAAAGUGAUGAAAGAAUGAUCAUACCGAGGGAAUUCACUCAGAACUAACAAGAAUGAUAACAUGGUCCGACUGGAGCGGUUUAGGAACUGCUGGAAGGCUCUAGGGGAAUAAAGAUGGAAUGACUUCUAACUUUUAGGUCCGUAUGAUUUGAAUUACUUGCACACAAACCGCGCGAAAGCGUUCCUGGAAAUCUCAGCCCAAAAAAGGACGUUUAGUAAUUCUAAAAGGGACUACAGGAUGAAAAACAAUAGUUUUGGCAGUUAAAGUUUGAGAUUCGACGGUGCCGUAGAUCCGUUUGGUCAGCAGGUGUUACGAGCCACACCCAUGUCUAGCUAGAGUAGUGUGCUAGGUUCAGACUAGAGAAGAAAUGUUGGGGAACGUAGCAGAAAUUCAAAAUUUUCCUACGUGUCACCAAGAUCUAUCUAUGGAGAGACUAGCAACGAGGGAAGGAGAGUGCAUCUACAUACCCUUGUAGAUCGCUAAGCGGAAGCGUUCAAGUGAACGGGGUUGAUGGAGUCGUACUCGUCGUGAUUCAGCUCACCGAUGAUCCUAGUGCCGAACGGACGGCACCUCCGCGUUCAACACACGUACAGCUCGACGAUGUCUCCCACGCCUUGAUCCAGCAAGGAGAGAGGGAGAGGUUGAGGAAGACUCCAUCCAGCAGAAGCACAACGGCGUGGUGGUGAUGGAGGAGCAUGGCAAUCCUGCAGGGCUUCGCCAAGCACCUAUGGGAGAGGAGGAGGUGUCACGGGAGGGAGGGAGGCGCCAAGGGCUCAGGUAUAGAUGCCCUCCCUCCCCUCCACUAUAUAUAGGGGCAAGGGAGAGGGGGGAGGCGCAGCCUUGCCCCUUCCUCCAAGGAAGGGGUGCGGCUAAGAGGGGGGGAGGAGUCCAUCCUCCCCAAGGCACCUCGGAGGUGCCUUCCCCCUUUAGGACUCUCCCCUUUUUCCUAUAUCUUGGCGCAUGGGCCUCUAGGGGCUGGUUCCCUUGGCCCAUGUAGGCCCAGGCGCACCCCCUACAGCCCAUGUGGCCCCCCGGGGCAGGUGGCCCCACCUGGUGGGCCCCCGGGACCCUUCCGGUGGUCCCGGUACAAUACCGAUGACCCCGAAACUUGUCCCGAUGGCCGAAACAGGACUUCCUAUAUAUAAAUCUUUACCUCCGGACAAUUCCGGAACUCCUCGUGACGUCCGGGAUCUCAUCCGGGACUCCGAACAACAUUCGGUAACCACAUACAAACUUCCUUUAUAACCCUAGCGUCAUCGAACCUUAAGUGUGUAGACCCUACGGGUUCGGGAGACAUGUAGUCAUGACCGAGAUGUUCUCCGGUCAAUAACCAACAGCGGGAUCUGGAUACCCAUGUUGGCUCCCACAUGUUCCACGAUGAUCUCAUCGGAUGAACCACGAUGUCAAGGACUCAAUCAAUCCCGUAUACAAUUCCCUUUGUCUAGCGGUAUGGUACUUGCCCGAGAUUCGAUCGUCGGUAUACCGAUACCUUGUUCAAUCUCGUUACCGGCAAGUCUCUUUACUCAUUUCGUAACACAUCAUCCCGUGAUCAACCCCUUGGUCACAUUGUGCACAUUAUGAUGAUGUCCUACCGAGUGGGCCCAGAGAUACCUCUCCGUUUACACGGAGUGACAAAAUCCCAAUCUCGAUUCGUGCCAACCCAACAGACACUUUCAGAGAUACCCGUAGUGUACCUUUACAGCCACCCAGUUACGUUGUGACGUUUGGCACACCCAAAGCACUCCUACAGUAUCCGGGAGUUGCACAAUCUCAUGGUCUAAGGAAAUGAUACUUGACAUUAGAAAAGCUUUAGCAUACGAACUACAUGAUCUUGUGCUAGGCUUAGGAUUGGGUCUUGUCCAUCACAUCAUUCUCCUAAUGAUGUGAUCCCGUUAUCAACGACAUCCAAUGUCCAUGGUCAGGAAACCGUAACCAUCUAUUGAUUAACGAGCUAGUCAACUAGAGGCUUACUAGGGACAUGGUGUUGUCUAUGUAUCCACACAUGUAUCUAAGUUUCCUAUCAAUACAAUUCUAGCAUGGAUAAUAAACGAUUAUCAUGAACAAGGAAAUAUAAUAAUAAUCAAUUUAUUAUUGCCUCUAGGGCAUAUUUCCAACAGUCUCCCACUUGCACUAGAGUCAAUAAUCUAGUUCACAUCGAUAUGUGAUUAACACUCAAGGUCACAUUCCCAUGUGACUAACACCCAAGAGUUUACUAGAGUCAAUAAUCUAGUUCACAUUUACCAUGUGAUUAACACUUGAUGAGUUCUGGGUUUGAUCAUGUUAUGCUUGUGAGAGAGGUUAUAGUCAACGGGUCUGAACCUUUCAGAUCCGUGUGUGCUUUACAAAUCUCUAUGUCAUCUCCUAGAUGCAGCUACCACGUUCUAUUUGGAGCUAUUCCAAAUAACUGUUCUACUUGGAGCUAUUCUAAAUUGUUGCUCCAUUAUACGUAUCCGGUAUCUCUACUCAGAGCUAUCCGGAUAGGUGUUAAGCUUGCAUCGACGUAACCCUUUACGACGAACUCUUUUACCACCUCCAUAAUUGAGAAAAUUCCUUAGUCCACUAGUUACUAAGGAUAACUUUGACCGCUGUCCUGUGAUCCAUUCUUGGAUCACUCUUGUACCCCUUGACUGACUCAUGGUAAAGCACACUUCAGGUGCGGUACACAGCAUAGCAUACUGUAGAGCCUAUGUCUUAAGCAUAGGGGACGACCUUCGUUCCUUUCUCUCUAUUCUGCCAUGGUCGAGCUUUAAGUCUUAACUUCAUACCUUACAACUCAGGCAAGAACUCCUUCUUUGACUGAUCCAUCUUGAACACCUUCAAGAUCACGUCAAGGCAUGUGCUCACGUCAAGAUCACGUCGGUAUACCGAUACCUUGUUCAAUCUCGUUACCGGCAAGUCUCUUUACUCGUUCCGUAACACAUCAUCCCGUGAUCAACCCCUUGGUCACAUUGUGCACAUUAUGAUGAUGUCCUACCGAGUGGGCCCAGAGAUACCUCUCCGUUUACACGGAGUGACAAAAUCCCAAUCUCGAUUCGUGCCAACCCAACAGACACUUUCAGAGAUACCCGUAGUGUACCUUUAUAGCCACCCAGUUACGUUGUGACGUUUGGCACACCCAAAGCACUCCUACGGUAUCCGGGAGUUGCACAAUCUCAUGGUCUAAGGAAAUGAUACUUGACAUUAGAAAAGCUUUAGCAUACGAACUACAUGAUCUUGUGCUAGGCUUAGGAUUGGGUCUUGUCCAUCACAUCAUUCUCCUAAUGAUGUGAUCCCGUUAUCAACGACAUCCAAUGUCCAUGGUCAGGAAACCGUAACCAUCUAUUGAUUAACGAGCCAGUCAACUAGAGGCUUACUAGGGACAUGGUGUUGUCUAUGUAUCCACACAUGUAUCUGAGUUUCCUAUCAAUACAAUUCUAGCAUGGAUAAUAAACGAUUAUCAUGAACAAGGAAAUAUAAUAAUAAUCAAUUUAUUAUUGCCUCUAGGGCAUAUUUCCAACAGUCUCCCACUUGCACUAGAGUCAAUAAUCUAGUUCACAUCACCAUGUGAUUAACACUGACAGGUCACAUCACCAUGUGACCAACAUCCAAAGAGUCUUGGGUUUGAUCAUGUUGCUUGUGAGAGAGGUUAUAGUCAACGGGUCUGAACCUUUCAGAUCCGUGUGUGCUUUACAAAUCUCUAUGUCAUCUCCUAGAUGCAGCUACCACGUUCUAUUUGGAGCUAUUCCAAAUAACUGUUCUACUUGGAGCUAUUCUAAAUUGUUGCUCCAUUAUACGUAUCCGGUAUCUCUACUCAGAGCUAUCCGGAUAGGUGUUAAGCUUGCAUCGACGUAACCCUUUACGACGAACUCUUUUACCACCUCCAUAAUUGAGAAAAUUCCUUAGUCCACUAGUUACUAAGGAUAACUUUGACCGCUGUCCUGCGAUCCAUUCUUGGAUCACCCUUGUACCCCUUGACUGACUCAUGGUAAAGCACACUUCAGGUGCGGUACACAGCAUAGCAUACUGUAGAGCCUAUGUCUUAAGCAUAGGGGAUGACCUUCGUUCCUUUCUCUCUAUUCUGCCAUGGUCGAGCUUUAAGUCUUAACUUCAUACCUUACAACUCAGGCAAGAACUCCUUCUUUGACUGGUCCAUCUUGAACACCUUCAAGAUCAUGUCAAGGUAUGUGCUCAUUUGAAAGUACUAUUAAGCGUUUUGAUCUAUCCUUAUAGAUCUUGAUGCUCAAUGUUCAAGUAGCUUAAUCCAGGUUUUCCAUUGAAAACACUUUCCAAAUAACCCUAUAUGCUUUCCAGAAAUUCUACGUCAUUUCUGAUCAUUAAUAUGUCAACAACAUAUAAUCAUCAGAAAUUCUAUAGUGCUCCCACUCACUUCUUUGGAAAUACAAGUUUCUCAUAAACUUUGUAUACACCCAAAAUCUUUGAUCAUCAUCAAAGCAUACAUUCCAACUCCGAGAUGCUCACUCCAGUCCUCAGAAGGAUUGCUGGAGCUUUGCAUACUUAUUAGCAUAUUUCAGGAUAGACAAAACCUUCCAGUUGUAUCACAUACAACCUUUCCUCAAGAAUCGUCGACGAAACAAUGUUUUGACAUCCUAUCUGCAAGAUUUCAUAAAUAAUGCAGUAAUUGUUAAUAUAAUUCCAACAGACUCUUAGCAUCGCUACGAGUGAGAAAGUCUCAUUGUAGUCAACUCCUUGAACUUGUCAAAAAACAUCUUAACGACAAGUCGAGCUUUCUCAAUGGUGACACUUACCAUCAUUGUCUGUCUUCCUUUCAAAAUCCAUAUGUACCUAACAGCCUUACGACCAUCAAGUAGUUCUUCCAAAGUCUACACUUUGUUUUCAUACAUGGAUCCUCUCUCGGGUUUUAUGGCCAUGAGCCAUUUAUCGGAAUCCGGGCCCACCAUUGCUUCUCCAUAGCUCGUAGGUUCAUUGUUGUCUAGCAACAUGACUUCCAAGACAGGAUUACUGUACCACUCUGAAGUAGUACGUAUCCUUGUCACCCUACGAGGUUUGGGAGUGACUUGAUCUGAAGUUUCAUGAUCACUAUCAUAAGCUUCUACUUCAAUUGGUGUAGGUGCCACAGGAACAACUUCCUGUGCCCUGCUACACACUGGUUGAAGUGAUGGUUCAAUAACCUCAUCAAGUCUCCACCAUCCUCCCACUCAAUUCUUUCGAGAGAAACCUUUCCUCGAGAAAGGACCCAAUUCUAGAAACAAUUCAUAUUGCUUUCGGAUCUGAAUUAGGAAGUAUACCCAACUGUUUUGGGUGUCCUAUGAAGAUGUACUUUAUCCGCUUUGGUUUCGAGCUUAAUCCUGAAACUUUUUCACAUAAGUGUCGCAGCCCCAAACCUUUAAGAAACGACAACUUAGGUUUCUCUAAACCAUAAUUCAUACGGUGUCAUCUCAUCGGAAUUACGUGGUGCCCUAUUUAAAGUGAAUGUGGUUGUCUUUAAUGCCUAACCCAUAAACUAUCGUGGCAGUUCGAUAAGAGACAUCAUGGUAUGCAUCAUAUCCAAUAGGGUGCAACUAUGAUGUUCGGACACACCAUCACACUAUGGUGUUCCAGGCGGUAUUAAUUGUGAAACAAUUUCCACAAUGUCUUAAUUGUGUGCCAAAACUCGUAACUCAGAUACUCAUCUCUAUGAUCAUAUCAUAGACAUUUUAUCCUCUUGUCACAAUGAUCUUCUACUUCACUCUGAAAUUACUUGAACCAUUCAACAAUUCAGACUUGUGUUUCAUCAAGUAAAUAUUCUCAACAUCUACUCGAAUCAUCUGUGAAGUAAGAACAUAACGAUAUUCACUGCAUGCCUCAGCACUCAUUGGACUGCACACAUCAAAAUGUGUUACUUCCAACAAGUUGCUAUCUUGUUCCAUCUUACUGAAAACGAGGCUUUUCAGUCAUCUUGCCCAUGUGGUAUGAUUUGCAUGUCCCAAGUGAUUCAAAAAUCAAGUGAGUCAAAACGGUCCAUUUGCAUGGAGUUUCUUCAUGCAUAUACACCAAUAGACAUGGUUCGCAUGUCUCAAACUUUUCAAAAACGAGUGAGCCCAAAGAUCCAUCAAUAUGGAGCUUCUUCAUGCGUUUUAUACCGAUAUGACUUACGUGGUAGUGCCACAAGUAGGUGGUACUAUCAUUACUAUCUUUUGGCAUGAACAUGUGUAUCACUACGAUCGAGAUUUAAUAAACCAUUCAUUUUAGGUGUAAGACCAUUGAAGGUAUUAUUCAAAUAAACAGAGUAACCAUUAUUCUCCUUAAAUGAAUAACCGUAUUGCGAUAGACGUAAUCCAAUCAUGUCUAUGCUCAACGCAAACACCAAAUAACAAUUAUUUAGGUUUAACACCAAUCUCUUUGGUAGAGGGAGCGUGCGAUGCUUGAUCAUAUCAAGCAUGGAAAAACUUACAACACAUAUCGUCAGCUCACCUUUAGCUAGUCUCUGUUUAUUCCGUAGCCUUUUGUUUCGAGUUACUAACACUUAGCAACCGAACUGGUAUCUAAUACCCUGGUGCUACUAGGAGUACUAGCAAAGUACACAUUAACACAAUGUAUAUCCAAUAUACUUCUAUCGACCUUGCCAGCCUUCUUAUCUACCAAGUAUCUAGGGUAAUUCUGCUCUAGUAGUUGUUCCCCUUAUUACAGAAGCACUUAGUCUCGGGUUUGGGUUUUACCUUGGGUUUCUUCACUAGAGCAGCAGCUGAUUUGCCGUUUCAUGAAGUAUCCCUUCUUGCCCUUGCCCUUCUUGAAACUAGUGGUUCCACCAACCAUCAACAAUUGAUGCUCCUUCUUGAUUUCUACUUUCGCGGUGUCAAACAUCGCGAAUACCUCAAGGAUCAUCAUAUCUAUCCCUGAUAUGUUAUAGUUCAUCAUGAAGCUCUAACAGCUUGGUGGCAAUGACUUUGGAGAACCAUCACUAUCUCAUCUGGAAGAUCAACUCCCACUCGAUUCAAGCGAUUGUUGUACUCAGACAAUCUGAGCACAAGCUCAACGAUUGAGCUUUUCUCCCUUAGUUUGCAGGUUAAGAAAGUCAUCGGAGGUCUUAUACCUCUUGACAUGGGCACGAGCCUGAAAUCCCAAUUUCAGCCCUCAAAACAUCUCAUAUGUUUCGCGAUGUUUCAAAAACGUCUUUGGUGCCUCAACUCUAAACCGUUUAACUGAACUAUCACGUAGUUAUCAAAACGUGUAUGUCAGAUGUUCGCAACAACCACAGACAACGUUCGAGGUUCAGCACACUGAGCGGUGCAUUAAGGACAUAAGCCUUCUAUGAAGCAAUGAGGACAAUCCUCAGUUUACGGACCUAGUCCGCAUAAUUGCUACUAUCAACUUUCAACUAAUUUUUCUCUAGGAACAUAUCUAAACAGUAGAACUAUAGCGUGAGCUACGACAUAAUUUGCAAAAACCUUUUGACUAUGUUCAGGAUAAUUAAGUUCAUCUUAUGAACUCCCACUCAGAUAGACAUCCCUCUAGUCAUCUAAGUGAUUACAUGAUCCGAGUCAAACUAGGCCGUGUCCGAUCAUCACGUGAGACGGACUAGUCAUCAUCGGUGAACAUCUUCAUGUUGAUCGUAUCUUCUAUACGACUCAUGUUCGACCUUUCGGUCUUCGUGUUCCGAGGCCAUGUAUGUACAUGCUAGGCUCGUCAAGUUAACCCUAAGUGUUUCGCGUGUGUAAAUCUGUCUUACACCCGUUGUAUGUGAACGUUAGAAUCUAACACCCGAUCAUCACGUGGUGCUUCGAAACACGAACUGUCGCAACGGUGCACAGUUAGGGGAGAACACUUCUUGAAAUUGUUGUAAGGGAUCAUCUUAUUUACUACCGUCGUUCUAAGCAAAUAAGAUGUAUAAACAUGAUAAACAUCACAUGCAAUCAAAUAGUGACAUGAUAUGGCCAUCAUCACUUUGCUCCUUUUGAUCUCCAUCUUCGGGGCUCCAUGAUCAUCAUCGUCACCGGCAUGACACCAUGAUCUCCAUCAUCAUGAUCUCCAUCAUCGUGUCUUCAUGAAGUUGCCUCGCCAACUAUUACUUCUACUACUAUGGCUAACGGUUAGCAAUAAAGUAAAGUAAUUACAUGACGUUUAAGUUGACACGCAGGUCACAAAUGAAUAAAGACAACUCCUAUGGCUCCUGCCGGUUGUCAUACUCAUCGACAUGCAAGUCGUGAUUCCUAUUACAAGAACAUGAUCAAUCUCAUACAUCACAUAUAUCAUUCAUCACAUCCUUUUUGGCCAUAUCACAUCACAUAGCAUACCCUGCAAAAACAAGUUAGACGUCCUCUAAUUGUUGUUUGCAUGUUUUACGUGGCUGCUAUGGGUUUCUAGCAAGAACGUUUCUUACCUACGCAUGAACAACAACGUGAUAUGCCAAUUGCUAUUUACCCUUCAUAAGGACCCUUUUCAUCGAAUCCGAUCCGACUAAAGUGGGAGAGACAGACACCCGCCAGCCACCUUAUGCAACUAGUGCAUGUUUGUCGGUGGAACCGGUCUCACGUAAGCGUACGUGUAAGGUUGGUCCGGGCCGCUUCAUCCCACGAUGCCGCCGAAUCAAGAUAAGACUAGUAACGGCAAGCAUAUUGAACAAUAUCAACGCCCACAACUACUUUGUGUUCUACUCGUGCAAAGAAUCUACGCAAUAGACCUAGCUCAUGAUGCCACUGUUGGGGAACGUAGCAGAAAUUCAAAAUUUUCCUACGUGUCACCAAGAUCUAUCUAUGGAGAUACUAGCAACGAGGGAAGGAGAGUGCAUCUACAUACCCUUGUAGAUCGCUAAGCGGAAGCGUUCAAGUGAACGGGGUUGAUGGAGUCGUACUCGUCGUGAUUCAGAUCACCGAUGAUCCUAGUGCCGAACGGACGGCACCUCCGCGUUCAACACACGUACAGCUCGACGAUGUCUCCCACGCCUUGAUCCAGCAAGGAGAGAGGGAGAGGUUGAGGAAGACUCCAUCCAGCAGCAGCACAACGGCGUGGUGGUGAUGGAGGAGCGUGGCAAUCCUGCAGGGCUUCGCCAAGCACCUACGGGAGAGGAGGAGGUGUCACGGGAGGGAGGGAGGCGCCAAGGGCUCAGGUAUAGAUGCCCUCCCUCCCCUCCACUAUAUAUAGGGGCAAGGGAGAGGGGGAGGCGCAUCCUUGCCCCUUCCUCCAAGGAAGGGGUGCGGCUAAGAGGGGGGGAGGAGUCCAUCCUCCCCAAGGCACCUCGGAGGUGCCUUCCCCCUUUAGGACUCUCCCCUUUUUCCUAUAUCUUGGCGCAUGGGCCUCUAGGGGCUGGUGCCCUUGGCCCAUGUAGGCCAAGGCGCACCCCCCUACAGCCCAUGUGGCCCCCCGGGGCAGGUGGCCCCACCCGGUGGGCCCCCGGGACCCUUCCGGUGGUCCCGGUACAAUACCGAUGACCCCGAAACUUGUCCCGAUGGCCGAAACAGGACUUCCUAUAUAUAAAUCUUUACCUCCGGACCAUUCCGGAACUCCUCGUGACGUCCGGGAUCUCAUCCGGGACUCCGAACAACAUUCGGUAACCACAUACAAACUUCCUUUAUAACCCUAGCGUCAUCGAACCUUAAGUGUGUAGACCCUACGGGUUCGGGAGACAUGUAGUCAUGACCGAGAUGUUCUCCGGUCAAUAACCAACAGCGGGAUCUGGAUACCCAUGUUGGCUCGCACAUGUUCCACGAUGAUCUCAUCGGAUGAACCACGAUGUCAAGGACUCAAUCAAUCCCGUAUACAAUUCCCUUUGUCUAGCGGUAUGGUACUUGCCCGAGAUUCGAUCGUCGGUAUACCGAUACCUUGUUCAAUCUCGUUACCGGCAAGCCUCUUUACUCGUUCCGUAACACAUCAUCCCGUGAUCAACCCCUUGGUCACAUUGUGCACAUUAUGAUGAUGUCCUACCGAGUGGGCCCAGAGAUACCUCUCCGUUUACACGGAGUGACAAAAUCCCAAUCUCGAUUCGUGCCAACCCAACAGACACUUUCAGAGAUACCCGUAGUGUACCUUUAUAGCCACCCAGUUACGUUGUGACGUUUGGCACACCCAAAGCACUCCUACGGUAUCCGGGAGUUGCACAAUCUCAUGGUCUAAGGAAAUGAUACUUGACAUUAGAAAAGCUUUAGCAUACGAACUACAUGAUCUUGUGCUAGGCUUAGNNNNNNNNNNUGAUCAACCCCUUGGUCACAUUGUGCACAUUAUGAUGAUGUCCUACCGAGUGGGCCCAGAGAUACCUCUCCGUUUACACGGAGUGACAAAAUCCCAAUCUCGAUUCGUGCCAACCCAACAGACAUUUUCAGAGAUACCCGUAGUGUACCUUUAUAGCCACCCAGUUACGUUGUGACGUUUGGCACACCCAAAGCACUCCUACGGUAUCCGGGAGUUGCACAAUCUCAUGGUCUAAGGAAAUGAUACUUGACAUUAGAAAAGCUUUAGCAUACGAACUACAUGAUCUUGUGCUAGGCUUAGGAUUGGGUCUUGUCCAUCACAUCAUUCUCCUAAUGAUGUGAUCCCGUUAUCAACGACAUCCAAUGUCCAUGGUCAGGAAACCGUAACCAUCUAUUGAUUAACGAGCUAGUCAACUAGAGGCUUACUAGGGACAUGGUGUUGUCUAUGUAUCCACACAUGUAUCUGAGUUUCCUAUCAAUACAAUUCUAGCAUGGAUAAUAAACGAUUAUCAUGAACAAGGAAAUAUAAUAAUAAUCAAUUUAUUAUUGCCUCUAGGGCAUAUUUCCAACAAGAAACGGGGAACAAACUGAUGAAAGAAUGAUCAUACCGAGGGAAUUCACUCAGAACUAACAAGAAUGAUAACGUGCUUUGACUGGAGCGGUUUAAAAACUGCUGGAAGGCUCUAGGGGAAUAAAGAUGGAAUGCCUUCAAAUUUCUAGGUCCGUAUGAUUUGAAAUACUUGCACACAAACCGCGCGAAAGCGUUCCUGGAAAUCUCAGCCCAAAAAAGGACGUUUAGUAAUUCUAAAAGGGACUACAGAAUGAAAAACAAUAGUUUUGGCAGUUAAAGUUUGAGAUUCGAUGGUGCCGUAGAUCCGUUUGGUCAUCAGGUGUAACGAGCCACACCCAUGUCUAGCUAGAGUAGUGUGCUAGGCUCAGGCUAGAGAAGAAACGGGGAACAAACUGAUGAAAGAAUGAUCAUACCGAGGGAAUUCACUCAGAACUAACAAGAAUGAUAACGUGCUCCGACUGGAGCGGUUUAGGAACUGCUGGAAGGCUCUAGGGGAAGAAAGAAGGAAUGACUUCUAAUUUUUAGGUCCGUAUGAUUUGAAAUACGUGCACACAAACCGCGCGAAAGCGUUCCUGGAAAUCUCAGCCCAAAAAAGGACGUUUAGUAUUCUAAAAGGGACUACAGAAUGAAAAACAAUAGUUUUGGCAGUUAAAGUUUGAGAUUCGACGGUGCCGUAGAUCCGUUUGGUCAUCAGGUGUUACGAGCCACACCCAUGUCUAGCUAGAAUAGUGUGCNNNNNNNNNNNNNNNNNNNNNNNNNCGUAUGAUUUGAAAUACGUGCACACAAACCGCGCGAAAGCGUUCCUGGAAAUCUCAGCCCAAAAAAGGACGUUUAGUAUUCUAAAAGGGACUACAGAAUGAAAAACAAUAGUUUUGGCAGUUAAAGUUUGAGAUUCGACGGUGCUGUAGAUCCGUUUGGUCAUCAGGUGUUACGAGCCACACCCAUGUCUAGCUAGAAUAGUGUGCUAGGCUCAGGCUAGAGAAGAAAAGGGGAACAAACUAAUGAAAGAAUGAUCAAUACGAGGGAAUUCACUCAGAACUAACAAUAAUGAUAACGUGCUCCGACUGGAGCGGUUUAGGAACUGCUGGAAGGCUCUAGGCGAAUAAAGAUGGAAUGACUUCUAAUUUUUACGUCCGUAUGAUUUGAAAUACUUGCACACAAACCACGCAAAAGCGUUCCUGGAAAUCUCGGCCUAAAAAGGACGUUUAGUAAUUCUAAAAGGGACUACAGGAUGAAAAAUAAUAGUUUGGGCAGUUAAAAUUUGAGAUUCGACGGUGCCGUAGAUCCGUUUGGUCAUCAGGUGUUACGAGCCACACCCAUGUCUAGCUAGAAUAGUGUGUUAGGCUCAGGCUAGAGAAGAAACGAGGAACAAACUGAUGAAAGAAUGAUCAUACCAAGGGAAUUCACUCAGAACUAACAAGAAUGAUAACGUGCUCCGACUGGAGCAGUUUAGAAACUGCUGGAAGGCUCUAGGGGAAUAAAGAUGGAAUGACUUCUGAUUUUUAGGUCCGUAUGAUUUGAAAUACGUGCACACAAACCCCGCGAAAGCGUUCCUGGAAAUCUCAGCCCAAAAAAGGACGUUUAGUAAUUCUAAAAGGGACUACAACAUGAAAAACAAUAGUUUUGGCAGUUAAAGUUUGAGAUUUCAUGGUGCCGUAGAUCUGUUUGGUCAUCAGGUGUUACGAGCCACACCCAUGUCUAGCUAGAAUAGUGUGUUAGGCUCAGGCUAGAAAAGAAACGGGAAACAAAGUGAUGAAAGAAUGACCAUACCGAGGGAAUUCACUCAGAACUAACAAGAAUGAUAACAUGCUCCGACUUGAGCGGUUUAGGAACUGCUGGAAGGCUCUAGGGGAAUAAAGAUGGAAUGACUUCUAAUGUUUAGGUCCGUAUGAUUUGAAAUACUUGCACAUAAACCGCACAAAAGCGUUCCUGGAAAUCUCAGCCCAAAAAAGGACGUUUAGUAAUUCUAAAAGGGACUACAGGAUGAAAAACAAUAGUUUUGGCAGUUAAAGUUUGAGAUUCGACGGUGCCGUAGAUCCGUUUGGUCAUCAGGUGUUACGAGCCACACCCAUGUCUAGCUAGAAUAGUGUGUUAGGCUCAGGCUAGAGAAGAAACUUGGAACAAACUGAUGAAAGAAUGAUCAAACCAACGGAAUUCACUCAGAACUAACAAUAAUGAUAACGUGCUCCGACUGGAGCAGUUUAGGAACUGCUGGAAGGCUCUAGGGGAAUAAAGAUGGAAUGACUUCUAAUUUUUAGGUCCGUAUGAUUUGAAAUACUUGCACGCAAACCGCGCGAAAGCGUUCCUGGAAAUAUCAGCCCAAAAAAGGACGUUUAGUAAUUCUAAAAGGGACUACAGGAUGAAAACAAUAGUUUUGGCAGUUAAAGUUUGAGAUUCAACAGUGCCGUAGAUCCGUUUGGUCAUCAGGUGUUAUGAGCCAUACCCAUGUCUAGCUAGAGUAGUGUGCUAGGCUCAGGCUAGAGAAGAAACAGGGAACAAACUGAUGAAAGAAUGAUCAUACCGAGGGAAUUCACUCAGAACUAACAAGAAUGAUAACGUGCUCCGACUGGAGCGGUUUAGGAACUGCUGGAAGGCUCUAGGGGAAUAAAGAUGGAGUGACUUCUAAAUUUUUAGGUCCGUAUGAUUUAAAAUACUUGCACACAAACCGCACGAAAGCGUUCCUUGAAAUCUCAGCCCAAAAAAGGACGUUUAGUAAGUCUAAAAGGGACUAUAGGAUGAAAAACAAUAGUUUUGGCAGUUAAAGUUUGAGAUUCGAUGGUGCCGUAGAUCUGUUUGGUCAUCAGGUGUUACGAGCCACACCCAUGUCUAGUUGGAAUAGUGUGCUAGGCUCAGACUAGAGAAGAAACAGGGAACAAACUGAUGAAAGAAUGAUCAAACCGAGGAAAUUCACUCAGAACUAACAAUAAUGAUAACAUGCUCCGACUGGAGCGGUUUAGGAACUGCUGGAAGGCUCUAGGGGAAUAAAGAUGGAAUGACUUCUAAAUUUUUAGGUCCGUAUGAUUUGAAAUAGUUGCACACAAACUGCGCGAAAGCGUUCCUGGAAAUCUCAGCCCAAAAAAGGACGUUUAGUAAUUCUAAAAGGGACUAUAGGAUGAAAAACAAUAGUUUUGGCAGUUAAAGUUUGAGAUUCGACGGUGCCGUAGAUCCGUUUGGUCAUCACGUGUUACAAGCCACACCCAUGUCUAGCUAGAGUAGUGUGCUAGGCUCAGACUAUAGAAGAAACGGGGACCAAACUGAUGAAAGAAUGAUCAAACCGAGGAAAUUCACUCAGAACUAACAAUAAUGAUAACAUGCUCCGACUGGAGCGGUUUAGGAACUACUGGAAGGCUCUAGGGGAAUAAAGAUGGAAUGACUUCUAAAUUUUUAGGUCCGUAUGAUUUUAAAUAGUUGCACACAAACUGCGCGAAAGCGUUCCUGGAAAUCUCAGCCCAAAAAAGGACGUUUAGUAAUUCUAAAAGGGACUACAGGAUGAAAAACAAUAGUUUGGGCAGUUAAAAUUUGAGAUUCGACGGUGCCGUAGAUCCGUUUGGUCAUCAGGUGUUACGAGCCACACCCAUGUCUAGCUAGAGUAGUGUGCUAGGCUCAGGCUAGAGAAGAAACAGGGAACAAACUGAUGAAAGAAUGAUCAUACCGAGGGAAUUCACUCAGAACUAACAAGAAUGAUAACGUGCUCUGACUGGAGCGGUUUAAGAACUGUUGGAAGGCUCUAGGGGAAUAAAGAUGGAAUCACUUCAAAUUUUUACGUCCGUGUGAUUUGAAAUACUUGCACACAAACCGCACGAAAGCGUUCCUGGAAAUCUCAGCCCAAAAAAGGACGUUUAGUAAGUCUAAAAGGGACUACACGAUGAAAAACAAUAGUUUUGGCAGUUAAAGUUUGAGAUUCGACAGUGCCGUAGAUCCGUUUGGUCAUCAGGUGUAACGAGCCACACCCAUGUCUAGAUAGAGUAGUGUGCUAGGCUCAAACUAGAGAAGAAACGGGGAACAAACUGAUGAAAGAAUGAUCAUACCGAGGGAAUUCACUCAGAAAUAACAAGAAUGAUAACGUGCUCUGACUGGAGCGGUUUAGGAACUGCUGGAAGGCUCUAGGGGAAUAAAGAAGGAAUGACUUCUAAUUUUUAGGUCCGUAUGAUUUGAAAUACGUGCACACAAACCCCGAGAAAGCGUUCCUGGAAAUCUCGACCCAAAAAAGGACGUUUAGUAAUUCUAAAAGGGACUACGGGAUGAAAAACAAUAGUUUUGGCAGUUAAAGUUUGAGAUUCGAUAAUGCCGUAGAUCCAUUUGGUCAUCAGGUGUAACGAGCCACACCCAUGUCUAGCUAGAGUAGUGUGCUAGGCUCAGACUAGAGAAGAAACAGGGAACAAACUGAUGAAAGAAUGAUCAUAUCGAGGGAAUUCACUCAGAACUAACAAGAAUGAUAACAUGCUCCGACUUGAGCGGUUUAGGAACUGCUGGAAGGCUCUAGGGGAAUAAAGAUGGAAUGACUUCUAAUUUUUAGGUCCGUAUGAUUUGAAAUACUUACACACAAACCACGCGAAAGCGUUCCUGGAAAUCUCAGCCCAAAAAAGGACGUUUAGUAAUUCUAAAAGGGACUACAUGAUGAAAAACAAUAGUUUUCGCAGUUAAAGUUUGAGAUUCGACGGUGCCGUAGAUCCGUUUGGUCAUCAAGUGUUACGAGCCACACCCAUGUCUAGCUAGAAUAGUGUGUUAGGCUCAGCCUAGAGAAGAAACGGGGAACAAACUGAUGAAAGAAUGAUCAUACCGAGGGAAUUCACUCAGAACUUACAAGAAUGAUAACGUGCUCCGACUUGAGCGGUUUAAGAACUGUUGGAAGGCUCUAGGGGAAUAAAGAUGGAAUCACUUCAAAUUUUUACGUCCGUGUGAUUUGAAAUACUUGCACACAAACCCCGAGAAAGCGUUCCUGGAAAUCUCGGCCGAAAAAAGGAUGUUUAAUAAUUCUAAAAGGGACUACAGGAUGAAAAACAAUAGCUUUGGCAGUUAAAGUUUGUGAUUCGAUGGUGCCGUAGAUCUGUUUGGUCAUCAGGUGUUAUGAGCCACACCCAUGUCUAGCUAGAAUAGUGUGUUAGGCUCAGGCUAGAGCAGAAACUAGGAACAAACUUAUGAAAGAAUGAUCAUACCGAGGGAAUUCACUCAGAACUAACAAGAAUGAUAACGUGCUCCGACUGGAGCGGUUUAGGAACUGCUGGAAGGCUCUAGGGGAAUAAAGAUGGAAUGACUUCUAAUUUUUAGGUCCGUAUGAUUUGAAAUACAUGCACACAAACCCCAAGAAAGCGUUCCUAGAAAUCUCAGCCCAAAAAGGACGUUUAGUAAUUCUAAAAGGGACUACAGGAUGAAAAACAAUAGGUUUGGCAGUUAAAGUUUGAGAUUCGAUAAUGCCGUAGAUCCGUUUGGUCAUCAGGUGUAACGAGCCACACCCAUGUCUAGCUACAUUAGUGUGCUAGGCUCAGACUAGAGAAGAAACGGGGAACAAACUGAUGAAAGAAUGAUCAUACCGAGGGAAUUCACUCAGAACUAACAAGAACGAUAACAUGCUCCGACUGCAGCGGUUUAGGAACUGCUGGAAGGCUCUAGGGGAAUAAAGAAGGAAUGACUUCUAAUUUUUAGGUCCGUAUGAUUUGAAAUACUUGCACACAAACCGCGCGAAAGCAUUCCUGGAAAUCUCAGCCCAAAAAAGGACGUUUAGUAAUUCUAAAAGGGACUACAGGAUGAAAAACAAUAAUUUUGGCAGUUAAAGUUUGAGAUUCGACGGUGCCGUAGAUCCGUUUGGUCAUCAGGUGUUACGGGCCAUACCCAUGUCUAGCUAGAAUAGUGUGUUAGGCUCAGGUUAGAGAAGAAACGGGGAACAAAGUGAUGAAAGAAUGAUCAUACCGAGGGAAUUCACUCAGAACUAACAAGAAUGAUAACGUGCUCCGACUGGAGCGGUUUAGGAAUUGCUGGAAGGCUCUAGGGGAAUAAAGAUGGAAUGACUUCUAUAUUUUACGUCCGUAUGAUUUGAAAUACUUGCACACAAACCACGCAAAAGCACUCCUGGAAAUAUCAGCCUAAAAAGGAUGUUUAGUAAUUCUAAAAGGGACUACAGGAUGAAAAAUAAUAGUUUUGGCAGUUAAAAUUUGAGAUUCAACGGUGCCGUAAAUCCGUUUGGUCAUCAGGUGUUACGAGCCACACCCAUGUCUAGCUAGAAUAGUGUGUUAGGCUCAGGUUAGAGAAGAAACGGGGAACAAACUGAUGAAAGAAUGAUCAUACAAGGGGAAUUCACUCAGAACUAUCAAGAAUGAUAACGUGCUCCGACUGGAGCAGUUUAGGAACUGCCGGAAGGCUCUAGGGGAAUAAAGAUGGAAUGACUUCUAAUUUUUAUGUCCGUAUGAUUUGAAAUACUUGCACACAAACCACGCAAAAGCGUUCCUGGAAAUCUCAGCCUAAAAAGGACGUUUAGUAAUUCUAAAAGGGACUACAGGAUGAAAAACAAUAGUUUGGGCAGUUAAAAUUCGAGAUUCGACGGUGCCGUAGAUCCGUUUGGUCAUCAGGUGUUACGAGCCACACCCAUGUCUAGCUAGAAUAGUGUGUUAGGCUCAGGCUAGAGAAGAAACGGGGAACAAACUGAUGAAAGAAUGAUCAUAUCGAGGGAAUUCACUCAGAACUAACAAGAAUGAUAACGUGCUCCGACUGGAGCGGUUUAGUAACUGCUGGAAGGCUCUAGGGGAAUAAAGAUGGAAUGACUUCUAAUUAUUAGGUCCGUAAGAUUUGAAUUACAUGCACACAAACCCCGAGAAAGCGUUCCUGGAAAUCUCGGUCGAAAAAAGGAUGUUUAGUAAUUCUAAAAGGGACUACAGGAUGAAAAACAAUAGUUUUGGCAGUUAAAGUUUGUGAUUCGAUGGUGCCGUAGAUCUGUUUGGUCAUCAGGUGUUACGAGCCACACCCAUGUCUAGCUAGAAUAGUGUGUUAGGCUCAGGCUAGAGCAGAAACGGGGAACAAACUUAUGAAAGAAUGAUCAUGCCGAGGGAAUUCACUCAGAACUAACAAGAAUGAUAACGUGCUCCGACUGGAGCGGUUUAGGAACUGCUGGAAGGCUCUAGGGGAAUAAAGAUGGAAUGACAUCAAAUUUUUAGGUCCGUAUGAUUUGAAAUACUUGCACACAAACCGCAAGAAAGCGUUCUUGGAAAUCUCCGCCCAAAAAAGGACGUUUAGUAAUUCUAAAAGGGUCUACAGGAUGAAAAACAAUAGUUCUGGCAGUUAAAGUUUGAGAUUCGAUAAUGUCGUAGAUCCGUUUGGUCAUCAGGCGUAACGAGCCACACCCAUUUCUAGCUAGAGUAGUGUGCUAGGCUCAGACUAGAGAAGAAACGGGGAACAACCUGAUGAAAGAAUGAUCAUACCGAGGGAAUUCACUCAGAACUAACAAGAAUGAUAACGUGCUCCGACUGGAGCGGUUUAGGAACUGCUGGAAGGCUCUACGGGAAUAAAGAAGGAAUGACUUCUAAUUUUUAGGUCCGUAUGAUUUGAAAUACGUGCACACAAACCCCGAGAAAGCGUUCCUGGAAAUCUCGGCCCAAAAAAGGACGUUUAGUAUUCUAAAAGCGACUACAGAAUGAAAAACAAUAGUUUUGGUAGUUAAAGUUUGAGAUUUAACGGUGCCGUAGAUCUGUUUGGUCAUCAGGUGUUACGAGCCACACCCAUGUCUAGCUAGAAUAGUGUGUUAGGCUCAGGCUAGAUAAGAAACAGGGAACAAAGUGAUGAAAGAAUGAUCAUACCAAGGGAAUUCACUCAGAACUAACAAGAACGAUAACAUGCUCCGACUGGAGUGGUUUAGGAACUGCUGGAAGGCUCUAGGGGAAUAAAGAUGGAAUGACUUCUAAUUUUUAGGUCUGUAUGAUUUGAAAUACUUGCACACAAACCGCACGAAAGCGUUCCUGGAAAUCUCAUCCCAAAAAAGGACGUUUAGUAAUUCUAAAAGGGACUACAGGAUGAAAAACAAUAGUUUUGGCAGUUAAAGUUUGAGAUUCGAUAAUGCUGUAGAUCCGUUUGGUCAUCAGGUGUAACGAGCCACACCCAUGUCUAGCUAGAGUAGUGUGCUAGGCUCAGACUAGAGAAGAAACGGGGAACAAACUGAUGAAAGAAUGAUCAUACCGAGGGAAUUCACUCAGAACUAACAAUAAUGAUAACGUGCUCCGACUGGAGCGGUUUAGGAACUGCUGGAAGGCUCUAGGGGAAUAAAGAUGGAAUGAGUUCUAAUUUUUAGGUCUGUAUGAUUUGAAAUACUUGCACACAAACCGCGUGAAAGCAUUCCUGGAAAUUUCAGCCCAAAAAAGGACGUUUAGUAAUUUUAAAAGGGACUACACGAUGAAAAACAAUAGUUUUGGCAGUUAAAGUUUGAGAUUCGACGGUGCCGUAGAUCCGUUUGGUCAUCAGGUGUUACGAGCCACACCCAUGUCUAGCUAGAAUAGUAUGUUAGGCUCGGGUAAGAGAAGAAACGGGGAACAAACUGAUGAAAGAAUGAUCAUACCAAGGGAAUUCACUCAGAACUAACAAGAAUGAUAACGUGCUCCGACUGGAGCGGUUUAGGAACUGCUGGAAGGCUCUAGGGGAAUAAAGAUGGAAUGACUUCUAAUUUUUACGUUCGUAUGAUUUGAAAUACUUGCACACAAACCACGCAAAAGCGUUCCUGGAAAUCUCAUCCUAAAAAAGGACGUUUAGUAAUUCUAAAAGGGACUACAGGAUGAAAAAUAAUAGUUUGGGCAGUUAAAAUUUGAGAUUCGACGGUGCCGUAGAUCCGUUUGGUCAUCAGGUGUUACGAGCCACACCCAUGUCUAGCUAGAAUAGUGUGUUAGGCUCAGGCUAGAGAAGAAACGGGGAACAAACUGAUGAAAGAAUGAUCAUAUCGAGGGAAUUCACUCAGAACUAACAAGAAUGAUAACGUGCUCCGACUGGAGCAGUUUAGAAACUGCUGGAAGGCUCUAGGGGAAUAAAGAUGGAAUGACUUCUAAUUUUUAGGUCUGUAUGAUUUGAAAUACGUGCACACGAACCCCGAGAAAGCGUUCCUGGAAAUCUCGGCCCAAAAAAGGACGUUUAGUAAUUCUAAAAGGGACUACAGGAUGAAAAACAAUAGUUUUGGCAGUUAAAGUUUGAGAUUCGACGGUGCCGUAGAUCCGUUUGUUCAUCAGGUGUUACGAGCCACACCCAUGUCUAGCUAGAAUAGUGUGUUAGGCUCAGGCUAGAGAAGAAACGGGGAACAAACUGAUGAAAGAAUGAUCAUACCGAGGGAAUUCACUCAGAACUAACAAGAAUGAUAACGUGCUCCGACUGGAGCGGUUUAGGAACUGCUAGAAGGCUCUAGGGGAAUAAAGAAGGAAUGACUUCUAAUUUUUAGGUCCGUAUGAUUUGAAAUACGUGCACACAAACCCCGAGAAAGCGUUCCUGGAAAUCUUGGCCCAAAAAAGGACGUUUAGUAUUCUAAAAGCGACUACAGAAUGAAAAACAAUAGUUUUGCUAGUUAAAGUUUGAGAUUUGAUGGUGCCGUAGAUCUGUUUGGUCAUCAGGUUUUACGAGCCACACCCAUGUCUAGCUAGAAUAGUGUGUUAGGCUCAGGCUAGAAAAGAAACAGGGAAUAAAGUGAUGAAAGAAUGAUCAUACCAAGGGAAUUCACUCAGAACUAACAAGAACGAUAACAUGCUCCGACUGGAGUGGUUUAGAACUGCUGGAAGGCUAAAGGGGAAUAAAGAUGGAAUGACUUCUAAUUUUUAGGUCCGUAUGAUUUGAAAUACUUGCACACAAACCGCACGAAAGUGUUCCUGGAAAUCUCAGCCCAAAAAAGGACGUUUAGUAAUUCUAAAAGGGACUACAGGAUGAAAAACAAUAGUUUUGGCAGUUAAAGUUUGAGAUUCGAUAAUGACGUAGAUCCGUUUGGUCAUCAGGUGUAACGAGCCACACCCAUGUCUAGCUAGAGUAGUGUGCUAGGCUCAGACUAGAGAAGAAACGGGGAACAAACUGAUGAAAGAAUGAUCAUACCGAGGGAAUUCACUCAGAACUAACAAUAAUGAUAACGUGCUCCGACUAGAGCGGUUUAGGAACUGCUGGAAGGCUCUAGGGGAAUAAAGAUGGAAUGACUUCUAAUUUUUAGGUCCCUAUGAUUUGAAAUACUUGCACACAAACCGCGUGAAAGCAUUCCUGGAAAUUUCAGCCCAAAAAAGGACGUUUAGUAAUUUUAAAAGGGACUACACGAUGAAAAAGAAUAGUUUUGGCAGUUAAAGUUUGAGAUUCGACGGUGCCGUAGAUCCGUUUGGUCAUCAGGUGUUACGAGACACACCCAUGUCUAGCUAGAAUAGUAUGUUAGGCUCGGGUUAGAGAAGAAACGGGGAACAAACUGAUGAAAGAAUGAUCAUACCAAGGGAAUUCACUCAGAACUAACAAGAAUGAUAACGUGCUCCGACUGGAGCGGUUUAGGAACUGCUGGAAGGCUCUAGGGGAAUAAAGAUGGAAUGACUUCUAAUUUUUACGUUCGUAUGAUUUGAAAUACUUGCAAACAAACCACGCAAAAGCGUUCCUGGAAAUUUCAUCCUAAAAAAGGACGUUUAGUAAUUCUAAAAGGGACUACAGGAUGAAAAAUAAUAGUUUGGGCAGUUAAAAUUUGAGAUUCGAUGGUGCCGUAGAUCCGUUUGGUCAUCAGGUGUUACGAGCCACACCCAUGUCUAGCUAGAAUAGUGUGUUAGGCUCAGGCUAGAGAAGAAACGGGGAACAAACUGAUGAAAGAAUGAUCAUAUCGAGGGAAUUCACUCAGAACUAACAAGAAUGAUAACGUGCUCCGACUGGAGCAGUUUAGAAACUGCUGGAAGGCUCUAGGGGAAUAAAGAUGGAAUGACUUCUAAUUUUUAGGUCUGUAUGAUUUGAAAUACGUGCACACAAACCCCGAGAAAGCGUUCCUGGAAAUCUCGUCCGGAAAAAGGAUGUUUAAUAAUUCUAAAAGGGACUACAGGAUGAAAAACAAUAGUUUUGGCAGUUAAAGUUUGUGAUUCGAUGGUGCCGUAGAUCUGUUUGGUCAUCAGGUGUUACGGGCCACACCCAUGUCUAGCUAGAAUAGUGUGUUAGGCUCAGGCUAGAGCAGAAACGGGGAGCAAACUUAUGAAAGAAUGAUCAUAGCGAGGGAAUUUACUCAGAACUAACAAGAAUGAUAACGUGCUCCGACUGGAGCGGUUUAGGAACUGCUGGAAGGCUCUAGGGGAAUAAAGAUGGAAUGACUUCAAAUUUUCAGGUAUGUAUGAUCUGAAAUACUUGCACACAAACCGCGAGAAAGCGUUCCUGGAAAUCUCAACCCAAAAAAGGAUGUUUAGUAAUUCUAAAAGGGACUACAGGAUUAAAAACAAUAGUUUUGGCAGUUAAAGUUUGAGAUUCGAUAAUGUCGUAGAUCCGUUUGGUCAUCAGGUGUAACGAGCCACACCCAUGUCUAGCUAGAGUAGUGUGCUAGGCUCAUACUAGAGAAGAAACGGGGAACAAACUGAUGAAAGAAUGAUCAUACCGAGGGAAUUCACUCAGAACUAACAAGAAUGAUAACGUGCUCCGACUGGAGCGGUUUAGGAACUGCUGGAAGGCUCUAGGGGAAUAAAGAUGGAAUGACUUCUUAUUUUUAGGUCCGUAUGAUUUGAAAUACAUGCACACAAACCCCAAGAAAGCGUUCCGGGAAAUCUCGGCCCAAAGAAUGAUGUUUAGUAAUUCUAAAAGGGACUAUAGAAUGAAAAACAAUAGUUUUGGCAGUUAAAGUUUGAGAUUUGACGGUGUCGUAGAUCUGUUUGGUCAUCAGGUGUUACGAGCCACACCCAUUUCUAGCUAGAAUAGUGUGUUAGGCUCAGGCUAGAAAAGAAACGGGGAACAAAGUGAUGAAAGAAUGAUCAUACCGAGGGAAUUCACUCAGAACUAACAAGAAUGAUAACAUGCUCCGACUAGAGCGGUUUAGGAACUGCUGGAAGGCUCUAGGGGAAUAAAUAUGGAAUGACUUCUAAUUUUCAGGUCCGUAUGAUUUGAAAUACUUGCACACAAACCGCGCGAAAGCGUUCCUGGAAAUCUCAUCCCAAAGAAGGUCGUUUAGUAAUUCUAAAAGGGACUACAGGAUGAAAAACAAUAGUUUUGGCAAUUUAAGGUUUGAGAUUCGACGGUGCCGUAGAUCCGUUUGGUCAUCAGGUGUUACGAGCCACACCCAUGUCUAGCUAGAAUAGUGUGCUAGGCUCAGGCUAGAGAAGAAACAGGGAACAAACUGAUGAAAGAAUGAUCAAACCGAGGGAAUUCACUCAGAACUAACAAUAAUGAUAACGUUCUCCGUCUGGAGCGGUUUAGGAACUGCUGGAAGGCUCUAGGGGAAUAAAGAUGGAAUGACUUCUAAUUUUUAGGUCCGUAUGAUUUGAAAUACUUGCACACAAACCGCGCCAAAUCGUUCCUGGAAAUCUCAGCCCAAAAAAGGACGUUUAGUAAUUCUAAAAGGGACUACAGGAUGAAAAACAAUAGUUUUGGCAGUUAAAGUUUGAGAUUCGAUGGUGCCGUAGACCCGUUUGGUCAUCAGGUGUUACGAGCCACACCCAUGUCUAGCUAGAGUAGUGUGCUAGGUUCAGACUAGAGAAGAAACAGGGAACAAAGUGAUGAAAGAAUGAUCAUACCGAGGGAAUUCACUCAGAACUAACAAGAAUGAUAACGUGCUCCGACUGGAGCGGUUUAGGAACUGCUGGAAGGCUCUAGGGGAAUAAAGAUGGAAUGACUUCUAAUUUUUACGUCCGUAUGAUUUGAAAUACUUGCACACAAACCACGCAAAAGCGUUCCUGGAAAUCUCAGCCUAAAAAAGGACGUUUAGUAAUUCAAAAAGGGACUACAAAAUGAAAAACAAUAGUUUUGGCAGUUAAAGUUUGAGAUUCGAUGGUGCCGUAGAUCCGUUUGGUCAUCAGGUGUUACGAGCCACACCCAUGUCUAGCUAGGAUAGUGUGUUAGGCUCAGGCUAGAGAAGAAACGGGGAACAAACUGAUGAAAGAAUGAUCAUACCGAGGGAAUUCACUCAGAACUAACAAGGAUGAUAACAUGCUCCGACUAGAGCGGUUUAGGAACUGCUGGAAGGCUCUAGGGGAAUAAAGAUGGAAUGACUUCUAAUUUUUAGGUCCGUAUGAUUUGAAAUACUUGCACACAAACCGCAAGAAAGCGUUCCUGGAAAUCUCAGCCCAAAAAAGGACGUUUAGUAAUUCUAAAAGGGACUACAGGAUGAAAAACAAUAGUUCUGGCAGUUAAAGUUUGAGAUUCGAUAAUGCCGUAGAUCUGUUUGGUCAUCAGGUGUAACGAGCCACACCCAUGUCUAGCUAGAGUAGUGUGCUAGGCUCAGACUAGAGAAGAAACGGGGAACAAACUGAUGAAAGAAUGAUUAUACCGAGGGAAUUCACUCAGAACUAACGAGAAUGAUAACGUGCUCCGACUGGAGCGGUUUAGGAACUGCUGGAAGGCUCUAGGGGAAUAAAGAUGGAAUGACUUCAAAUUUUUAGGUCUGUAUGAUUUGAAAUACUUGCACACAAACCGCAAGAAAGCGUUCCUUGAAAUCUCAGCCCAAAAAAGGACGUUUAGUAAUUCUAAAAGGGACUACAGGAUGAAAAACAAUAGUUCUGGCAGUUAAAGUUUGAGAUUCGAUAAUGUCGUAGAUCCGUUUGGUCAUCAGGUGUAACGAGCCACACCCAUGUCUAGCUAGAGUAGUGUGCUAGGCUCAGAAUAGAGAAGAAACGGGGAACAAACUGAUGAAAGAAUGAUCAUACCGAGGGAAUUCACUCAGAACUAACAAGAAUGAUAACGUGCUCCGACUGGAGCGGUUUAGGAACUGCUGGAAGGCUCUAGGGGAAUAAAGAAGGAAUGACUUCUAAUUUUUAGGUCCGUAUGAUUUGAAAUACGUGCACACAAACCGCGCGAAAGCGUUCCUGGAAAUCUCAGCCAAAAAAAGGACGUUUAGUAUUCUAAAAGGGACUACAGAAUGAAAAACAAUAGUUUUGGCAGUUAAAGUUUGAGAUUCGACGGUGCUGUAGAUCCGUUUGGUCAUCAGGUGUUACGAGCCACACCCAUGUCUAGCUAGAAUAGUGUGCUAGGCUCAGGCUAGAGAAGAAAAGGGGAACAAACUAAUGAAAGAAUGAUCAAUCCGAGGGAAUUCACUCAGAACUAACAAUAAUGAUAACGUGCUCCGACUGGAGCGGUUUAGGAACUGCUGGAAGGCUCUAGGCGAAUAAAGAUGGAAUGACUUCUAAUUUUUACGUCCGUAUGAUUUGAAAUACUUGCACACAAACCACGCAAAAGCGUUCCUGGAAGUCUCGGCCUAAAAAGGACGUUUAGUAAUUCUAAAAGGGACUACAGGAUGAAAAAUAAUAGUUUGGGCAGUUAAAAUUUGAGAUUCGACGGUGCCGUAGAUCCAUUUGGUCAUCAAGUGUUACGAGCCACACCCAUGUCUAGCUAGAAUAGUGUGUUAGGCUCAGGCUAGAGAAGAAACGGGGAACAAACUGAUGAAAGAAUGAUCAUACCAAGGGAAUUCACUCAGAACUAACAAGAAUGAUAACGUGCUCCGACUGGAGCAGUUUAGAAACUGCUGGAAGGCUCUUGGGGAAUAAAGAUGGAAUGACUUCAAAUUUUUAGGUCCGUAUGAUUUGAAAUACUUGCACACAAACCACGCGAAAGCGUUCCUGGAAAUCUCAGCCCAAAAAAGGACGUUUAGUAAUUCUAAAAGGGACUACAUGAUGAAAAACAAUAGUUUUGGCAGUUAAAGUUUGAGAAUCGUCGGUGCCGUAGAUCCGUUUGGUCAUCAGCUGUAACGAGCCACACCCAUGUCUAGCUAGAGUAGUGUGCUAGGCUCAGACUAGAGAAGAAACAGGGAACAAAGUGAUGAAAGAAUGAUCAUACCGAGGGAAUUCACUUAGAACUAACAAGAAUGAUAACAUGCUCCGACUUGAGCGAUUUAGGAACUUCUGGAAGGCUCUAGGGGAAUAAAGAUGGAAUGACUCAAAUUUUUAGGCCCGUAUGAUUUGAAAUACAUGCACACAAACCGCGAGAAAGUGUUCCUGGAAAUCUUAGCCCAAAAAAGGACGUUUAGUAAUUCUAAAAGGGACUACAGGAUGAAAAACAAUAGUUUUGGUAGUUAAAGUUUCAGAUUCGAUAAUGCCCUAGAUCCGUUUGGUCAUCAGGUGUAACGAGCCACACCAAUGUCUAGCUAGAGUAGUGUGCUAGGCUCAGACUAGAUAAGAAACGGGGAAGAAACUGAUGAAAGAAUGAUCAGACCGAGGGAAUUCACUCAGAACUAACAAUAAUGAUAACGUGCUCCGAGUGGAGCGGUUUAGGAACUGCUGGAAGGCUCUAGGGGAAUAAAGAUGGAAUGACUUCUAAUUUUUAGGUCCGUAUGAUUUGAAAUACGUGCACACAAACCCCGAGAAACCGUUCCUUGAAAUCUCGGCCCAAAAAAGGACGUUUAGUAAUUCUAAAAGGGACUACAAAAUGAAAAACAAUAGUUUUGGCAGUUAAAGUUUGAGAUUCGACGGUGUCGUAGACCCGUUUGGUCUUCAGGUGUUACGAGCCACACCCAUGUCUAGCCAGAGUAGUGUGCUAGGUUCAGACUAGAGAAGAAACGGGGAACAAAGUGAUGAAAGAAUGAUCAUACCGAGGGAAUUCACUCAGAACUAACAAGAAUGAUAACGUGCUCCGACUGGAGCGGGUUAGGAACUCCUGGAAGGCUCUAGGGGAAUAAAGAUGGAAUGACUUCUAAUUUUUACGUCCGUAUGAUUUGAAAUACUUGCACACAAACCACGCAAAAGCGUUCCUGGAAAUCUCAGCCUAAAAAAGGACGUUUAGUAAUUCUAAAAGGGACUACAGGAUGAAAAAUAAUAGUUUGGUCAUCAGGUGUUACGAGCCACACCCAUGUCUAGCUAGAAUAGUGUGCUAGGCUCAGGCUAGAGAAGAAACGGGGAAUAAACUGAUGAAAGAAUGAUCAAACCGAGGGAAUUCACUCAGAACUAACAAUAAUGAUAACGUUCUCCGUCUGGAGCGGUUUAGGAACUGCUGGAAGGCUCUAGGGGAAUAAAGAUGGAAUGACUUCUAAUUUUUAGGUCCGUAUGAUACGAAAUACUUGCACACAAACCGCGCGAAAUCGUUCCUGGAAAUCUCAGCCCAAAAAAGGACGUUUAGUAAUUCUAAAAGGGACUACAGCAUGAAAAACAAUAGUUCUGGCAGUUAAAGUUUGAGAUUCGAUAAUGCCGUAGAUCCGUUUGGUCAUCAGGUGUAACGAGCCACACCCAUGUCUAGCUAGAGUAGUAUGCUAGGCUCAGACUAGAGAAGAAACGGGGAACAAACUGAUGAAAGAAUGAUUAUACCGAGGGAAUUCACUCAGAACUAACAAGAAUGAUAACGUGCUCCGGCUGGAGCGGUUUAGGAACUGCUAGAAGGCUCUAGGGGAAUAAAGAUGGAAUGACUUCAAAUUUUUAGGUCUGUAUGAUUUGAAAUACUUGCACACAAACCGCAAGAAAGCGUUCCUGGAAAUCUCAGCCCAAAAAAGGACGUUUAGUAAUUCUAAAAGGGACUAUAGGAUGAAAAACAAUAGUUCUGGUAGUUAAAGUUUGAGAUUCGAUAAUGUCAUAGAUCCGUUCGGUCAUCAGGUGUAACGAGCCACACCCAUGUCUAGCUAGAGUAGUGUGCUAGGCUCAGACUAGAGAAGAAACGGGGAACAAACUGAUGAAAGAAUGAUCAUACCGAGGGAAUUCACUCAGAACUAACAAGAAUGAUAACGUGCUCCGACUGGAGCGGUUUAGGAACUGCUGGAAGGCUCUAGGGGAAGAAAGAAGGAAUGACUUCUAAUUUUUAGGUCCGUAUGAUUUGAAAUACGUGCACACAAACCGCGCGAAAGCGUUCCUGGAAAUCUCAGCCCAAAAAAGGACGUUUAGUAUUCUAAAAGGGACUACAGAAUGAAAAACAAUAGUUUUGGCAGUUAAAGUUUGAGAUUCGACGGUGCCGUAGAUCCGUUUGGUCAUCAGGUGUUACGAGCCACACCCAUGUCUAGCUAGAAUAGUGUGCUAGGCUCAGGCUAGAGAAGAAAAGGGGAACAAACUGAUGAAAGAAUGAUCAAACCGAGGGAAUUCACUCAGAACUAACAAUAAUGAUAACGUGCUCCGACUGGAGCGGUUUAGGAACUGCUGGAAGGCUCUUGGCGAAUAAAGAUGGAAUGACUUCUAAUUUUUACGUCCGUAUGAUUUGAAAUACUUCCACACAAACCAGGCAAAGGCGUUCCUGGAAAUCUCGGCCUAAAAAGGACGUUUAGUAAUUCUAAAAGGGACUACAGGAUGAAAAAUAAUAGUUUGGGCAGUUAAAAUUUUAGAUUCGACGGUGCCGUAGAUCCGUUUGGUCAUCAGGUGUUACGAGCCACACCCAUGUCUAGCUAGAAUAGUGUGUUAGGCUCAGGCUAGAGAAGAAACGGGGAACAAACUGAUGAAAGAAUGAUCAUACCAAGGGAAUUCACUCAGAACUAACAAGAAUGAUAACGUGCUCCGACUGGAGCAGUUUAGAAACUACUGGAAGGCUCUAGGGGAAUAAAGAUGGAAUGACUUCAAAUUUUUAGGUCCGUAUGAUUUGAAAUACUUGCACACAAACCGCGCGAAAGCGUUCCUGGAAAUCUCAGCCCAAAAAAGGACGUUUAGUAAUUCUAAAAGGGACUACAUGAUGAAAAACAAUAGUUUUGGCAGUUAAAGUUUGAGAUUCGUCGGUGCCGUAGAUCCGUUUGGUCAUCAGCUGUAACGAGCCACACCCAUUUCUAGCUAGAGUAGUGUGCUAGGCUCAGACUAAAGAAGAAAUGGGGAACAAAGUGAUGAAAGAAUGCUCAUACCGAGGGAAUUCACUCAGAACUAACAAGAAUGAUAACAUGCUCCGACUUGAGCGAUUUAGGAACUUCUGGAAGGCUCUAGGGGAAUAAAGAUGGAAUGACUCAAAUUUUUAGGUCCGUAUGAUUUGAAAUACUUGCACACAAACCGCGAGAAAGCGUUCCUGGAAAUCUCAGCCCAAAAAAGGACGUUUAGUAAUUCUAAAAGGGACUACAUGAUGAAAAACAAUAGUUUUGGCAGUUAAAGUUUGAGAUUUGAUAAUGCCGUAGAUCCGUUUGGUCAUCAGGUGUAACGAGCCACACCCAUGUCUAGCUAGAGUAGUGUGCUAGGCUAAGACUAGAUAAGAAAAGGGGAAGAAACUUAUGAAAGAAUGAUCAGACCGAGGGAAUUCACUCAGAACUAACAAUAAUGAUAACGUGCUCCGACUGGAGCGGUUUAGGAACUGCUGGAAGGCUCUAGGGGAAUAAAGAUGGAAUGACUUCUAAUUUUUAGGUCCGUAUGAUUUGAAAUACGUGCACACAAACCCCGAGAAACCGUUCCUGGAAAUCUCGGCCCAAAAAAGGAUGUUUAGUAAUUCUAAAAGGGACUACAAAAUGAAAAACAAUAGUUUUGGCAGUUAAAGUUUGAGAUUUGAUGGUGCCGUAGAUCUGUUUGGUCAUCAGGUGUUACGAGCCACACCCAUGUCUAGCUAGAAUAGUGUGUUAGGCUCAGGCUAGAAAAGAAACGGGAAACAAAGUGAUGAAAGAAUGAUCAUACCGAGGGAAUUCACUCAGAACUAACAAGAAUGAUAACAUGCUCUGACUGGAGCGGUUUAGGAACUGCUGGAAGGCUCUAGGGGAAUAAAGAUGGAAUGACUUCUAAUGUUUAGGUCCGUAUGAUUUGAAAUACUUGCACAUAAACCGCGCAAAAGCGUUCCUGGAAAUCUCAGCCCAAAAAAGGACGUUUAGUAAUUCUAAAAGGGACUACAGGAUGAAAAACAAUAGUUUUGGCAGUUAAAGUUUGAGAUUCGACGGUGCCGUAGAUCCGUUUGUUCAUCAGGUGUUACGAGCCACACCCAUGUCUAGCUAGAAUAGUGUGUUAGGCUCAGGCUAGAGAAGAAACGGGGAACAAACUGAUGAAAGAAUGAUCAAACCGAGGGAAUUCACUCAGAACUAACAAUAAUGAUAACGUGCUCCGACUAGAGCGGUUUAGGAACUGCUGGAAGGCUCUAGGGGAAUAAAGAUGGAAUGACUUCUAAUUUUUAGGUCUGUAUGAUUUGAAAUACUUGCACGCAAACCGCGCGAAAGCGUUCCCGGAAAUAUCAGCCUAAAGAAGGACGUUUAGUAAUUCUAAAAGGGACUACAGGAUGAAAAACAAUAGUUUUGGCAGUUAAAGUUUGAGAUUCAACGGUGCCGUAGAUCCGUUUGGUCAUCAGGUGUUACGAGCCACACCCAUGUCUAGCUAGAGUAGUGUGCUAGGCUCAGGCUAGAGAAGAAACAGGGAACAAACUGAUGAAAGAAUGAUCAUACCGAGGGAAUUCACUCAGAACUGAUGAAAGAAUGAUCAAACCAAGGAAAUUCACUCAGAACUAACAAUAAUGAUAACAUGCUCCGACUGGAGCGGUUUAGGAACUGCUGGAAGGCUCUAGGGGAAUAAAGAUGGAAUGACUUCUAAUUUUUAGGUCCGUAUGAUUUGAAAUACGUGCACACAAACCCCGAGAAACCGUUCCUGGAAAUCUCGGCCCAAAAAAGGACGUUUAGUAAUUCUAAAAGGGACAACAAAAUGAAAAACAAUAGUUUUGGCAGUUAAAGUUUGAGAUUCGACGGUGCCGUAGACCCGUUUGGUCAUCAGGUGUUACGAGCCACACCCAUGUCUAGCUAGAGUAGUGUGCUAGGUUCAGACUAGAGAAGAAACGGGGAACAAAGUGAUGAAAGAAUGAUCAUACCGAGGGAAUUCACUCAGAACUAACAAGAAUGAUAACGUGCUCCGACUGGAGCGGGUUAGGAAUUGCUGGAAGGCUCUAGGGGAAUAAAGAUAGAAUGACUUCUAAUUUUUACGUCCGUAUGAUUUGAAAUACUUGCACACAAACCACGCAAAAGCGUUCCUAGAAAUCUCAGCCUAAAAAAGGACGUUUAGUAAUUCUAAAAGGGACUACAGGAUGAAAAAUAAUAGUUUGGCCAGUUAAAAUUUAAGAUUCGACGGUGCCGUAGAUCCGCUUGGUCAUCAGGUGUUACGAGCCACACCCAUGUCUAGCUAGAAUAGUGUGUUAGGCUCAGGCUAGAGAAGAAACGGGGAACAAACUGAUGAAAGAAUGAUCAUACCGAGGGAAUUCACUCAGAACUAACAAGAAUGAUAACAUGCUCCGACUGGAGCGGUUUAGGAACUGCUGGAAGGCUCUAGGGGAAUAAAGAUGGAAUGACUUCUAAUUUUUAGGUCCGUAUGAUUUGAAAUACUUGCACACAAACCGCAAGAAAGCGUUCCUGGAAAUCUCAGCACAAAAAAGGACGUUUAGUAAUUCUAAAAGGGACUACAGCAUGAAAAACAAUAGUUCUGGCAGUUAAAGUUUGAGAUUCGAUAAUGCCGUAGAUCCGUUUGGUCAUCAGGUGUAACGAGCCACACCCAUGUCUAGCUAGAGUAGUGUGCUAGGCUCAGACUAGAGAAGAAACGGGGAACAAAAUGAUGAAAGAAUGAUUAUACCGAGGGAAUUCACUCAGAACUAACAAGAAUGAUAACGUGCUCCGACUGGAGCGGUUUAGGAACUGCUGGAAGGCUCUAGGGGAAUAAAGAUGGAAUGACUUCAAAUUUUUAGGUCUGUAUGAUUUGAAAUACUUGCACACAAACCGCAAGAAAGCGUUCCUGGAAAUCUCAGCCCAAAAAUGGACGUUUAGUAAUUCUAAAAGGGACUAUAGGAUGAAAAACAAUAGUUCUGGCAGUUAAAGUUUGAGAUUCGAUAAUGUCGUAGAUCCGUUCGGUCAUCAGGUGUAACGAGCCACACCCAUGUCUAGCUAGAGUAGUGUGCUAGGCUCAGACUAGAGAAGAAACGGGGAACAAACUGAUGAAAGAAUGAUCAUACCGAGGGAAUUCACUCAGAACUAACAAGAAUGAUAACGUGCUCCGACUGGAGCGGUUUAGGAACUGCUGGAAGGCUCUAGGGGAAGAAAGAAGGAAUGACUUCUAAUUUUUAGGUCCGUAUGAUUUGAAAUACGUGCACACAAACCGCGCGAAAGCGUUCCUGGAAAUCUCAGCCCAAAAAAGGACGUUUAGUAUUCUAAAAGGGACUACAGAAUGAAAAACAAUAGUUUUGGCAGUUAAAGUUUGAGAUUCGACGGUGCCGUAGAUCCGUUUGGUCAUCAGGUGUUACGAGCCACACCCAUGUCUAGCUAGAAUAGUGUGCCAGGCUCAGGCUAGAGAAGAAAAGGGGAACAAACUGAUGAAAGAAUGAUCAAACCGAGGGAUUUCACUCAGAACUAACAAUAAUGAUAACGUGCUCCGACUGGAGCGGUUUAGGAACUGCUGGAAGGCUCUAGGCGAAUAAAGAUGGAAUGACUUCUAAUUUUUACGUCCGUAUGAUUUUAAAUACUUGCACACAAACCACGCAAAAGCGUUCCUGGAAAUCUCGGCCUAAAAAGGACGUUUAGUAAUUCUAAAAGGGACUACAGGAUGAAAAAUAAUAGUUUGGGCAGUUAAAAUUUGAGAUUCGACGGUGCCGUAGAUCCGUUUGGUCAUCAGGUGUUACGAGCCACACCCAUGUCUAGCUAGAAUAGUGUGUUAGGCUCAGGCUAGAGAAGAAACAGGGAACAAACUGAUGAAAGAAUGAUCAUACCAAGGGAAUUCACUCAGAACUAACAAGAAUGAUAACGUGCUCCGACUGGAGCAGUUUAGAAACUGCUGGAAGGCUCUAGGGGAAUAAAGAUGGGAUGACUUCAAAUUUUUAGGUCCGUAUGAUUUGAAAUACUUGCACACAAACCGCGCGAAAGCGUUCCUGGAAAUCGCAGCCCAAAAAAGGACGUUUAGUAAUUCUAAAAGGGACUACAUGAUGAAAAACAAUAGUUUUGGCAGUUAAAGUUUGAGAUUCGUCGGUGCCGUAGAUCCGUUUGGUCAUCAGCUGUAACGAGCCACACCCAUGUCUAGCUAGAGUAGUGUGCUAGGCUCAGACUAGAGAAGAAAUGGGGAAAAAAGUGAUGAAAGAAUGAUCAUACCGAGGGAAUUCACUCAGAACUAACAAGAAUGAUAACAUGCUCCGACAUGAGCGAUUUAGGAACUUCUGGAAGGCUCUAGGGGAAUAAAGAUGGAAUGACUCAAAUUUUUAGGUCCGUAUGAUUUGAAAUACUUGCACACAAACCGCGAGAAAGCGUUCCUGGAAAUCUCAGCCCAAAAAAGGACAUUUAGUAAUUCUAAAAGGGACUACAGGAUGAAAAACAAUAGUUUUGGCAGUUAAAGUUUGAGAUUUGAUAAUGCCGUAGAUCCGUUUGGUCAUCAGGUGUAACGAGCCACACCCAUGUCUAGCUAGAGUAGUGUGCUAGGCUAAGACUAGAUAAGAAACCGGGAAGAAACUAAUGAAAGAAUGAUCAGACCGAGGGAAUUCACUCAGAACUAACAAUAAUGAUAACGUGCUCCGACUGGAGCGGUUUAGGAACUGCUGGAAGGCUCUAGGGGAAUAAAGAUGAAAUGACUUCUAAUUUUUAGGUUCGUAUGAUUUGAAAUACAUGCACACAAACCCCGAGAAACCGUUCCUGGAAAUCUCGGCCCAAAAAAGGAUGUUUAGUAAUUCUAAAAGGGACUACAAAAUGAAAAACAAUAGUUUUGGUAGUUAAAGUUUGAGAUUUGAUGGUGCCAUAGAUCUGUUUGGUCAUCAGGUGUUACGAGCCACACCCAUGUCUAGCUAGAAUAGUGUGUUAGGCUCAGGCUAGAAAAGAAACGGGAAACAAAGUGAUGAAAGAAUGAUCAUACCGAGGGAAUUCACUCAGAACUAACAAGAAUGAUAACAUGCUCUGACUGGAGCGGUUUAGGAACUGCUGGAAGGCUCUAGGGGAAUAAAGAUGGAAUGACUUCUAAUGUUUAGGUCCGAGGUCCGUAUGAUUUGAAAUACUUGCACAUAAACCGUGCAAAAGCGUUCCUGGAAAUCUCAGCCCAAAAAAGGACGUUUAGUAAUUCUAAAAGGGACUACAGGAUGAAAAACAAUAGUUUUGGCAGUUAAAGUUUGAGAUUCGACGGUGCCGUAGAUCCGUUCGUUCAUCAGGUGUUACGAGCCACACCCAUGUCUAGCUAGAAUAGUGUGUUAGGCUCAGGCUAGAGAAGAAACGGGGAACAAACUGAUGAAAGAAUGAUCAAACCGAGGGAAUUCACUCAGAACUAACAAUAAUGAUAACGUGCUCCGACUAGAGCGGUUUAGGAACUGCUGGAAGGCUCUAGGGGAAUAAAGAUGGAAUGACUUCUAAUUUUUAGGUCUGUAUGAUUUGAAAUACUUGCACGCAAACCGCGCGAAAGCGUUCCCGGAAAUAUCAGCCCAAAAAAGGACGUUUAGUAAUUCUAAAAGGGACUACAGGAUGAAAAACAAUAGUUUUGGCAGUUAAAGUUUGAGAUUCAACGGUGCCGUAGAUCCGUUUGGUCAUCAGGUGUUACGAGCCACACCCAUGUCUAGCUAGAGUAGUGUGCUAGGCUCAGGCUAGAGAAGAAACAGGGAACAAACUGAUGAAAGAAUGAUCAUACCGAGGGAAUUCACUCAGAACUGAUGAAAGAAUGAUCAAACCGAGGAAAUUCACUCAGAACUAACAAUAAUGAUAACAUGCUCCGACUGGAGCGGUUUAGGAACUGCUGGAAGGCUCUAGGGGAAUAAAGAUGGAAUGACUUCUAAUUUUUAGGUCCGUAUGAUUUGAAAUACGGGCACACAAACCCCGAGAAACCGUUCCUGGAAAUCUCGGCCCGAAAAAGGACGUUUAGUAAUUCUAAAAGGGACUACAAAAUGAAAAACAAUAGUUUUGGCAGUUAAAGUUUGAGAUUCGACGGUGCCGUAGACCCGUUCGGUCAUCAGGUGUAACGAGCCACACCCAUGUCUAGCUAGAGUAGUGUGCUAGGCUCAGACUAGAGAAGAAACGGGGAACAAACUGAUGAAAGAAUGAUCAUACCGAGGGAAUUCACUCAGAACUAACAAGAAUGAUAACGUGCUCCGACUGGAGCGGUUUAGGAACUGCUAGAAGGCUCUAGGGGAAGAAAGAAGGAAUGACUUCUAAUUUUUAGGUCUGUAUGAUUUGAAAUACGUGCACACAAACCGCGCGAAAGCGUUCCUGGAAAUCUCAGCCCAAAAAAGGACGUUUAGUAUUCUAAAAGGGACUACAGAAUGAAAAACAAUAGUUUUAGCAGUUAAAGUUUGAGAUUCGACGGUGCCGUAGAUCCGUCUGGUCAUCAGGUGUUACGAGCCACACCCAUGUCUAGCUAGAAUAGUGUGCUAGGCUCAGGCUAGAGAAGAAAAGGGGAACAAACUGAUGAAAGAAUGAUCAAACCGAGGGAAUUCACUCAGAACUAACAAUAAUGAUAACGUGCUCCGACUGGAGCGGUUUAGGAACUGCUGGAAGGCUCUAGGCGAAUAAAGAUGGAAUGACUUCUAAUUUUUACGUCCGUAUGAUUUGAAAUACUUGCACACAAACCACGCAAAAGCGUUCCUGGAAAUCUCGGCCUAAAAAGGACGUUUAGUAAUUCUAAAAGGGACUACAGGAUGAAAAAUAAUAGUUUGGGCAGUUAAAAUUUGAGAUUCGACGGUGCCGUAGAUCCGUUUGGUCAUCAGGUGUUACGAGCCACACCCAUCUCUAGCUAGAAUAGUGUGUUAGGCUCAGGCUAGAGAAGAAACGGGGAACAAACUGAUGAAAGAAUGAUCAUACCAAGGGAAUUCACUCAGAACUAACAAGAAUGAUAACGUGCUCCGACUGGAGCAGUUUAGAAACUCCUGGAAGGCUCUAGGGGAGUAAAGAUGGAAUGACUUCAAAUUUUUAGGUCCGUAUGAUUUGAAAUACUUGCACACAAACCGCGCGAAAGCGUUCCUGGAAAUCUCAGCCCAAAAAAGGACGUUUAGUAAUUCUAAAAGGGACUACAUGAUGAAAAACAAUAGUUUUGGCAGUUAAAGUUUGAGAUUCGUCGGUGCCGUAGAUCCGUUUGGUCAUCAGCUGUAACGAGCCACACCCAUGUCUAGCUAGAGUAGUGUGCUAGGCUCAGACUAGAGAAGAAAUGGGGAACAAAGUGAUGAAAGAAUGAUCAUACCGAGGGAAUUCACUCAGAACUAACAAGAAUGAUAACAUGCUCCGACUUGAGCGAUUUAGGAACUUCUGGAAGGCUCUAGGGGAAUAAAGAUGGAAUGACUCAAAUUUUUAGGUCCGUAUGAUUUGAAAUACUUGCACACAAACCGCGAGAAAGCGUUCCUGGAAAUCUCAGCCCAAAAAAGGACGUUUAGUAAUUCUAAAAGGGACUACAGGAUGAAAAACAAUAGUUUUGGCAGUUAAAGUUUGAGAUUCGAUAAUGUCGUAGAUCCGUUUGGUCAUCAGGUGUAACGAGCCACACCCAUGCCUAGCUAGAGUAGUGUGCUAGGCUAAGACUAGAUAAGAAACGGGGAAGAAACUGAUGAAAGAAUGAUCAGACCGAGGGAAUUCACUCAGAACUAACAAUAAUGAUAACGUGCUCCGACUGGAGCGGUUUAGGAACUGCUAGAAGGCUCUAGGGGAAUAAAGAUGGAAUGACUUCUAAUUUUUAGGUCCGUAUGAUUUGAAAUACGUGCACACAAACCCCGAGAAACCGUUCCUGGAAAUCUCGGCCCAAAAAAGUAUGUUUAGUAAUUCUAAAAGGGACUACAAAAUGAAAAACAAUAGUUUUGGCAGUUAAAGUUUGAGAUUUGAUGGUGCCGUAGAUCUGUUAGGUCAUCAGGUGUUACGAGCCACACCCAUGUCUAGCUAGAAUAGUGUGUUAGGCUCAGGCUAGAAAAGAAACGGGAAACAAAGUGAUGAAAGAAUGAUCAUACCGAGGGAAUUCACUCAGAACUAACAAGAAUGAUAACAUGCUCUGACUGGAGCGGUUUAGGAACUGCUGGAAGGCUCUAGGGGAAUAAAGAUGGAAUGACUUCUAAUGUUUAGGUCCGUAUGAUUUGAAAUACUUGCACAUAAACCGCGCAAAAGCGUUCCUGGAAAUCUCAGCCCAAAAAGGACGUUUAGUAAUUCUAGAAGGGACUACAGGAUGAAAAACAAUAGUUUUGGCAGUUAAAGUUUGAGAUUCGACGGUGCCGUAGAUCCGUUUGUUCAUCAGGUGUUACGAGCCACACCCAUGUCUAGCUAGAAUAGUGUGUUAGGCUCAGGCUAGAGAAGAAACGGGGAACAAACUGAUGAAAGAAUGAUCAAACCGAGGGAAUUCACUCAGAACUAACAAUAAUGAUAACGUGCUCCGACUAGAGCGGUUUAGGAACUGCUGGAAGGCUCUAGGGGAAUAAAGAUGGAAUGACUUCUAAUUUUUAGGUCUGUAUGAUUUGAAAUACUUGCACGCAAACCGCGCGAAAGCAUUCCCGGAAAUAUCAGCCCAAAAAAGGACGUUUAGUAAUUCUAAAAGGGACUACAGGAUGAAAAAGAAUAGUUUUGGCAGUUAAAGUUUGAGAUUCAACGGUGCCGUAGAUCCGUUUGGUCAUCAGGUGUUACAAGCCACACCCAUGUCUAGCUAGAGUAGUGUGCUAGGCUCAGGCUAGAGAAGAAACAGGGAUAAAACUGAUGAAAGAAUGAUCAUACCGAGGGAAUUCACUCAGAACUGAUGAAAGAAUGAUCAAUCCGAGGGAAUUCACUCAGAACUAACAAUAAUGAUAACGUGCUCCGAUUGGAGCGGUUUAGGAACUGCUGGAAGGCUCUAGGGGAAUAAAGAUGGAAUGACUUCUAAUUUUUAGGUCCGUAUGAUUUGAAAUACUUGCACACAAACCGCAAGAAAGCGUUCCUAGAAAUCUCAGCCCAAAAAAGGACGUUUAGUAAUUCUAAAAGGGACUACAGGAUGAAAAACAAUAGUUUUGGCAGUUAAAGUUUGAGAUUCGAUGGUGCCCUAGAUCCGUUUGGUCAUCAGGUGUUACGAGCCACACCCAUGUCUAGCUAGAAUAGUGUGUUAGGCUCAGGCUAGAGAAGAAACGGGGAACAAACUGAUGAAAGAAUGAUCAUACGGAGGGAAUUCACUCAGAACUAAGAAGAAUGAUAACGUGCUCCGACUGGAGCGGUUUAGGAACUGGUGGAAGUCUCUAGGGGAAUAAAGAUGGAAUGACUUCUAAUUUUUAGGUCUGUAUGAUUUGAAAUACUUGCGCACAAACCGCGCGAAAGCGUUCCUGGAAAUAUCAGCCUAAAAAAGGAUGUUUAGUAAUUCUAAAAGGGACUACAGGAUGAAAAACAAUAGUUUUGGAAGUUAAAGUUUGAGAUUCGACAGUGUCGUAGAUCCGUUUGGUCAUCAGGUGUUACGAGCCACACCCACGUCUAGCUAGAGUAGUGUGUUAGGCUCAGGCUAGAGAUUAAACGGGGAACAAACUGAUGAAAGAAUGAUCAAACCGAGGGAAUUCACUCACAAUAAAGAUGGAACUUCUUUCUUCCCCUAGAGCCUUCCAGCAGUUCCUAAACCGCUCCAGUCGGAGCACGUUAUCAUUCUUGUUAGUUCUGAGUGAAUUCCCUCGGUAUGAUCAUUCUUUCAUCAGUUUGUUCCCCGUUUCUUCUCUAGUCUGAGCCUAGCACACUACUCUAGCUAGACAUGGGUGUGGCUCGUUACACCUGAUGACCAAACGGAUCUACGACAUUAUCGAAUCUCAAACUUUAACUGCCAGAACUAUUGUUUUCCAUCCUGUAGUCCCUUUUAGAAUUACUAAACGUCCUUUUUUGGGCUGAGAUUUCCAGGAACGCUUUCUUGCGGUUUGUGUGCAAGUAUUUCAAAUCAUACGGACCUAAAAAUUAGAAGUCAUUCCAUCUUUAUUCCCCUAGAGCCUUCCUGCAGUUCCUAAACCGCUCCAGUCGGAGCGUGUUAUCAUUAUUGUUAGUUCUGAGUGAAUUCCCUCGGUUUGAUCAUUCUUUCAUCAGUUUGUUCCCCGUUUAAUCUCUAGCCUGAGCCUAACACACUACUCUAGCUAGACGUGUGUGUGGCUCGUAACACCUGAUGACCAAACGGAUCUACGGCACCGUCGAAUCUCAAACUUUAACUUCCAAAACUAUUGUUUUUCAUCCUGUAGUCCCUUUCAAAAUUACUAAACGUCCUUUUUUGGGCUGAGAUUUCCAGGAACGCUUUCGCGCGGUUUGUGUGCAAGUAUUUCAAAUCAUACAGACCUAAAAAUUAGAAAUCAUUCCAUCUUUAUUCCCCUAGAGACUUCCACAAGUUCCUAAACCGCUCCAGUCGGAGCACGUUAUCAUUCUUCUUAGUUCUGAGUGAAUUCCCUCCGUAUGAUCAUUCUUUCAUCAGUUUGUUCCCCGUUUCUUCUCUAGCCUGAGCCUAACACACUAUUCUAGCUAGACAUGGGUGUGGCUCGUAACACCUGAUGACCAAACGGAUCUAGGGCACCAUCGAAUCUCAAACUUUAACUGCCAAAACUAUUGUUUUUCAUCCUGUAGUCCCUUUUAGAAUUACUAAACGUCCUUUUUUGGGCUGAGAUUUCUAGGAACGCUUUCGCGCGGUUUGUGUGCAAGUAUUUCAAAUCAUACGGACCUAAAAAUUAGAAGUCAUUCCAUCUUUAUUCCCCUAGAGCCUUCCAGCAGUUCCUAAACCGCUCCAAUCGGAGCACGUUAUUAUUAUUGUUAGUUCUGAGUGAAUUCCCUCGGUUUGAUCAUUCUUUCAUCAGUUUGUUCCCCGUUUCUUCUCUAGCCCGAGCCUAAUACACUAUUCUAGCUAGACAUGGGUGUGGCUUGUAACUUCUGAUGACCAAACGGAUCUACGGCACCAUCAAAUCUCAAACUUUAAAUGCCAAAACUAUUGUUUUUCAUUCUGUAGUCCCUUUUAGAAUUACUAAACGUCCUUUUUUGGGCCGAGAUUUCUAGGAACGCUUUCUCGGGGUUUGUGUGCACGUAUUUCAAAUCAUACAGACCUAAAAAUUAGAAGUCAUUCCUGUAGGGUUUCGUAGUAAUUUCAAAAAAUUUCCUACGCACACACAGGAUCAUGUGAUGCAUAGCAACGAGGGGAGAGUAUUGUCUACGUACCCAACGCAGACCGACUGCGGAAGCGAUGACACGACGUAGAGGAAGUAGUCGUACGUCUUCACGAUCCAACCGAUCAAGUACCGAAACUACGGCACCUCCGAGUUCGAGCACACGUUCAGCUCGAUGACGAUCCCCGGACUCCGAUCCAGCAAAGUGUUGGGGAAGAGUUUCGUCAGCACGACGGCGUGGUGACGAUCUUGAUGAACUACAGCAGCAGGGCUUCGCCUAAACUCCGCUACAGUAUUAUCGAGGAAUAUGGUGGCAGGGGGCACCGCACACGGCUAAGGAAUAGAUCACGUGGAUCAACUUGUGUCAACUUGUGUGUUUGGGGUGCCUCUACCUCAGUAUAUAAAGGAGCCAAGGGGGGAGGGGGCGCCGGCCAAGAGAGAGAGGCGCAGGAGGAGUCCUACUCCUACCGGGAGUAGGACUCCCCCCCCAAUCCUAUUCCAACUAGGAUUCCCAAGGGGGAAAGAGGAUGAGGGGUGGCCGGCCACCUCUCCUAGUCCUAAUAGGACUAGGGGAAGGGGGGAGGCGCGCAUCCCCCUUGGUCUGCCCCUUUCUCCUUUCCACUAAGGCCCAUGAUGGCCCAUAUGGCUCCCGGGGGGUUCCGGUAACCUCCCGGUAACCCGGUAAAAUCCCGAUUUCACCCGGAACACUUCCGAUGUCCAAACAUAGGCUUCCAAUAUAUCAAUCUUUAUGUCUCGACCAUUUCGAGACUCCUCGUCAUGUCCGUGAUCACAUCCGGGACUCCGACCAACCUUCGGUACAUCAAAAUGCAUAAACUCAUAAUAUAACUGUCAUCGUAACCUUAAGCGUGCGGACCCUACGGGUUCGAGAACAAUGUAGACAUGACCGAGACACGUCUCUGGUCAAUAACCAAUAGCGGGACCUGGAUGCCCAUAUUGGCUCCUACAUAUUCUACGAAGAUCUUUAUCGGUUAGACCGCAUAACAACAUACGUUGUUCCCUUUGUCAUCGGUAUGUUACUUGCCCGAGAUUCGAUCGUCGGUAUCCAAUACCUAGUUCAAUCUCGUUACCGGCAAGUCUCUUUACUCGUUCCGUAAUACAUCAUCUCACAACUAACAUAUUAGUUGUAAUUCUUGCAAGGCUUAUGUGAUGUGUAUUACCGAGAGGGCCCAGAGAUACCUCUCCGACAAUCGGAGUGACAAAUCCUAAUCUCGAAAUACGCCAACCCAACAUCGACCAUUGGAGACACAUGUAGUACUCCUUUAUAAUCACCCAGUUACGUUGUGACGUUUGGUAGUACCCAAAGUGUUCCUCCGGUAAACGGGAGUUGCAUAAUCUCAUAGUCAUAGGAACAUGUAUAAGUCAUGAAGAAAGCAAUAGCAACAUACUAAACGAUCGGGUGCUAAGCUAAUGGAAUGGGUCAUGUCAAUCAGAUCAUUCUGCUAAUGAUGUGACCUCGUUAAUCAAAUAACAACUCAUUGUUCAUGGUUAGGAAACAUAACCAUCUUUGAUUAACGAGCUAGUCAAGUAGAGGCAUACUAGUGACACUUUGUUUGUCUAUGUAUUCACACAUGUAUUAUGUUUCCGGUAAAUACAAUUCUAGCAUGAAUAAUAAACAUUUAUCAUGAUUAUAAGGAAAUAAAUAAUAACAUUAUUAUUGCCUCUAGGGCAUAUUUCCUUCAAUUCCAUCUUUAUUCCCCUAGACCCUUCCAGCAGUUCCUAAACCGCUCCAGUCGGAGCACGUUAUCAUUCUUGUUAGUUCUGAGUGAAUUCCCUCGGUAUGAUCAUUCUUUCAUCAGUUUGUUCCCCAUUUCUUCUCUAGCCUGAGACUAACACACUAUUCUAGGUAGACAUGGGUGUGGCUCGUAACACCUGCUGACCAAACAGAUCUACGGCACCAUUGAAUCUCAAACUUUAACUGCCAAAACUAUUGUUUUUCAUCCUGUAGUCCCUUUUAGAAUUAUUAAACAUCCUUUUUUCGGCCGAGAUUUCCAGGAACGCUUUCUCGGGGUUUGUGUGCACGUAUUUCAAAUCAUACGGACCUAAAAUUAGAAUUCAUUCCAUCUUUAUUCCCCUAGAGCCUUCCAGCAUUUCCUAAACCGCUCCAGUCGGAGCACGUUAUCAUUCUUGUUAGUUCUGAGUGAAUUCCCUCGGUAUGAUCAUUCUUUCAUCAGUUUGUUCCCCGUUUCUUCUCUAGUCUGAGCCUAGCACACUACUCUAGCUAGACAUGGGUGUGGCUCGUUACACCUGAUGACCAAACGGAUCUACGGCACCGUCGAAUCUCAAACUUUAACUGCCAAAACUAUUGUUUUUCAUCCUGUUGUCCCUUAUAGAAUUACUAAACGUCCUUUUUGGGAUGAGAUUUCCAGGAACGCUUUCGUGUGGUUUGUGUGCAAGUAUUUCAA
rnacentral:lncRNA from 1 species